rnacentral:lncRNA from 1 species
AAUGACUUGCAAAGGUUUUGAUGAAAAUUUAAGCUAAGAAGAGCAGCCUCCUGUGAGUGUGUACACGAGACCCAUGGGUCGACUGUCCAUAAGAAGGGAAAAGGGUGAAUCAUUUCCACCAAGAUGCGAAAGUUACCUUUUUGUAAUUUGAGAUUGGUUCAUGAGAAGAUCACAUACUUCACUAAUUUUGUUCUGUGAAAAAUUCUAUCACCUCUCUGUGUCAUUUGAGCUUUUCAGUUAGUGAUUACUUCUUUUUAUGUCUACAGCAUACAGAAUUGGGUUGAAGAUCUCUAUUGGAUAGUGGAAACAGCUUGAUGUACUACCCUGGCAUGCAUGGUGCCCUGGAUAGCUCUAAAGAUGAUUAUGCCUCUUGCAAGCUGUGGAUUUUUCUCGUUUGGAUUGAGUUACAGUCUUACUCUAUUGAUUUCUGCUUGGGUUAAUCAUGGAUUUUACUAUUCUUAUCUUGAUAUGACAAUUCAACCUGGUUUUUUGGAUGCUGUUAUAAGAACCAAGGAUUUAUAAGGGGACAUCAAUUUCAUGGUGACAGAGCAUUCUAUGGGAGGGGCUAUGGCAUCCUUUUGCGGAAUUGAUCUUGUGGUAAGAUAGUUAAAAACUGCUAUGGUCUGGAAUUGUGAAUUUUAUCGUUUUUUUUUCCUAUUGUGUUCUUCCAAUAUUCAGAUGAUAAUCUGUUAAGAGUCAUCUAGAAUUCUCUGCCAAAUCUUUGUUGAAGAGUCUAGGCUCUUUAUGUCGAUCUUGAACUUUCUAUUGCUCUCAUAUUUAUAUUCACAAUUCAUCAUAGACAGCAUCUUGUUUUCUUUCAGUUUUGGUAAGUCAAACCAUAGACAAAACACAAGCAGAAUGGGGUGCAAAUAGCCAUUUAUGCUAACCACCAAUUGUUUAAGUAUCUAGCAAUGUAAAUUGAGUCUUACCCAUAAAGCUAUGGAGCUUCAAGUUGGUCAAAUACCUAAAUAUAGUGGAUAAGGUCACUUCCAACUAAUCAUUACAAGGUUUACUUACUUGCUGGAAAAUUUAUGGAAUUGUCGAUAUGUUUAUGGUCUGGACAUAUAACUUUUUAAAGGACUUGAAGCUCAAGUUAUAUGUCAUGUAAUCUUGAAGUGCUAAUGCAUUUUAAGAUAGAUUAUAUAUCAAUCCUAAAUUUGUGUUUGGUGUACUGUUUCUAUCUAAGUCUCUCUCUAAUCAAAAGAAGCAGCUCCUCUUCAGUAGGACUACAAGGCCAGAUAUGUUGUAGGCUGGAGCCAAUGCUAAGAUGUCUAAAAUAUGCCUUUUUUCUCAGCUUUAUUGGACAGAGUGUUCCAGGGUACAUUUGGAGGCACCUGUUGCUCAACUGGUACCAGAAAUGGUGCCCAAUCCAAAAUCAUGUCCCAUUGAUUCUCUUCUCCAUGAAAAGUGGUGAUUUUUUAGAGUUAAACUUUAUCUUGAAGUCUGAUUACACUCAUGUUCAUGUGGCCUAUGAUAGGAUCAUAGGUUGCAUGGACUUUAGACUAUACCCUUUCUCAAAAUAUUAGUAGCAAGUAUAACAUCUUGUCAUAAAACUUUUAAACGAUUUAAAAUUUUAUUUUUGUUUACUGGUUUCUUGCUGAAAAUUUUGUCGAGCCAAUUGUGACGUCAUGCCCAUUCAUUGCGAUCCUUUUUAAGAUUGACUUUGUCCUUCGCUACUUUUGACAGUAAGUUUUGUAGUUCAAGGGGCAUUUUCACCAUGAACCAAGAAUUUUUUGUUUAUGUUAUUAGCAGGAUGUGACUCACCCCACCAACAUUCAAGUGCUUCUUGUGGAAGCAAUUAAAUGCGCUUCUGUUGUAAAUUCAUGUCCAAUCCCACUAUUCCAUAUUAUUAACACCUUUUUGUGGUGCUGAGGGUGGGUUUGGUUUUGUUGUGUGUGGGGUUUGGUGUUGGGAAACUUAUGGAUGGGAUCUUGACGGAGUUAACGCUAGACCUUCAAUUCUUAUGGAGACAAAGGGCUGUUCUAUUGUUCACCUUUGUAUAUGAAAUGCAAUAUAUGGUUAUUGAUGCAUAGUGUUUUUUUCCCAUCUUGGAAGGGCUAUUGAUGUAUUGACAUUCAAGUUAUUUGGCUGUCUAAUUAUGUGUGCUGAAACUGUCUUUUCCAGACCAGCAUUCGCCUGAUUUACUUAACCGAAACACUUUAUUUCCUGGUUAAUCAUGAAGCACAGAAUAUUCAGGUUUAAACAUUUGGACAACUCUGUAUUGGCAAUGCAGUGUUUGCAUCUUACUACAGUGACUGCAUACCAAAAACAUUACGUAUUCCUCCUGGACAAGAUUUUUUGUCUUAUUUGCCUCCGUACUAUUUUUGGUUCCCACAGAAGACAUACCAUCAAUUCCCUAGAGAGUUUUGGUGUUGAUCUUGACAGAAUAUCAAAUAAAUUAUGGGGAAUUGUUGAUGACUGAAUUUGAGGUUUGCUUUGCAUUUCUUUCAACCUGUCUAACAAGUGAAGUAUCAUAUAUUCCGGCAUUGUAUGUGUCACAAAACUGAUUAGAGAACCCGCAGCAAGUAGAAAGAGAGAAAGAAGGAAGAGAGAAGGAGGAGAAAGAGAACGUAAAAGAAAGAAAGAGAGGGCUGUAGUUUUUCUGUAAUCAGAAACCCUACACCCAUUGUAUUUAUAUUGAAUAUAAAUUGUAUAUAACAAUAAUAUCCUUAUGUAAGUAAAAAAGGAAAUAAAACUCUGAUAAUAAAGGAAACUCAAUUAAAGUAACUUAACACUCCCCCUCAAGCUAGAGCAUAUAGGUCACCCAUGCCUAGCUUGGAACAACCAACAACAAAAGCAGGAUGAAAUAAUGCUUUGGUAAACAUAUCAACAAAUUGAUCUCUAGAGGCAACGUAAGGAGUAGCAACCAUAUUCUGCUUCACAGCAUCACGAACAAAGUGACAGUCAACUUCUAUAUGUUUAGUUCGCUCUUGAAAAACAGGAUUCCCAACAAUAUAAAUGGCUGCUUGAUUAUCACACAUCAUGUCAAUAGGUUGAUUAAUAGAAAAUCCAAGCUGCUGGAGAAGAGAUUUUAACCACAACAAUUCAGCCACAGUAUGUGCCAUAGCACGAUAUUCAACCUCUGCACUAGACUUGGCAAUGGUAGUUUGUUUCUUACUUCUCCAAGUAACCAAAUUACCACCAAUAAAAGUGCAAUACCCAGUUGUAGACCGUCGAUCAUAUGUUGACCCAGCCCAAUCAGCAUCAGAAUAGCCAACCAAAGUGGAAGAACCAUUAGAUUUAUAAAUGAGUCCCUUACCAGGAGAGCUUUUAAGAUAUCGAAGAAUGCGACAUACAACAUCCCAAUGAGCUUUCUUAGGUGACUCCAUAAACCGACUCACCACGCCAACAGCAAAAGAAAUAUCGAGACGUGUAACAGUAAGAUAAAUUAGUUUCCCAACUAGACGCCGAUAUUGAUGCUUGUCUUCAAUUUCUUUUCCAUCAUCAACUCCAAACUUUUGAUUUUGAUCCAUAGGAGUAUCAACUGGCUUGGAAGCUAGUGUACCUGUCUCAGACAAAAGAUCAAGAACAUACUUUCGCUGAGACAAAUUAAUACCUUUUUUACUUCGUAAAACUUCAAUUCCCAGAAAAUAUCUAAGAGUUCCCAAGUCCUUAAUCUGAAAUUGCUGCUGAAGAAAUGAGUUAAUCUCAAAAAUGCCAGUCACAUCACUACCAGAGACAAUUAUAUCAUCCACAUAUAUCACAAGAAUGACUACCCCCGAUUCCUUCUUGCGAACAAAAAUAGAAUGAUCAGAAUAAGAUUGGUGGAAUCCACAUCUGGAAAUCACCGAACUGAAUUUUUCAAACCAUGCUCUUGGAGACUGUUUCAACCCAUAAAUUGCCUUAUGUAGCCGACAUACUUUACUACGAUUCUCCCCCUGAGCAACAUACCCAGGAGGUUGCUCCAUAUAUACUUCUUCAGACAAAUCACCAUAAAGAAAAGCAUUUUUGAUAUCUAAUUGAUAUAAUGGCCAAUCGAAAUUCACAGCAAGAGAAAUAACAACACGAACAGAGUUGAGACGUGCCACAGGGGAAAAAGUCUCAAAAUAAUCCACUCCAUAAGUUUGAGUAAAACCUUUAGCAACGAGUCGAGCUUUAAGACGCUCGAUUGAGCCAUCCGGAUUGUACUUGAUAGUGUACACCCAACGACACUUCACCACAUCUUUCCCAAGGGGAAGAUCAACUAAUGACCACGUUUGGCGAGAGACUAGAGCUUCCAUUUCCACAUCCAUAGCUUUCUUCCAUUCAAGGCGAGACAAAGCCUCAGUGGUAGAAGUAGGGAUUGUGUGAGUUUGUAAUGAUAGAGCAAAGUCAUGUAAUGGAGAAGGAAUAUGUGAGAGAGACACAUAACGCUCAAUAGGGUAAGCCAAAGAGGAUUUUUGUGUGCAAGACCGAGUACCUUUGUGAAGGGCAAUAGGAAGAUCGUCUGGACUAGGAGACAAGGAGGAAGAUUGAUUGGAGGGCAUUGAAGAGCUUGAGACUAGUGGUGCCGUAGACUGCUUUCGCUGCUGAUACACCUACAAUGGAGGAAAUACUAGAGACGGACUAACAGAAUCUAAGGAGAUUUGUUGUGGGAUAGGAGGAUCAGCUACAAUGUCAGUUGAAAACUCUUUACCCUCAGUAGAAUAGUAUGGUGUGCCCUCGAAAAAAGUAACAUCAGCACUAACAUAUUGAGUAUAAGUUGUAGGAUCAUAACACCGAUAUCCCUUCUGUGUAUGUGAAUACCCGAGAAAAAUACAUUUAGUAGCACGAGGAGAUAGUUUAUCAAAACCGGAACGUAGGUUAUGAACAAAACAGACACACCCAAAGACACGCGGGGUAAGAGAGAAUAACGGCUUGUCAGGAAAUGCAACACUGAUUGGUGACUGAUGAUUGAGGACAAUGGAAGGCAUACGAUUUAUGAGGUAACAUGCGGUAAGGACAGCAUCACUCCAAAAUGAUUUUGGCACAUUCAUAUGAAAUAAGAGUGAACGAGCAACUUCUAGAAGGUGACGGUAUUUUCUCUCGGCCACACCAUUCUGCUGAGGGGUAUAAGUACAACUUAUUUGAUGUAUAAUGCCAAGAUUAGAACAAAACAAAGAAAUUGAUUUCUGUGUAUAUUCUAGAGCAUUAUCUGUUCGCAAAAUUUUCAGGGAUGUAUUAAACUGAUUAGUAACCUCACGAUGAAAUAAUUGAAAAACAUGUAAAAAUUCAGAGUGGUCAUGAAGCAUAUAGAGCCAUGUUAAACGAGAAUAAUCAUCCACAAAAAUAACAAAGUACUUAAAACCAUUUCUACUAGCAAUACGGGAAGGUCCCCAGAUGUCCGAAUGAACAAGUUCAAGUAAAGUAGAUGCACGAGAAUCACUACGACUAGGAAAUGAACUACGAUGAUGUUUCCCAAGUUCACAAGCCUCACACUCAAGAGUAGAAAUUGAUUUACACUCGGGAAUUAUUUGUUGUAACUUAAAUAAAGAUAAAUGCCCUAAACGAGAAUGCCAUAAUAGGGGGGUAAUAGAACUAGCAGCUAGACCAUUGGCGUCAGCAGUGGAGAGACCAUUGAGAUAGUAGAGUCCAUCACAUUCAUGUCCUCCACCAAUCAUCUUCUUUGUCUGAAGGUCCUGAAAAAUGCAAUGAGAUGGAUAAAAUGUAACUGAACAACUAAAAGCUUUAGUUAACUGACUAACAGAUAACAAAUUUAAAGGAAGUUGGGGGACAUGUAAAACAGAGGACAAAGAUAAGGAAGAUGUAAGUGAAACAGUCCCUGAUCCAACCACUUGAGUCGAUGAACCAUUAGCUAAAAUAACUUCGGAUGAAGGACUAGAAUUAGUGUGGGAAGAAAAUAGUUCUUGCUUACCCGUCAUAUGACUAGAAGCCCCCGAGUCAAUGACCCAAGAGGCGUUAGGAGACAAAGUAGAGAAAGAGGCCAUGUUACCUGUACGUGCAAGAGUAGCAGUGGAUGAGAAAUUGGAAGCCUCUAGUUGUUUGACACGUUUGAUGAGUUGUGCAACCAUAUCAUCUCGAGUCGUAGACUCAGAAGAACUACCCCCAAGUGGAAGAGAUGGGUUCAUGUCGUUGUAAGACACAUUUCGAGCACUCUCUUCAGACAUAGCAGCAUUUGCAAUAACCUUGGCCCAACAAGUGUCAACAAUAUGACCGAAUUUGCCACAGUGUAUACACUGACGGCUAUCUCGAUCAGAACUUUGUCCACUACGUCCACCACCGCGACUACGAUUUCCCCCGAAACCACGACCUCUAUUGGAAAAUCCACCACGACCACGACCACCACUACUAGCCACAAAUGCUGAAUUGUCUUUAGAUGAAGUAGAAGACGGAGGGAUAAUGCGCUGAAUUCGACAAAAUGCUUCAUUCAUAGAAGGAACUCUCUCUCCAGCAAGAAGCUGACUCUUCACAGGCUGUAAGUCAACAUUCAAGCCAGAUAGAAAUUUGGCCACUUGAAAUUCAGCUCGUUGUGUCUUUAGUCUCUCAAGAUUAGUAGUGAUGGGCUGAUAAAGAUUGAGUUCUUCCCACAUACCUUUCAAAGCACUAUAAUAUUCUCCAAGAGAUUUGUUUCCCUGUUUAAAAUUAAAAAUCUUCUCAUAUAGUUCAUAAACUCUAGACAUAUUUUUGUCUUGUGAGUAACUCUCCAUAAGAUCAUCCCACACUCCUUUAGCAGUUGUGUGGAACAUGACAUUAGCAGCGAUGGAUGGUUCCAUGCUAUUCCAUAACCACACCAGAAGUGUAUCAUUCUCUCUCAUCCAACCAUUAUAGUCUCUAGAAUUUUCAUCAGGAGGGUCUCUGGUAAGAUAAUGAAGUUUCCCUUUGGCAUUAAUAUAGACCUUCACAGCUUGGGCCCAUAACAAGUAAUUGGAGGAUCCAUUUAAUUUAAUAGUGGUAAUUUGAACGUUGACACUAUUUGUAGAAGCCUUAGUAUCACUCAUGAUGAUAAUCUCAAUAUAAGUAUAUCUACCACUAAUCAAGGAGGCUGAAACUUUAGUGCAAGUAACAAAGCAGCAACGCUAAUGUAUAAUCAGAUGUAAUUGGCUUCAUCAAUUAACCAAAGGGAUGCUGAAAACUCAUAAAUAGAGACUGCUGUAUAGAAGAAAAUAUCUGACUAGAAAUCUCGAUUCAAAUAAUUAUAUGUUUGACGGAAAACCAGCAAGACUAGUCAACCAUAAUCAAUAGAAUAUUCUGAUUCUUGAAUCCGCUGAUCAGCAAGUGUUGUAAUCCAUGUUCAUAAACCGAACCUGAUGAAUCCGAUAUCUUCUGAUCUCAUAUGUAUCGAGACUUGAAGAGAAAACAGAUAAAAAUUGCAGCUUUAGGUGGCUACGCACCAGAGAAGAAGUAGAGUUACUAGGGGACUCUCAAACCAGCAAUAUGAUUAAGUAAUCAGAUAGUUAGACCUACUCUGAUACCAUGUCACAAAACUGAUUAGAGAACCCGCAGCAAGUAGAAAGAGAGAAAGAAGGAAGAGAGAAGGAGGAGAAAGAGAACGUAAAAGAAAGAAAGAGAGGGCUGUAGUUUUUCUGUAAUCAGAAACCCUACACCCAUUGUAUUUAUAUUGAAUAUAAAUUGUAUAUAACAAUAAUAUCCUUAUGUAAGUAAAAAAGGAAAUAAAACUCUGAUAAUAAAGGAAACUCAAUUAAAGUAACUUAACAGUAUGUACUCUCUUUUUUCAGCUUAUAAAUUAUGACUGUCUUGUUUGUUUUUCUUCUUAACAAAGCAGGGUAGUAUGUAGGACUCAUCACGUUAUAAUUUACUUCAUGAUGAGUUUUUCAUAUCAAUUCCAAAGUUUAAGGCACAUAAUGAUGUUUAUUAUACUCUCUCUCUCUCUCUCUCUCUCUCUCUCUCACACACACACACACACACACACACACACACACACACACACACACACACACACACACACACACACUAUGUAUGUCUACUAAUGCGUAUAAUUAUUAGUGACUAGCUCAAGGACAGCCACGGUUGAACAUAUUAAUGUGAGAUGAAAAUGAUUUGAUUCCACCUGCUUCUCUAAUGACUAAUCAUACUAUGUAUGUCUACUAAUGCGUAUAAUUAUUAGUGACUAGCUCAAGGACAGCCACGGUUGAACAUAUUAAUGUGAGAUGAAAAUGAUUUGAUUCCACCUGCUUCUCUAAUGACUAAUCAUACUCGUAACAGUUUUCAUGUAAUCGGAAUCUUCCCUUUAUUGUAGGUAUGGCUAUAUAACAUAGGCUUUGGUAGUUAUCAGGUUGAGAAAGUUUGUGAUACCUCAGGAGAAGAUGCAUCAUGCAGCAAGUGAUGAGCUAGUUUCAGUCGAAGCUACUUGUUCAAACAAUUAUUUUGUGGAUUUAUCAUGCAAAAUGCAAUAAGCCGUGAUGGACCAGCUUGUCCUAGAGAAUGUCCUUUGUUACUAGGAAUAUUUGUGGACAACUGAUCAGGGUAUUUUCCUGCAGAUUGGUAACCGGUAACAGCAUUGUGGACCAUUUAGUCUCUCUAUAGUGUGCAAUUAAUGGCUAAAACAUGAGAAUCAUGCAAAAUCGUCACGGACACUAUUGACGAAAUGUGGAGGCGAAGAUGUCAAAGGAAAUCUUAUGCUUUCCAGGAAUCCUUUUGUUUCUGCAUUGAGGCCGCAUUCAGACUCUGAUGCCAAGAGGAAAUUCAGUUGAAAUGCUCCUGGGUCAGUACCUGGAUUCUCAAAGAUCAUCAGGGACCUUUGUGAUGAAGUUUGGUCACAAAAUGCAUUCCAUCGAUCUGUUGUCCAUAUCCAUCACAAGAUACAGAGGAGCUCUACUCUAAUUUACUCUGAAUGUAAAUAGCACAAAGUUGAAGGUAUCAUCCUUGUAAAUACAACUCCAUGGUUUCAAUUGAAUAAAUAUGUUCGCAAGUUUGCCUGUCAAUCUGUUAUUGGGCUUGGGGCUUUGUUACCUGACUUGAUGUGUGGAUGCUGAGCUGAGCUACAUUCAUAGUUGAAUGACGCAGCUAUUUUCCCUUGGUUUAAUGUGUUGAAGAAAUCCUUGAAACUGUAAACAGAAAAGACAAUCGCCAGAGAUGACCAAAAGCUAGUUUGCUAGACAUGGUUAUACUGUUUCGAUAGGAUAUUGCAGCGUAAUUUCACUGUGACAAAGUCAACGAUGCCUGGUGUACACCGUCCAUUCGUUUCCAAUGUACAGCCAAACAGCAGUGUGGUUUUGUGCUCUUCAGUAUCUAAUGCAUAAUGUAAGGUUCAUCAGUGAUUUCGUGGAUGAUUCCGACAAUUUGUUUUCAAUAAUCUAACCGCAGCGAUUGAGAGUCCACUGGGGAAGAAUGGACACAAAACAUCAGAUCCCUAUCCGAAAUUAGGACGGGCACAUGCCCACAUUGUCAGGCAUAUCGGAGAUAAAGAUGUCCACUGUUAAUGAUUGUUCAAAUAAGUUUUAGCACUAGGCUCCAAACUCAUCAUAGAGUACAAUUUAGGAAAAAAAAAGAAUGGCUCCUCAUAUCUAAGCACGAAAAUUGGUUCUUUAUGUGCUGCGACGCUCUCAAAAUUUUCUCUGUCAAGGACUUGCGGACAUCGUGAGACCAUUAGUCUAUAGGAAUUUCAAGCUCAGAAUAAAAUACUGAUACACUGCUAUACAUUUGAUAUGUCAAAACAAAAAAUAAAGCGCCAAUAUUGUGGUCAUUAUUUCAAGUUUAGCUCAACCGCAUUUGAACAAGUAUAUUUGUUCUAAGUCCUUUAAAAUCUAACUCUGCGACUCUAUCAUUAUGAUUUGACAUGUGAUUCAAGGUCCUCUUGUUUUCAACUUCUACUUCUGAUGAGUGUAAAACCACAAGGCGAUAGCAACAAGGGGAGUGAUAUGUAGGAACAACGAUCAUCUCUCCAACCCCAAUGCGCACAUAAAAAAUCCCAUAAAUCACAUCCAGUAGCUCCAACCCUUGAGUCUGUUCUCUGUUUGACAAUUUUUGGUGUCAAGAACCGAACUACAUCACUGUAAUUUUACGUAACUAAGGUAUAAAAGCUGCUUAAGAUUAGUUAUGGGAUUCUCGCGAUGCUGCUUCUUCGAUUCAGUUGCUCUUUGCUACUUCUCCGGUUGCUAAAUGAGCCACAAUUUCCUGCAAAGAAACAUAGUUCCAUUAACUUUGUUAAGAGUUAACCAUCUCAAUCAGAAAACCAGCUCAAAAAGUCCGUCUGAGAUGUUUGUACCUCUUGGUCUCAACGUCAAUGUUUAAUGCGUAGUAAAUGUAUCAAAAUCAAUGGAAAAGAAUGGGUUGUGUAGAUUAGCGUGAAUAUAAUCCACGUCAAGACAUAUGUCUGCGAACCUGUACAUGUGAUCUUAUGAUCCCGAAUACAUGUAUCUAUUAUUCUAACUCAGCAGUUAAAUUCUCGGAAGAGUCAUUCAAGUACAUCAUCAGGAGCAGAGUCAUUUUCCUUCUUCCCCAAUUCCUCUUCCUUUUCCAGUCCAGUUGGAUUCUUCUCUUCCACCACCACUUUAUCUUACUCGCCCUCCUUCACACGUUCAUGCCGAGGCAAGUUGUACUCGGAGGAGAGGCCCUCAGACACGAUCCCUUCCGGCACUUCCUCGUCUCUUCUGGGAGAGAAGUAAUGAUCCGGCGAGUCGUGGGAUGUGAACCUCCCUGGCUCUGCCUCUUCCUCUUCUACUAGCGGUUCUGUCUCCGGCUCUAGCUCCUGCUCCAGCUCAAUCUCCUUUUCUUCCUCUACACGCUUCUCUUCCUCUCUGUCUUCAUCCUCGGCCUUUGUUUCUUCUUCUUCUUCGUUCUCUUCUUCUUGUUCAGACUCGGGAUGUUCAGUUAUGUCCUUAACAUCAGCCGCAUUUUCUGUAUCCUGGCUCACCGCAUUAUUGAUUUCUUGUUGCACGAGUAAUGCCGCACCUCUCCCAAUUGCUUCCAUCUAAAUAACGUUCUGUUCCACUUGUUUGUUCUUCUCGGGAUUGGCGCUCGAAACUCCUACUUUUGACUCCCCGCAACCCAUUGUCAUAAAAAGGAACGUCAAUCGAGAGGAAUUUGAUUGGGGUAUUGAUUCUCUCUGCCUUUGUGCAUCAGAUUGAAAUGAAGUUUCGGCUUUUGUCUUCUUUGCCCGUUGCAGUUUUGAUUUGCUGAAGCGGGUUGUAUCCGUGGUUGACAAAACGACAGAUCGUUUCUUGUUAUCGGUGGGGUUUUCCUUUCUUUGUCUUUUUUUUUUUUUUCAACCCAACCUUAGUUCAAUGAAAAACAUACUUUACAAUUAACAUAUGAUGCAUCCAAGCAAAAUUCAAUAUUGAAAAGACCGAAUUAUUCCCACUCAAAAACUUGUUUAAAUCUCUUGCUCCAUGUUUGAGUGAUUUAAUUUUCAGUUGGUUUUAAGUGCUUUUGAUAGGUAAGAAUUUAGGAUUUGUGAAUUGACAUUUUUCGAGAGAUAAUGACAUUCUUUUAUAAAAAGAAACACAAGGCUAAUAGAUGUAAAAAUGUAGAAAAUGAUAUAUAUAUAUAUAUUUAUAUUUUUUAACAUCAAUCGGCCUCAUGAACCAAAAUUCAUAUGGUCGUCAAACAUGGAAUUGCUUACACUUAAUCACGUUGAAAAUUGAACUUAGCCAAUUUUUCAAAUUCACAUAUAAAUUAUUUUCUGAACCACUAAAUCAAAAUAGACAAAGAGUAAAUAUGUUAGAAAGUGAAAUAUCAUAAAAAGAUGAAUUAUAAUAAUGUUAACAAAUUAACAAUCCAAAUAUUACUAAUUAAUCCCACAAAUGGUUUACUUCACCAAAUGGAAUUUAAAUUUCUCUCGAGUUGCCAUAAUUUAUUUUUUCCUUAGGCUAAAUAAUAAGCAUCUCCAAACAUAUAUCCUCUCUACAUAUAUUACGCCAUCUUCUUCCAUCUUGAGAGUGUCGUUUGCAAAAGUUCUUUUAAUUGUUCCACACCGUAAGUGGCCAUGGACGCCGCCACAGGAGAACAUCAAACUUCAGUAGUUAUCAGUUCGAGCUGUUUCUAGUAAUUACGCUCUUCAUAAUUUUCAAGAAAAAUAAAUCUAAUCAAACUGCAGUUCCAUGGUGUAACUCAUUUUAGGAGAUUGCAGCAAUUAAUUGUCACUGGGAGUACAUGAUUUAAUCAGAACCUAUGUCUGUAAAUCCUUACUUAGGCUAAGAAAUUGAAUUGCAUGGUUCACUUAAUCCGUGAUGAUAGAGACUAAGGGUUGACAAAAUUGUAGGUAAGAAGGCCUUGUGGGAGCAUAAUGUCUAUUGAUUGACCCCUACAAUUGGCUCUGCAAACCAUCUUUUGGUAAUGAUGAAGUGUAUCUAUAUCAGGCAAUUCUUUUUUCCAUUUGUUUUAUUUACACUAUUCUUCUGCUAACUUGGGGUAUUGCAAUGCAGCAAUAUGCUAAAGAGCACAAAGAUGCUAACCUCAUGCAGGAAGUUAUGAAGCUUUUGAAGAAGAAUAACUUGCCAUUGCAACCCACCACGGCCGAUAUUGUUUUCAGGUUCACUUCGGUGCUGUUUCUCCUGAGAAGGAUGUUAUUAUCAUGUAGUAAGCCAUUAUUGCACUUAAUUGUGUGUUAUGUACUGCAUAGUUAUCAAGCAAUUUAUCCAAUUUAUAAGUGUCAUUUAUAUACGAUUUAAUCAACUUGUUUUUAUUUUGAAUUAUUUUGUCUGCACUGCUACUCUCGAUCUAAUAGUUUGCUCAUGUUAUUUGACAUCCUUUCUUUCCAUGGAAAAAUUUUGCAGCAUUUGUGAUGAUACAGACAAUUGGGUGUUGCUCACAAAGUAUUCAAAGAGAUUUGUCAAAAUUGGAGUGAAUUUGCAUAAAGCUGCAUUUGACAUCUGGAUGGAGUUUGCUGCAAAAGUAGGUGAGAAACACUAGCUCUGUCUCCCUUCGCUGCUCUCAAGCCCUUGUCCCUCAACAAUCUUAUUUUCCAUUUCUUCCCACAAAUAGUUUUCUCAUCCACGUCCCGCCACUUACUACAAAAGAUGGGAUGUGCUAGAAUAUUUUCUUCUGUACGGUGAUUUCUUUCUCUCCUUAAACAAAAGGGUAGAAAUAAGAAAUAAAAAGAAUUUUCGCUGCGCCAUGUCUUUCAAUGUCUUUGUUUCUUUAAUUGUUCUGAGAUUAUGCUUCUUUAUCCUAUUUAGUGGUUUGACGAAAAUUACCCUUUUCAGGAGAUUUGAAUCUCUAUGGAAAACUGAGAAGUUAAGAUGUGAGUCCAUGAAGCAGCACACCCUGGGCAGUGGAUUCUCAUGUGCGAAGGUAGUUUACAAAGGCAGACUGUUGAAAUCACAAAUAUCAGACCCUGAAAGCACUAAGUCUUCUUGCAUUAGAAAAUCUGAUAAUGGGAAAAUAUUAAUAUUGCAAUACAGAUCAGUACAAAGUUCUUGGUAAACCAGGUGAGAGGUCUAUGGCCGAAAAAAGCGAGAGUUAAUGAUUGAAUAAACCAAAUUUUGGCUCACAUCCUAGGACAUGAAACACCUAUGGGCAUGAGAAUGCUUAUUGUCACAACACAAAGGAGAUAAUAACUACUUUUUCGGUAUUUGGAAGCAUUUAUUGUGGCUUUUAGCACUCUGGUUUAAUAUUAAAAUUUAACCGACUGUCAUUUGCUUGUUUUGUGGCAAGCUAAAUGGUUUUAUAACCAAUUUUUUGUGCAGGGAUCUUUACUUGAAGGCAAACCUGAGGAGGCUGCGACAGUCAUUCAUGUCUUGAAUCAGGUCCUCCUUGCUUCUCCGAGCAUCUAUAGCUAUUAUUAAUAUGCUCAUCAUCACCAUCUGGCAUGAUUGCAAUCCUAAAUUACCUCAGCCUCUGAAUUAGUCUUCAAUUUUCCAUAUACUGUCAAGGAAUAAAGCAAUUAGUGGAAAAUAUACAGAAUUGUCCCCCAAAAUGUGCUCAGAUAAAAUUACCAUGACAUAUCCUCUCUCGAGGGGGACUGAGUGAUUUGGGUUUCAUAUUUGGUGCAUGCUAUACUAUUAAAAUAACACGGCUUAGUUCCAUGGAUCCUAAUAGAGUUCGAAAGAUCAUCUCAGACUCCUCCUGAAUUGAAUAAAGUUGGAAAUUCACCUAUGUAGGCUCUGUUUGUUCAGAUGUUGCUUCUUAGGUCUCACAAUGUGAAUGCCUUGGAUUGAUGCGAGAGUUUACCUGAUGCUAAGAGGUCCAGCAUUGUGGUUGAACUUCAAAAGCUUGUCAGUGAGUGGGUUUUCGAGGUCAUCAAAUGGAAGAAAGAAGAUGACCGCAAGGUACUUCCUUUGACUAAAUAUCCAUCACUUUGGGUAGAAGUAGAAACGUUGCUUGUUUGCAGUUAUAUAUUGCUCUGGUAAUGUUUUCUCAAUCGUUCCCUUUGCUGGAUGUAUAUAUGCUGCAUUGAACUAUCUCAAAAUUUUUAAAACCUCUCAUUCUUUUCGCUCAUGUAGGCAUUGGCUGCUUCUUUCAAAUCCAAUAUCCCGGCCAUGGUUAGUUUCCCUAUCAAACACGGGCUUGGAGGUGAAAGUGAAUAUGGAACAACUAACCACCAAAGGCGCCCUUUGUUAAAGUAUGACAGAAUUGGAGAUUAAAUGCACUAGCUGCAGAUCUGUCUCCUAUGUGGACCGCUAAGGUUGCCAUUUUAAUUUAAACCGAUUCCGCUGAGAAGCAAGACAAGCGUGGUACUCACGUCUCGAGCAACAAGCAUCUGAAGUUCUCUUGUGAAGGUCCCUGAACCAUGAAAAGAUCUGCUCCUUCUUGAUUUGAAUGUUGUCACUUCUGUACUCUGGAAUAAUGAUUCUUUUCUUUCCCCAAAAAAUCUGAGUGUAUUAGAUACGAUAGGUGCAUCGUCAGCAAUUGAAUUCUGAGAACAACCUCGGAUGACUAGUUUUUGCAGAGAGGAUUCUUUUGGCUCACGCAUUUUAGAUUGGACCAAAUGGGCAGUUAAGAGAGACAAUUGAUAAGGUGGUCCUUUCAAUUUCAAUCUGAUUUGGCAGCCUAUUUUGUUAUAUUUCUGACACAAUUUCGCUGUCCAAAAUUAAGAGUGAAUUUAAUGCCGACUCAUUUGAUGUUGGCAUACAGCGACCGCCAUGGCUUCCUGAUUUAAUCGGAUCGAACCGUCCAAUCGUGGUGCCAAAGUGCAUAACAUAAAUUACAUCCCCUUUUACGUCAUGAAAGAAAACGAAAACCUGAAUUACCAGAAAUGGCUUCGGUACCCACAUGCGUGGGUGGGUGGGUGGGUGGGUGCGUGCAUUUUGUGCAUUUUGUGCAUUUAAGGCGUAAAAGAGGCGACAAAUGCAAUCCUCUAGAAUGAAAACAUGCGCAAAUUUUAACAAUGAAUUGACAUAAUUGUAAUAGAUAUGAGACUUUUUUGGUAAUAUAGGACCAAAUUUGAAUUCAUACAAUAAGCUUACGACUGAAUUUGCGAUUCUCCUAGCUCAACACCUUAAGCAGUAAUUAAGCUCUUCAUAUGUUCACCUGCCAUAACCUAAAAAAAGUCAAGCAUGAUCAUGGUGAAAGAAAAGGUCCAAAGAAUCCUUCCCUUGGAAGCAAACAAUCGAAUCAUUCUUGUUGCCUAAAAGAAUCGAGCAUGAGCUUUGUUUACCCAACUCAACUGCAUAGACACGGAGAAGAGGCUUCAGAUAUAAGAACUUAACAGGGUACAUCACAAGAGCAGGAUCUGAUGAAAUGUAACAUCGUACAUUUUCUUUGAAGAUAUGGAAAUGAAUAUUCAAAGCCCAAGAUUAAUCCUGGGAAAAAUGGAAAAGUAUGGAACAACAAACUUUGAUUUGCAUCACAUGAAGCAAAGAACCACGUGAUAAGUGAAUUCAAGCAUCCUGUGGAAUUCUAUUGACACUGGCAGCUUCUACUGAUUCCUGUUCUGCCACAACUAUAGUCCUGGAAGGCCGCUUGUUAGGAGUCAUUUGGAGGCAUUGUAAAGCAAGCUGUGCUAUUUGGAAUGCAGAAUCUGUAUAUGUAAGGUAUAGGGAUGGUAUAAAUUUGGUUCCCAUUUCCUGCAGGUCGCAACAUUGUGAGCGACCAGCUUCUUCUAAAAUAUCCAGUGUUUCUUUUUCAGUAAUUGGAGCAUCUGCAGAAAAUGAAAAGUUAUGUGGGCAAUACAACUGUACAUUUUAUGCCAAAGGAUUCAAGUAGCUAAAAGGAAAACACACCUUGUAUUUCAUAGAGGGGAUUAUAGUGAACCUCACACCAGAAACACAACCAAAACUCUGCAUCAAUUGAAAGUAAGGUUAACAAAAGGAAAAACUCAAAAAACAUGGAGUUUCAAAAGACCAGUUGCACAUUGAACAAAAGCAACAGUAGAUCAAUUGCAAAUGUUUACACCUAGGUUUAAAAUCAAUCAAAUAUAUAUUGAGCCAUACCCAAGCAGCUGUUCUAAGCAAGCGAAAGAACAAAUAUUUAAGUUCCCCAGAUGAACAACAAGCAAAGCAUCACAAAGGAGGAUCUAUGCGUAUAUGUAUGUGAGCAACACUCUUUUUUCCAAGACAAACGAGAAGUAAAAUAUCAACUUCACAUUCAUCACAUUGCACGGACUGAUCAUUUGACCCAACAAAACAACUAUGAAGAAGACUAGCAAGCAAUACCCUAGGCAGAGGGAACUUAUAAAUCCAAUGGCCCAACAAUAAUCAAGCUAUCAAUAUAAGUAUCAUCAAGAGGUUAUAGACCUCCUUCAGGCUCUCCAACAUCAACCAAAUAAGCAUUGAACAUCAAUGACUCACCGGAACAAAUAACUUCAUCAUUCUUCAAAAUUCUGCAUUCUGACAGCUGCUUGCUGCCAUCAUAGGGCAUUACCUAUCAUAUAUCCGACCAUCAAUCACAGCAUGGACUAAUCUACUCCAAACAAGCUCAAUCACGGAGAGCAUUACAACCAAAAGCACAGAACAGAACAAUAUGUGAUAUAGAAAAAAUGAAACCCUAGGCAGCAUCGAGCUGCUGCCAUUAAGUUCAAUGCUGCUGCCAUUAAGUUCGAUCGAGCAAGCUAAAUGAGGGAAAACUGAUGCAGCCCGCAUUGAAGAACAACUCUCUCGACCAAGAAGAUCGGCCCGCAUUCAAGCUCGACGAAACCGAGAAGCCGUAACAAUAUCUUGAGUCCAUUUUGGAAGCUUGAAAUACACCUUGGGAGCUCGCGUGACGUGCAGAGUGAGAGGCAGCUGUCACAAUAGACCAUGCGUUUCAGCUUUCCAUGCUCUUUACUAUUUCGUGACAUUCCAGCACACGCAGACUCAAGCACGUAACUCAUUUCAUCAAACACCAAAAGUGCACACUGGACAGCCAAACACUGGACAGGCAAAUCUAGAUGGUUCACACUCACACGAAGCAUAAUUCAGCACACUAAUUACAAACACGAUCCAAAAGCAGUUCAGGAUUGAAAAAGAAAACAAGAGCACAACACCGAUCCGCUCCUAGAACUUACAUUGCCGGCUCAAAAUGCAGGCGUUGAGUCUAUCACAGAGCUGAAAGCUCUAACGUAUUCAUCCGUGGGAUUUUGUUGAGUCUGGAUAUUCUGUAUAAGGGCAACAAGGAUGGUGAUGCCAGACUUCUGUCCCUCAAGAUUCCGUUUGAUGCGAUGUUCAUUUUCCUUAAUCAAAACUCCAGAGUUAGAGCUUAAGCUGGCAGACUUGAAAUCCAUAUCCUUGGUGCAAUUUCUCCCUCUUUACCCAACCUUGAUUGAGGAUGAGGACCACAAUACCAAUGUGUGCGCAGAAGCUCUCCCUGAUGCUCAUAGAGUUCAACUUGACUAAAAUUUCUGAGAUUCUACACCCAAAGACAGUCAGCCACUGCUUCAGAUUUUCACUUGGUGAUUUGUCCUGUGCAAAGGUGAAUGAUGUUGAGCUGCGCAUGGCUCUGGCAUCAGCUCCGAAUAUGGAUCCCAAGUUGCUUUCUCAGCUGAAAGUAGCAUGGCGGAUUGGAAAUCUUUUGGAGAUUGUACAUGGGAAGAAUUUGGAAGAUUUUCUCAAAUUGAUGCUUGGCUUGUGCAAAGCUCUUCUUUUAUGAUCACCAGGUUCUACGAAAUUUUUCACGUACAUGGAAGAGCCAACACUACCUGAUGAAAGUUCUUCUGAGGUGGCAAGUAGCAUAUGACAUAUAAUGGACUUUGGUGGCAGUGCCAGUGUUUUCCUGGAAUUGAGUGGGUCUAAUGACAGAAACAAUGCCGAUAUUGCUUCUGAAUGAACAGUUCUAUUUCUGAAGGCGGCCUCCAGGGAAGGUGCUCUCUUUUUCUCAGCGAUCUUUUGUAAGUGAGUGCAAUUCUCGAGUCUCAGCGAGACACCCUCCUUCUCUACUGGUACCAACGAAUGCUGCAUUCUCUCAGUUACAACUGUAGGAGAUGUUUGCUGCACAGAAUGAAAUUAUGAUUGAAGGCAUCGUGGCUGAGAUAAGAUAUUCUGGUGCUGCUGCUUUAGCCAGUGCUGCCACACUGGUAAUCUCGGAAUUGCGGUGGGUCCCUCAUUUAUGACUUCUCCAUAACAUUUACAAUUCCCACUAAGAAGCACACCUUUCCUGAAAUGAAAAAUAAACUUAACUUAAGCAUAGCAAUAGAGUGCCUGUCUACUUCAAAGUCGCAAUAAUGAGUUGAUUGUGCUGUAAAGUCCCAGGAUGAGAACAAUAGUCAUAUGACCUUCCAGCAAACAUUCCAUCUAUUUGUUUACAUCAUAACAAAGUUAUCUCCAAUGCAAAACGAGGUUAUCAAUUUCGAAAUAUAUGAAGAAGGAAAUCGACAAGGAUCUCUAAUAACUUGGUACAUAUCAAAUAAAAACGAUGCAAUCGACAUGCAUAUCUCUAGGAGAAAUCAUCCUAAGAAAAUGUAGCUAAAAAAGUCAAAUCAAACUAGGAAAAGAACACAAAUACUCGUACAUAAUUAAGAGCCCUCUGGCUGUUUAGAGGUAUCAUAAUUUCAAUGCUUCAUUAGAUUUUCAGACAAGAAUCCGCUAAAAGGUCAUUAAAAAGUGCAUGCGAAACUUCUCUGUUUAUAUUUGCGAAAGAAUUUGAUUGCGAAAAAAAGGAAAACGUUGGUACUUACCUCAAUUUGUUUAAAGUUUGAUCACAAGGUUAGAAUUUGUCUUCUUCCACAAAUUCGUUUCUUCAUCGUCUUCUCCCACAAAUUUGAUUGACUUCUCCAAGCAAAGCCGAGAAAUUUCCUCCACCGCUAAUUUCCCACAAAGUCUUAUUGUAACCUCUCGCAGUCCCUUCAAACUUGAUAGAUCAGGCAACUUCUGUAAAGAUUCACAGGAUUCAAUAUCCAAGUAUUCCAAAGAUUGAGGUAGUUCGCCUUGAAUCUCAAUCAGAUUAUGACAAGAUUCUAUUGUAAGAAGUGUUAGUUUGUUCCAAUUGCUUAGAUCAGGGAUUUGCAUCAGUUUAAAGCCACGAAGCAGCAACUCAUGUCCACCUGUACAUUUAAACAUCUGAUUGCGAAUAUGCACAUAAACAUAUGUCUUACCCAUUAAGCUGAACAGAUUGGGGAACUCCCGUAACGAAUUGCAGGAAUCAAUUGUAAGAUAAUCCAAAAACCGCGGUAGUUCGCCUUGAAUCUCAACCAAAUUACCACAACAGGAUACUCGAAUAUACCUUAGCUUGUUUAACUUGCUUAGAUCAGGUAGCAUUGCCAGCCGUCUGACUUUGUCAAUGUGCAAAUGUCGUAAGUUCUCCAAACAACCAAGGCCUUGAAUCUCUGCAACUGCAGAGCACAAAAUCGAGAGAGACGAUAGUUUCCUCAAAUUCGAUAGAUCCAUCGAGCAAAGUGAGUCGCAACCAAAGAGACUUAAGGAGGAUAAAUUUGAGGGAAGCCUCGGGAGGCGACGCGGAUGAGGAGGGAGGCUCAGGUCUGUCGAAGAGUCAAAUGAGUCAAAUGAGUCAAAUGAGUAGAAUGAAUCGAAUGAGUCGAAUAAGCCGUAUAAGUCGGUCUCCCCUAAAAAGAGUAGUUCCAUGGAUUCCAAUUUGCUUAAAUUCCCAAUCCACAGCGGUAUCGGUUCUUCCAGAAGCCUAUAAGAUUUCCCAGCACAAUUAGGUGAGCAAAAGAACAGAUACAAUACCUUUAAGUUAGCGAGAUUUGAGAGAUCCAGAAACGUGUCCACCCUCAACUGCCCCAGUUCUAAUUCGAUGAGACUUUCAGGAAGCCUUGGUAGGGCGUGUAUUCUCACCCCUCUCAAUCUCAAGAUCCUCAAGGAUUUAUUCUCGUAGAUGCAAUCACCAAUUUUCAAGUGUAAACACUUGUUAUGAUAAUCCUUGCAGACGACUUCUAUUUUUUCAAGCUUCUCCAUCAUCCAAAAGGCAUCGUGUAUUUUGCUUAUGACACUUAUCUUCAUCUUCACUACUUUCAAAUUCUUCAACUUUUUGAUGGAAUCGGGUAGUUCUUUGAUGUUCGUGUAACUUAUGUUCAACUCAAUCAGCGAUUCCAAAUUCCCGAUUGUCUCCGGAAGCCUCUUCAAACUCCGGCAUCUUUCUAGAGAUAGGUAUUUGAGGCUUGCAAGAUCUCUACACAGCUCAUCCGGCAGCCUCUGAAGUCUGCUACAAUUGCUUACAUCUAAGAAAACCAAGCGUUUCAACUGACAAAUUAAUCUAUCAAUUUCAAUUAACGAUUUAGAACCCGAUAGGAUCAAACAUUCUAAUUUUGAAUGAGCAGAUAAGUCGGGGGUUAUCUCCAAGAGUAGGCAAUGGGCUAGAUCUAGAACUUUCAAAUUCUUAAUCACCUGUAAAAGAAAAAUCAUGCAAAGCUUAUUUUUGAAUCUAAUAAGGCAAAAGGAUAAGUAUUGUCUAGCAUAUAACAAACCUUCAUGUGACUCCACCCUUUCCAAUCAUGCGUAAUUUUACUCCAAGAUAGAUCAAGAAUAAUCACAUUCUCCAUGGAGAAAUUUGUAAUCGCAAAUGUUGGCUGAAUAUUAUGCCAAGAAAACCAUUGUAAUCGUGGAAGGAGAUUUGAAUUCUUCUGGAAUACAUUAGUUGAAAGAAUAUCUAACGGCCUUGUGUGCCAAAAAUGCUCAACUUCAAGGAACGUUAGAUUGGGUAGGUUCUUGAAGUCCUCAUAGGUAAAAUGAUGCUGAUCGUCAAACUUGAGAUGAAGAGCUUCAACUUUUUUCUUCAUCUGUCAAAGAGAAAAAUUUGAAAAACAAAAGAGUUGAAGAGAAACACAUUUAUCCAAGUUCACUGUUUUAAGGGGUUGAGUUGAGUACUUAUAUUCCUUUAAUCUUAAAAGAGCAAAAAUAUUGGUUGAGUAGGUUGUGACGGUGCUAGAGAACACAAAAAUAAUUCCCUCCUUUUGAAAAGAAAAUGUCCAUAAGUAACUUGGAGAUUUAUUUUUAUAGGGAAAUUUACCUCAUGGCUCUUCAGCAGAUCCAAUCCUUCCUUGGGAUUCCACACACAACGUUGCUUCUCAAUUUUCAUCUUACUUUCUUGACGAACUAUUUCUCUUCCGAGGUCUCUAAGUUGAUCAUGCAUCCACAAUUUAUUCUGUUCAUCAAUUUUUAUCAAAGACAUGUUCUGCAAAACUUCCAAGGUUGCUUCUGGAAAAAGUUUAGAUGCAUCCCAAAAAAUAACUACAAUGUCUUUGCGAUAUCCAAUGAAAUGACAAGCUAUAUCAAGGAAUAUAUGCUUUUGUCGAGAAUCUAAUGCAUCAUAACUUAUUUUCAGCUUAUUUUGAACUUUAUCAUGAGGAACACUUUCUAACAAGUUCAAUGUGGCAUCCCACAUUUCCUUAACUUUGCUGGAUAAAAGUGAACCUAUGACUUCAAGGGCUAAUGGAAGACCUCCAGCAAUGUAUAUCGCUCUGUUGGUAUGGUUGAUGUACUCGUCUAAAGGAGAAUCUCUUCUAAAGGCAUGUUUGCUAAAAAGUUGAAGAGAUUGAUGGGCAUCCAUGCUCGUAAGCUCAUACAUCCAGUCCACUUCCGGAACAUGGAGAACAUCUUUCCUUCUCGUAGUAAUAAUAAGUUUGCUUCCUUCACCAAACCAAUCAUGCUUGCCUACAAGUGCAUCCAUAUGAUCCUUUUCUUCCACAUCAUCAAGAAGAAUGAGGGCUUUGUGAGUAGGGAACCUAUCUUUAAUGGUCUUAAUCCCUGCAUCAAUGUUUCUUAUAUCCACCCAUUUCAUCUUGAGGAUGUCGCAGAUGAGCUGCUGCUGCAAGUACUCAAUGCCCUUGAGCUUUGACGUUUCACGGAUGUUGGAAAGGAAGCAACAAUUGUUGUACUUGUUGGAAAGCUUAUUGAAGAUGAUUUUGGCAAUUGUUGUCUUUCCAAUGCCACCCAUCCCAUGAAUUCCUACAAUCCGCGUUUCACUUAUGUGAGCACCUAUCUCUUCCAUGAUUUUACCCACAUGGUGGUCCAUAUUGAUCAAGUUGUUUGAUACCACCAAAUAAGCCUUUUUCAACUCAUUGAAAACCUCCUGGGUAACUGUUUUCGCGAUCUCACCUUCUUCCCUAAUGUUUGUUGGAGGUCAAAUGGCAAUGAGUAAGAAAAUUGUCUUGAAUCAAACUAUGUUUCAACAAGAACAAAGUGAAAACUGAAGACCUAAGUGAAAUGUAUUAUAUAAGGAUUUACUCCAGUGUAGAUGAAUUAGCAUCGAUACACAUGAUUAUUGAAUGACCUAAACUAGGAAAGAAAAAAAAAAAGGUUGUUUGGUUAUGUGAUUUUUAUAGUAUAAUUUCAAUAGCAUAAAAUUCAAUUUCAACAAAACUAACACGAAUCUAGAAAAUAAACCAAUUGAACCACAUCAAGUUUCAAUGAUACAAGGCACAUCAAAGGAAUGAUAGAGGCAAUCACCUGUUGGGGAUGCUUUGCAAGUCCCAUCCAUCUAGUUCCCCAACUGCAUUGAGAGCAGCCUUCCACUCAUGUAUAGUCGCUUCAUCAUAUCGCUUCUUGUUUUCAUGUGAAAGAAAGGCCUCUUCAUAACACUUAGUUUGGUGUCGAACCUCUGAAGGUUCCACAUCAUAAAAAAUUGGCAUAAUCUUUUGUCCCCUAAUUUUUUGGCACUUGACCAUUUGGACUAGCUCCUUGAGACACCAUGCACUAGAGGCAUAACCCUUUGAAAAUAUAGGUAUUGAGAUCUUUGAUUCACUAAUUACUCGGAGAAGUUCUGGGCCAAAAUUUUCCCCCUUGCGAAGCUCUUUGUCAUCCUUAUAGACGCGUAUUCCUGCAUCUAUCAUACUAGUGUAAAGGAAGCUAGUAAAACCUCUUCGAGUAUCUUUUCCUCUGAAACUCAAGAAUACUUCAUAUUCAUAUCCUGAUGAAUUAACCAUUCCCUGACCUUCUGUCGUAGUGUGAGUAAAAGAAGCGCUCACUGCUAUUCCAUCAUUUUUACAGGUACGUUGUUUUUUUGCACUCCUCUCCAUUGAUUUCACUCGAUCUGAUCUUCAAGAAAUACCAAACAGUAUAUCAGCAAAAGCAGUGGCAGCUAGAGAUGGAAAAUGUUUAGAAGCCUAACUCGUAAAUAUUGAAGAUCUCUGUAGGUCAUUAAACUUAGUAGCCGGGAUAAGCUAAAUAUGCAGAGUGUCAUGGGCUAGUUUGCUACAAUUGUUUAAUAAGAAUAAUUCAUUGUAGCAUCACUCUCACUUGUCAAAGUUGACAAUGCAUGUGAACAUAGGAGUAUUAAAUCUCAAGGGGCGUUUUAACACCUUAAGGAGUUUUAAAUCUCCUGGGGAGAACGUUGACAUAGCACAAUACAAAGUUUUCAUUUUAAAUAAAAUGGCUCGCUCUUCUCAAAUCUUGAGAACAUAAAUUAUUCCCUAGGAGUUCUAAAUCCUAAGGGGAGAACAUGAACAUGCUCUCAUUUGACAUAACACAAUGCAAGGCAUUCUUUUUAAAAAGAAAAUUUCCACACUUCUCGAAUUUCUACAACAUGAAUUGUUUCUUCUUAAUGUCACUUUUGCAAAUAUGACCACCACUCUCUCUAGAAUAAAUCAAAAUAUUAACCAGAGUUAUUCAUGUGGUGGGAUAGUUGUAGUUUGAAAUCUUACACGUUUCCAAAAUUCCAUUAACCAAAAAUGGAGUUUCAUUUCAUGCAUGCUAGAGUUAAAGAACCAAUUAUAAACUUAAAGUAUAACUGGUAAGUACAAAUUGACCAAUAACUUGUGAGUCUGGGCAAUUGUUAGAAAGUCACUAAAAAAAAUAGUUUUUUUCACCCUCAAACCAAAUAGUGGAUUACCAUUUUUUUCUUUUAGAUUUUACAAAUGGGUUAGUAUUUUUUCUUGUAGAAUAUGAAUGCUUACAUAGUUUAUUAAUAGUCUUGAUUGAUGUUCCAACUUACAAACAAACUAACUAUUUUUACCCCUCUAAUAUCCAAGUAUGGUGUUAACAUUGUUUCGAAUUUAUGAGUAGCAAUGUUCAUUUGUAUAUACCAUGUGAACAAAAUAACAGAUUUACCAUGUGGAAAAUACUCUUGUAACUUAUGAGCAAUUGUGUGCCUUUAUAAGUAGGCAAGUAUUUUUGGUAGUAAAUUACGAGUUGAUUGCAUGCUUUGUUAGUAGUUUCGGUUAACAGCCGUAACUUACAAACAAAUAAGUAUUCUACAAGUAUAAAUCCUUACUAUAUUAUUAACCUUGUUUCGAUAUUAUGAGUUGCAAUUUUAUUGUUAGUAACAUGUUGACAAAACAAUUGAUUUACCUACUUGAAAUAUUCUUGCAGGUUACGAAUAGUCGUUUGCUUUUACAAGUGGCUGUGUUCUUCCUCUAGUAGAUUACAAGUUCCUUACAUAUUUUUUCCUAGCGACACCAGUUUAUAUUUGUAACUUCAUAAUAAAAAAACCUAAAUUUUUAGUAGAUUAUUAACAUUGUUUCGACGUGUAUUUCUCAGUAACAUACAAACAUAUUUUAUGCAAUUGUAUGAAUGCCGGAUGAUUGUGUGUAUUUGUUUACUAGUGAUAUUGAUGAUUAUUUGUAUUGAUGAAGCGUUCUACCUGUUUACAUGGUCAACUAUAAGACAUUGAUUAGAAGCUCCGAGAUGACUAAAUAUGCCACACGAGACGACAUGUUGGUACUGUUUUGAAAUGAUGUUGCAACGUGAUUGGAUAUUGACAAAGUUAACGAUAUAUAAUGUUUGGAACUUAUAUAAUAUACAACCAAAUAAUAGUAUGGUUCUGUGUUAUUCAGCAUCUAAUGCAUAAUACAAGGUUCAAUAGCAACUUCGUAGAUGCUUCCGAUAUAAUUAGUUUGUUUGAUAAUCUAAUCGUGGUGGUCAAGAGUUUGCUCUAUCUAGGGAAGAGUGGACAUAGAGUAUUAGCUUCCUUUAUAAUUACUCUAUAAAAUUAGGAGAGGCGCAUGCCAUCAUUGUUAGGCAUCUCAAAAUUAAAGAUGUCCACACUGAAUGAUUCUGGUAUUGGCACUAGGCUCCAACUUAAUAGACUACAAUUAUGAAAAGAAGAAGAAGAAGAUUCUUCUCAUAUCUAAGCUCGAAAAAUUGUUCUGUUUGAUAUUGGUCCUAGAGAUGUGCCCCUCCACUUUCCAAUAUACUAACAGUGUCGAAAUUUUUUCUGCCAUGGACUUGCAGACAUUGUGAGACCGUUAGUCUAUAGGAAUUCCAAGUUGAAAAUAAAAUACCGAUAUACUACUAUUCAUUUGAUGUGUUAAAAUAAAAACUAAAUGCCAAUAUUGCAGCCAUUACUUCAAGUAUAGCUCAACGUUCAAAUUGGAUUGGAACAAGGGUAUGAGUCUAAGUACUUUAAAUCUAGUCUCCAUGGCUCUGCGCCUCUGCCUCUAUGAUUUGAUCAGCUUAUGUGAUUCAAGGGUCCUGUUGCUCUCAACUUCAUCUUAAGAUAAAGUGUAAAACCAAUUGAUGAUAAGAGUUGGCAAUUUACUGACCACAUGGAUAAAAUUUCAAAAGAGUUGGUUAACUACUUCAUUAAUAUAUUGAUAUAUUUUUUAAUAGUGCUGGUAAGUUAAUAUCAAAGGAGUUAGUAAUAUAUUAAUUCAUUAAAAUGUUGUUAAAUUCUCGUAUGUGCCGGCAAUUCAUCUAUGAUUUUGGUAAUAAGAGUUGGUAAUUAACCACUUGACUCGUAUGUCAGUAAAUUCUUGAUAAUGCUGGUAAUUUAUUUAACACGUUUUGAGAGUGGGUAAUUUAAUACUUCCAUGUAGUGUUUGUAAAUUCUUGACUGUGUCGGUAAUCUACUUACCACACUCAUAAAAUUUUGUAGGAGUCGGUAAUUUACUACUUUGUUGGUAUGUUGUUAAAUUUCUAAUGUUGCUGGGACUUUACUUACUAGCACAGACCAAAAUUUUCAAGUGAGUUAAUUUACUAAUGUCGUUAAAAUUUUGAUAAUCUUGUAAUUUACUAAAUUUCUUAAGAAAUGGUAAUUUACGAAUAUUUUGUUAGUCAGCAACCAUAAGGUUUGAAGCUUGAAGUACACUGGCGAAUGGUGGAAUAGCGGAGAUGAGAGCUAGAGCUCAAGAUCAGGAUGGAGUAAUUACAAAAGGCCAAGGUAGUCUCCAAUCAGACUAUUGCUGCAGUACUGUGGAAUAUUUGGAAGUCAGGAAACCAGGCCAUCUUUAGGAAUAAAAAACCAGAACCAAGCAACCUUGUGGAGCCUGCUUUAGCUGGGUUGAAGAGUUUCAACAGAUGGAACCCAAAAUCGAGCGAAUCUAGUAAGACCAGCAAAGGGUCGUCAAGAUUUUGGAACCCACCGCAGGCUGGAACACUAAAGAUAAACAUACACGGUGGCUACGAACCUGAAGCUACUAGAGGCUCGAUCGCUUGCGUCUGUCGUGAUUUCGUGGGGAGGUUGGUGGACGGAGUGGUGCGAGCAGUAGCGGCGCCUUCUGCGUUCGGGGUUGAGGCUCUUGCCCUCUUAUAGAAGCCUCCACUCUCUCUGUAUACUCUAAGAAAAGAAGCCCUUGUUCUUGAGUCUCGCAGCUUAGACUUGGUCAAGGCUGUGGAAAGUUCAGACAGGCUCACGUGCGAAGCUCGUGCUAUUAUUCCGUUGUGCAAAGAUUUAUUAUUAUCCUUUUCAAGUAUCCAGAUCAUGUUCAAAAAAAAAAAAGAAAAGUAUCCAGAUCAGCCAUUGGCUUAGAGAGGCUAACUCAGUUGUGGACUGAGUUGCUAAAACCCACGAGAGAAAGCCCAUUUAUCGAACCUUUCAAUCUUUUUCUGCUUAAUGAAACAAAAAAAAAUAAAAAUAAAAAUUCAGUCUCCAAUCUCAAGGAGCGAACGUGCAAGUGUUCGGUCACGCUUCACAGCGCACGAUGGCCCCCCCGGCGGUAGAAUACCUUUAUUUGAUGGUGAUAACAUUCAACUGCAACUUUAUAAAAGCGUCGGAAAGAAUACUCUCUCGAAAUCGGAAAAGGCCACCGUCCUUCAUCUGACAAUUCCUAAACAAUGUUCACGCUCCACUAGCUUUGAGGAAUGAAAAAGAAAAAAGUAGAAUUAGCAACAUUUCACGUGCUAUGAUGGUCCCCAUGACUAGCCAAGCUCAUACGCUUCGAUAAAAGGUUGUCUCUUCUCACAUCUCGGGAACAAAAAUUGCCCCUCUCUAAGUUUGGCUCUGAAGAUUUGGCCCUCAGCUCCCCUUUUUGAGUUUAUAAUUAAAUUGCCGAUGCACACCUCUACACACUAUUUUAUUUAAUAGUCAAAACAAUGUACAUGUUAUCUAGCACAACAAUUUGAUGGUGAAAUAUAAUAGAAAUUAAUGAGAGAUAAAUUUAUUAUAAGUGUACCAGUUUAAAAUUUUUAAUAAUUAAAAAAAUAAUUAAAAAUAAAUUUAUCGUAAAUAUAUCAAUUUGAGUUUUUCACGAUAACAAUCAUUUUCUAAUUAAUUGGCUUCUGCUUUUCUUUUCUUUUUUGAACAACUAAUUGGCUUCUGCUUCACCAGGCACGAUAUCAUCACUCCCCCAUGCGAACACCAACGGCUGACAGCUUGCUCUUUGUAAUAUUAUGCAAUAAUGUAAUAUUAUGUUAGUGGGCCCCAAAAGAAGAAACUGAAAAAGAAACUGAAAAGUCAGUAAAACAAAAAGGAGAGGGGAGAGGGCUCGGCUAAAUAGAAGCUGAGAGUUCCCUCACCAAAAAAGAAAAGAAAGAAAAGACGAAGAAGAGGAAGGAGAAGAGAAAAAGGGAAAAAAGGAAAGGAAUUUUGGCAUGUGCACGUCUCGGAUGCCUCGCCAAGCUGACUCGACUCCAUAACACAGCACCCGGUAAGAGAUCAAGCCCCUUGUUUGUCCGAUUGAAGUAAUUUUUGGAUUUAGGACUUAAAUUCGAAAAUUUUGGAAAACUGAGCGGCGAAGUCUAAUUUUGGAGUCGUUGAGCCGCGUAUUUUUGCAAGAAUGGUAAUUUAGGGUGUUGUGGAGCCGUGGGAUUUUACGGAUCGUGAUUUGAACUUAUGGUUUGUCCAAAACAGAAUUUCAAAGUUUCCCACGCGCAGUGAACAGUACGCGUCCAGCAGCUUUGGGCCCGUAUUUUGUCAUUUUUCGGCUUGAUUUUGGGAUGGCCAAGUCGGAAUUCUUGUGAUAUGUUUCAAGGGCUCUCUAUUGAAUAUAAGUACGUUCGGAUCGGAGUUCAGAAGAGAAAGUUAAGGCGCAAUCAAGUUUUGCACUUAAAUUUCGUGUUGCGAAUGGCUUGAACAAUCGCUUUGGUUAUGCGAUUUGUUAGCGCGUAGAAGUCCUUUUGUUAGAGUUAAGGCGUAAUUUAGUUGUUUCGAAGUAGAGACAGUGUUUUAUUAGAUUUUAACAUUUUUCUCGGUUAUUUGAUAGGACCUUGAAUUCGACGAUACGAGUAUCGUUCGUCGUUUGGUCAUCGACGACGAGGUGAGUGGUACUAUAUCUUCUUUGGUUUUAUAAAAUCAUGUCUUGAAGUAUAUAUAUGUAUAUAUAUGUAUAAUAUUGAAUUGAGAAGGGCAUUUUUAUUGCAUAAAAGCUAGAUCGAGCAAUUGCUACUCUUUGGUUGAUUGUGAAUCUUUGAAAAGCACAUUAUACAAGGUUUGUGGAGAAACAUAUAUGAAAUUGCUUUGCGACUGAUUUAUAAAAAGGUUUAUGAUGAUUUGAGAAACGGAUAUGAAAUGGAUGAUGGGCUAUGUUGCAAAAUGUUAUUUGUUUGGUUUGAGAUAUUGAUUUUUGGAUUGGAUUUCUGGUAUUGGAGAAUGGUUAUUUAUGCUCAAUAUGACUGUGAAUCCAGUGAUGGGUUUUUGGGGUAUGCAUACCAAGUUUAGGAUAUCCUUCUGGGCCUAGCCACCGGCUUUGUAGGUGGAGACCUUGCCAAGGGGGGAAUCUUGGUCGCCUUGUCACAAGGCGUUGUGUUGUGACCAUGGUUAGUUAUUGAGCAAAAGAUUGAUCAAUGGAUAGACCAUUGAUAUGUGUUUUUGAUGGAGAUUAUUCGAUGGAUUCGACCAUUGAUACUUGACUUUUGAUGGCAAUUCAAAUGAGUUUUUCGUAUUAGUAUAAAUUUUUGAUGAUAAGAAAUAACUUUUAUAUGAUUCGAUAUGUAUUUUAUAUAUUGAAUUGGUGUUAUGAAAUUUGGUAUUGUUUUGUAUACAUGCAUAGUGGUUGUUCGAUCUGCUUAGAAGAUAUGUACUACUCACUGAGCUGUGGUUGCUCAUCCCAUUCCUCCUUUAAUCUUUUCAGGUUCCUCAGCUAGCGGCGAAUAGAGCGAGUGCGUAGUCGGUGGGAACUUUUGGGGAGUUCUAUUUUGUUUUUGGUAUGGUUAAAGGAAGUGGUGCAAAUAAUACUUACUAGUAGUUGGAUCGUUUAAGUUUUAAACGUAUAUCUUAUUCUCUUUUGGUGGAUUAUAGAAACUCUGAUGUUGCAACCAAUUUGUUGGUUCAUCUAAUAUAUAUAUAUAUGGUUUGAGAUAUAUAUAAGUUAAUAUCAGUUUGUUGGUUGUAUUUGAGGCUGCGUCCUGUGAAAAGAAGGACGGCCGUGUCAUUCCCAUUCUUUGUGGUUUUGGGGUGUGACACUCUUCAUCCGAAUUGCGACCCCUGUCCUUGUCCUCUGCUCCUCCAUCCCUCCCCUUUCAUUCUCUGGAAUCUGUAGAUCAUCAAUUACAUGUGUCUUACGCUUUUGCCAAAAUGCCCAAAUGCUCUCAUGGCGAGGAAUUCUUUUGCCUUUUAUGGAUUGAUUUUAAUGAUAAAUAGGGUUGAGGGCCUUUCUCCUGCUAAAAAAAUCGAGCGAGUUAACUAAGUCGAGCCCCUAUGCCGCGGCCAUAUGCAACCAUGGCCGUGCGAGGCCAGCAACCCCUGUCUAUCGCGACUUCCACUGGACAUAGGUUGUGAGCUCCAUGCGGAGAAAAAAAGAGACCAAGGGAUAGCAAACAGGUCAAACUGGUGUGGAGUUAAUGUUGUCGGUGGAUUCACGCGCGAAGGUGAGGGCUUGUGAUGGCAAUGGGUGGGCGACAGUGAGCGGCGAUUCUGUAAAAAUCCUAAGCUAUAUUAAUUACUAAUUAUUCCAAUUUUUUUUUUCAUCAUAAAAAAUCGAAACUUGUCUCAGAAAUCCAAAAGUACUUUCCAUUGGAUGUUUACUUACGCACCGCUUUUCAUUAUUUUGAGUGUAAAUUUCUCUUCUAAAUUAUGUUAGGAUUAGUCUAGACAUUAAAAAAAAAACUACAAAAACAUUUGCAUGGACACUUAGUGGUUUCAUAAAGAUUAUAAUUGGUAAUCAAGAUUGUAUGGCCAUUUAGAUAAACAGCCUUCCAAGUUAGUGGUACCGCAAGGGCGCUAAUAGAAACAUUGGCGUAAACAAGUCCCCGUUCCUAGAAAUCUCUGGUUGCGUAUGAAUCGAGACAACACUCCCGUGUCUUGAUUGGUUUCCAGCCGACCUCAAUAGGCUAGUGGCGACUCCUAGAAUUACAUAAGUUGUUAAUAACUAAAAAACGAAUCCAACAUCGCGCGGGGUAUGGGCUUGGGAGAGCCCGCGCCUAAUCUAGGGCCAUUGGUCCACCUCUUUACGCAAAUACCCCUAAACCUUCUUCUUUUUCCCCGGACGGAAAAUUUGGAGGUCAUGACAGCUUGGCGACUCCACUGGGGACUUGGUUGCAAACCUUAGAAGACUUAGGCCGUAAUAACUUGGUUGGUUGUUCACUAACAUGGUCUUCAUUUGAUAGCGCGUGUCAAAGUCGCGUGGAAAACAAGGUUAGCCCGCUAACAAUGUGUUAAAUGUUUUUGUAGGUUUGGAGUAAUAAGGGGUGGAGUGUUUGUUAACCCAUCUCUUUUGUAGGGAGGCGUAGGAAUGUAUGCCGAUAUGGAUGAAAUUGAAGUGUUGUUUGGAUAUCAAUUGAUGUGCGUGCCUUUAUACUUAUCUUAGUACUACACAUUUACACACACAGCUUGCGAUCUAAAACCCCGAUCGCACUAGGAAGCCCAUAUGAGGUGCCAAAAGAUGGAACCCGUGCGGGGAAUGACCCAUGGUUAUCCACUUUUGGUCCCGCUCAUUUUGAUUAAUGAUAAAGAGAACUGUCCGACGUAAGCGCGGAGUGGGGAAAACUCUUUUGAUCUAAUCAAAAUGGGGACCUUAAGCCUUUAGAACUCCACCUUUAUGUGUCAAACCUCACAAGUUUGCAUCCGCAUGUCUAUGUGACUUAGAAAAAAAAAGGGUCUCUUCACCCACUGUAAGUAUGAUUUCUCCAUCUACUUGCUCACUUCGGAUUGAAAUUUUUAUUUAUUGGAGAUUCGCGGAAAUCAAUGGAAUGCCCUUGAAAAUAUAGGCUUGGCACUCACUUUUGAUAAAUAAGCAUUUCAAAUACCUAUGAUCUACUAAACAUAUGUUUUUGUUAAAUUUUCAAUUAUGAACUUAAAGUCACAUUUUGUAUAGAAAUUCUUCCAAAUCAAGAUUACAUUUUGGGGCAUAGAAUUAAAAUCAAAUUUUCAAUAAAACUCUUUGUUGGUCACAUUUCAAAAUUAAAAUUCAAAUCCCAUGUUGUAUAUUGAUUUUUCAAAAUAAAAAUCACCUCACCUUUGCAUGAGUGAAACCACAAAUUAAUUUUUUAAAAUCAAUGCCCCAUUUGUGUAUGAAACUUUUGGAACAAAGUGGGCAUUCAAUUGAUAGUCACGGAUCUAUCUUUUAAUGAAAUCUCCUCUUACUAAUAAAAUCUUGACGAAAUACCAAACUCUCGUAAGUGGAUACUACGGAGAAGGUAUCGUCGCCUUGAUUUCAUUGUAAGAGGCGGCUUUAUUGAAAGAUCAAUUUUUCAUUCAUAUAUUGACAUUAUCUUCCUUUCGCAGGUCAUGCGUGACAACCAUUCCUUAAAGCUAGGACGAGAAUUGUGCUUAUUAUGCUCCUCUAUGAAAGAGCUUCUUGUACUUUAUCCUUGUCAUUAUUCCUAUUAGGAAACGUGUUUUGCGUUUUGGGUUUUGAUUGUGGACCUAAUCAAAUGCCUCUGUAAAUCAUACAACUCACAUUUUCUAAUAAUGAAAUUAGAGUUCAUAAAAGUUAUACCCUUUAAAACACUUGAAGUGUUUCAAACGAACCCUCUGGGCUGAGUUUUAUGCCUUAGCUUCAAAAUGUGUGAAAAUAAGUUUCAAGAACUUGCGUAAUACUUUAUCUCUUCACUUAAUCGCUUUUGCAGGUUGAUCCGUAGAACGAUGCUUUGAGGGGGUAAGGUUGUAAUCGUUCCAAUAGGGAUUUCUUGCGCAACAACUAACUCAGUCAUCCAUUUUUGUGAAGCAGGCAAGAUGACGGUUUUGUUCAAGAUUGACAAAAGUGCGGGCCUUUCCCUAAUAGAGCGAGUCAUGAGAUGCACCAAUUCAUGCUCAUUUAUGGGCAUAGUUGGUUGAGCCAUGAACUACUUGAAUAUUUUCGCAACAUAUGAAUUCAAACAUUGUAAUUAAGUGUGAAAAGAAUCAUCAAGGCCUCGAAGAUCACAAAUCUACUGGUCUAAUGAAGUUCCACAUGCUGGACGACCUCAUAUUAAUUUGACAUUCUUCGUGGAAGAAGAAAUUUGUAGACAUUCUUUGGCAACAAACUACUUCGUUGGUUGCGAACAAGAAGCAUUUGCAAUCCCUACACUUCCAACGGUUUCUUGGCAUCCAAUCCUGUAUGGAGAUGAUUAUUGGUGGUAUGCAAGACAACACUUCGAGAUGUAGAUGUACACAAGCAAGAAUCGGUCAUCAAAUGUUGCAUUCAAAUAAAAGGUGGUAAUCGUUUCAAGUUAAAUUCGAUUUAUUUUAUGAAUGACUUGUCCUUCAACUUGGCGCAGAUUUUAGUGAGGCAAAUUACUGGCAAGCAACAAGAUUACAUGGGGAGGACAACCUGGUCCAGAAUCACACGAUCUCUAAAAGAAAAGGGUGUGUUCGUUCCAAAAGUCAGAACAACUCAUUCAUAAACUAACAUAGCCACCCAUGCUUACAGAUUGUGAAAUGGGAAAUGCAUUGAUGCAGCAAAAAUGGCGAAAAAUCACCUAGCCUAAAAGGGGUACGCGGGAAACCAAGUAAAGCAUGAAGGAUUCAAAUGAAAUGAAGAUUCAUCAAUCCAACAUAAUGAAGCUGAAAUUUUAAUUGGGGCAGAUGGCCAUAAAAUGGAUCGGGGGCAUGCAAUGCCUGAGUCACCCGACUUCUAAAAGGGGAAAAUUUCAAAUGGAAUAGACAUUUGCCAAGUGAAUCACUGUCAAUCAUGAAAGCAAAUCCCUCUUCAUAGCCAAGGAAACGAGAUGGAACGCAGUCAUCAUAUAUGCCGUAAAAGGGAGUAUACCGUUCCUAAAAUGAAUCAUGUCGAGUAUGAAAAUAACAUAUUCGUCUCUUUUUCCUUGCAGUUGAUGAAUGGGGCAAAUCACUUACAGCAGAGCAAUUUUGACCCAUGAGCAAGAUGAAACAUAGUCAAUUGAUUCAGCACGAAAAGGGAGUAUCGUUUCUAAAUUAGUCCAAUUCAAUUUUGGAAUAUAAGUACCAUGCCCUAUCUCUUGUAGGAAAAGGUGCACAUUGACCGUUGGAGCAACACCUUAUACCAAGAAGGCAUGUUAAGGCCUAACCAUCCAUUUUGAUGGAAUAAAUGGAGUAAAAUAUCCACGGAGCAAUGCCCUCACAUGUCGAAACAAUGAGUACCCCUCUCCUUUCAUCUUUGACGCCCACUUAGAAUGAGUGAAUUCGAUAACAUCUUUGAAAGGAAGACCUUCAAGGAAAUGUUAACACCUGAGGAGCAAAAGCACAUGAAGAGGAAACACAAGAUAUUUAAAGUCAGCUGCAGGAGAAGGGUAAUUCGGUAUUGUUUCCAAAAUGCCCCUCUCUAACUUCAUUAUUUGACGUAGUUCCCUUGUUUGACAGGAAUCGUCGGUAUUCGGGGAACAAGCUCGAGAAAUUGAUUUAAGCAUAAUUCAUAUCAACCAAGCAAGCAUGUGGAGCCAACACAUGACAAAGUCACCUAAGUUGGCUUAAAAUAUGUGUCGUUCUAGAGCCGGUUCAAUUAAAUAAAAAAAGAAGCGCCUUAUGGACACUACCAGCGCUUUGGCCUGGUGGUAUGGGGAAUGAAGUGGGUCUGAGAGGUACGGGGUUCGAUCCCUGGAAACAGCAACAAGGUUGCCAUGUAAAUAAUAAUAAUAAAUAAAUAAAUAAAAACUUUUGCAUCUCUUAUUUUUGCAAAAAGAGGAAAAUGCUUGAACUAAUGAGACCAAAGAUCUGAGAUUCUCUUCAAGCCUUAAAAUAGUACAUUCAUUCCGUUGUUUGCCGCCAAAUGGUGAAACUAACCAAGGGUAAUGUUGUAUCGUUUCCAAUUUUACGAUCCCUGAGGAUUCAUGUACUAACACAUUCCCUUUUGUUCUUCGUAGGGUCGCUUGACUACUAAGGCACAGGUAAGUACCCUUCUUCUCAAAAUCAAAUGGAAAAUAAAUGGGGAAUUUCCAUCACAAAAAAAGAACAUCUACUGUUUUUCUAGAAGCAAGCACAAAAAAAAAAAUGGAAAUUGAAGAAAAAAAAUUUCCACAAAGUUUGCAAAAAUCUUCUUUAUCAUUAAAUUGUUCAUCCACUUGAUGGAUCACUCAUUUCGAAUCAAAAUUCCCUAGGGAGAUUAAUCCAUCCAAAUGUUCUCAACAAAAAUGAAAGGGAUGUUACUCAUGCCAAGCAAGAAACAUUUAGAAUGAGGAAAGACAACCCAUUUCCAAACAUGUCCUUUAAACACUCUGGGAUUCGAGCGAAAAAGAAAACCUGUGUCAUUCAAGGUCAUCGAAUUCAUUCGCAAGCGGUACAUAGACCAAUAUGAUAAGAGGCAUUUCUUUCCUCUAUCAUACACACUACAGGUGACAAUAGUUAGCCCAUUUGAGCCUUUUAAUGUGAAGAAUUUUCUACAAAAUACCCCUGUCAAGAACCACCCCACGAUGGGGCAAUUAUGGAGAUUUGGGUUGACAUUAUUUGGAGAGAAAAGAUGAGAAAGGUUUCUUUACUCUCACUUGCAUAAAUCUUUUCUAUGGUAACUUCAGGUGAAUUCUUAUGGAAGCUUGAAGCAUCCCAAGGUAAAGAAGAGCAUUCUUUUCUCUACCCAAACACCGAUACCCUUUGCUUAAACCAUAUUGAGCCUAACUAUUCAUUUCUAAAACCCGAGUGGUGAUUAUCUCCCCACAUUGGGGCAGGGCACAUGAUUUACCAAUGCAAUUGGUGUUUAUAUGAGAAUAUGAAAAGCAUCUUGAAAGUCCCAAGAGCUCAAAAAGUUUGAAAGAACAAAAGUCAAGUGAAAAUUAAGGGGCAUGAAAAAGCAGUGUGCCUGGUAAAAGCAAGGCCAAUGCCCACAAAAAAGGGAGAGAGAGUGGAAGAAAAACAAUUGCAUCAAGAGGAAUAUCUCUGUGAAAGCAAAAAUGGCAAAAAAAAAUGCAUGCAUUGAAAAGAAAAUCAUUGCAAAUGCAAAAGCCAUUAUGUUAAGAUGAUUAGUCAAAGGACUUUCAAGACAAUUUGAAUUCUAAACAUUGAGUGCUUUAAAAAAUGGAUGAUAUGGUAAUGAUGCCAUGAUAAUCACCAACUCCCAAAUCCCCCUUUGACAAAAAAGUUCUAAGCCUUUUGAGCUAAGCCUUUUGAACCUUUCCCCGAAACAACAUUACAACCCAUUUCCAAAGUCUCUUCAGAUUGGGAUGAUUUGAAGUGGAAAUAAGGACUUCCUAAAGAAGAUGCCGCUCGAAGAAGUGAGAGUAAGGUUGUCUUAUCUCAUCUUAAGGUUUCUUGACUUGUAAACCUGGCGGAGAUGUCGAUCAGUGAUUAAUUCAUUUCAUAGCCAAUGAUGCUUAUCCAUUGCUAAAACCAUGACCAAACCUGCACUACGGUCCUUCUAAAAGACCUCUUUGAUUGGUCAAUGUGUACUUAUUGCGAAUGAUUCAAAGCCUUGCGCACUGGAAGAGUGAGGUUGAGUGAUCAGUUUAUUUCCCACAUGAACAGAUUGGGAUCAAAUAACCAUUUUCUUGAGGAUAUGCGAGAAGCCCUUUCUGACUAGGGAUCCUUGCUUGGCAUACUUAACAAACCUUUCUCAUAAGUCGGGGUCAUUUCGACAAGGACUUUUCUCCCAAGAGAAUUUGACGAUUAAUGGUAUCAUCCGAGCGUGAUGACAGUUUUGCGAGUUUGUCAAGUUGUCGGAAUUAGUUUGAUUUGUUUAUGCAAUCAUUGUCUUCUCAUUACCGAUACACUUUUGAUAUUGUUUCUAAUGACAUAUGUUGAAAUUGACCUCAUCUAGUAUGCUUUCGCUACUAGAACACUUGUUAUAAUGAAUACUAUUUGAUGUGCACCAUUUCAGAAUAUUCUCGAAUGACAGGUUCCUCCAGUGAAACCACACAAUUUCAAAGGGUUCAUGGGUUAGCCUUAAACCAUGCACUUUCAAGAGUUCUUGGUUACCUUUAAACCUUGCAAUUCUAAAGAGUUCAUGGGUUAGCUUUAAACCAUGCAUUUUCAAAGGGUUCUUGGUUAUCCUUAAACCAUGCAAUUUUCAAGGGUUCUUGGAUGAGCCUUAAACCAUGCAUUUUCAAAAGGUUCUUGGUUAUCCUUAAACCUGGCAAUUUCAAAGGGUUUAUGAGUUAUCCUUAAACCAUGCAUUUUCAAAGGGUUCUUGGUUAUCCUUAAACCAUGCAAUUUUCAAGGGUUCUUGGAUUAGCCUUAAACCAUGCAUUUUCAAAAGGUUCUUGGUUAUCCUUAAACCUGGCAAUUUCAAAGGGUUUAUGAGUUAUCCUUAAACCAUGCAUUUUCAAGAGGUUCUUGGUUAUCCUUAAACCAUGCAAUUUUCAAGGGUUCAUGGGUUAGCCUUAAACCAUGCACUUUCAAAAGUUCUUGGUUACCUUUAAACCUUGCAAUUCUAAAGAGUUCAUGGGUUAGCUUUAAACCAUGCAUUUUCAAGAGGUUCUUGGUUAUCCUUAAACCAAGCAAUUCUAAAGGGUUCUUGGAUUAGCCUUAAACCAUGCAUUUUCAAAAGGUUCUUGGUUAUCCUUAAACCUGGCAAUUUCAAAGGGUUUAUGAGUUAUCCUUAAACCAUGCUUUUUCAAGAGGUUCUUGGUUAUCCUUAAACCAUGCAAUUCUAAAGGGUUCUUGGAUUAGCCUUAAACCAUGCAUUUUCAAAAGGUUCUUGGUUAUCCUUAAACCUGGCAAUUUCAAAGGGUUCAUGGGUUAGCCUUAAACCAUGUAUUUUCAAGAGGUUCUUGGUUAUCCUUAAACCAUGCAAUUCUAAAGGGUUCUUGGAUUAGCCUUAAACCAUACAUUUUCAAGAGGUUCUUGGUCAUCCUAAAACCAUAUAACUUACGUGGUUAGUGGGACUGCCUUAAACCACACGGUUAGUGGGACUACCUUAAACCACACGGUUAGUGGGACUACCUUAAACCACACGGUUAGUGGAACUACCUUAAACCACACGGUUAGUGGGUUUACCUUAAACCACACGGUUAGUGGAACUGCCUUAAACCACAAGGUUAGUGGGUUUACCUUAAACCACACGGUUGGUGGGACUACCUUAAACCACACGGUUAGUGGACUGCCUUAAACCACAAGGUUAGUGGGACUGCCUUAAACCACACGGUUCGUGGGAAUGCCUUAAACCACAAGGUUAGUGGGACUGCCUUAAACCACAAGGUUAGUGGAAUUGCCUUAAACCACACGGUUUGUGGGAAUGCCUUAAACCACAAGGUUAGUGGGACUGCCUUAAACCACAAGGUUAGUGGGACUGCCUUAAACCACAUGGUUUGUGGGACUGCAUUAAACCACAAGGUUAGUGGGUUUGCCUUAAACCACACGGUUAGUGGGACUGCCUUAAACCACAAGGUUCGUGGGACUGCCUUAAACCACACGGUUAGUGGAACUGCCUUAAACCACAAGGUUCGUGGGUAUAUCCUUAAACCACACCUUUCAAAUUGUUCACAAGUACAUCCCUAGAUCACACUCUUUACAUUAAGCUUACUUGCAUUUUCAUUUUACUAUUGUAAAAAAAACAAAAAAACUAAAAAAAAAAACUAAAAAAUUAGGUGUCACAUUGUCUUUGAAAGAAAUCUCUUUGAGAUUUCUUCUAAAGAGGGGCAGCUGUUGACACCUAAAUUUUUGCCAAAAAAUAUUUCAUGUUAAAUUCUUGCAUAUAGAUUAUUUAGGCAUUUUAAUAUAGUGUUUUAAAUGGAAUAUGUUUUUACUUUAAAAGAAAAUUGAAAAAAAAAGAUUAAAAAAAAGAAAAGAAAAAAAAGUUGGGGCCAAUGAUCUAAAUGUGACUAGCCAAGCCAAGGAGGUUAGAUUGGAAUUCAAAUGGUAAGUUUGGGCCAAAAUGCAAUUUCCAAAAGUUGAGGGACCAAUUUGCAAAUUUUGCAAAAUUUGCGCCCAAGCCCGUAAAUCAUAAUCUUGGUCACCAAUUAAGUUGAAAUUGAAUUUGGGCCAACUCGAAUCAAUCAAAUUGAGCGAAAAGGACCAAAUUUGCCUUGAGUUGGGUAUUUUCGGAUAAGAAAAUGGCUAAGUUUGAGGGACUUUCUUGCAAAAUUGGGUGAGCUGGGUCAGUGGACAGGCUUGGUAGGUGGACAAAAGGCCGACCAAAAAUUCUCUAAUUGGGGGGGAUAACAUUACGGAAGGGAGGUCUUUCGAGGGAGUGGAGAGAGGAGACGAGAGGGAGAGGAGAGAGCUUGGAAUCGUCCCCCAAAGAGGCCCUCAGAAGCAACUCUAGAAAAGCAAAACCCAGAAAUUCCAGACCGACCUGAAGAGAGAAAAGUGAGAUUUUCACACACCUGUGGCCAAAAUUAGCCAAACCCUUCAACUAGAGAGUGAAAAUUCAUUCAAAGAUCUUUCCAACCAUAGGUCGCAAGUCCCAAAUGGAGAUCGGGAAGGCCUCCUAAAGCCCCCCGAAAACAGUGCCCUCCUGGCAGGCCAAGAAAGUCCGAAAUUUUUCUAAGUGUUGAGCCUGAUUGUUCAUGAGUGAGGAAAAACGAGUGCUUUUGAGAAACUUGAGAGACAAUUGAGGAAAGCCAUGACUUACAAGCCAAACGAUAAUAUAUAUAGUUUUGGUUGAUUUGAACUUCGUCAACAAGGAAGGUUUGGAAAUCUAAUUUUGGAAGUUAACGAAAACCUUCGUUGUCACCUUUUCUUCUGCAGAUCUCACUUUCAGCUCGAAGGAACCAGUUUCCACGUGCUUCCAGAGGACAAUUUCGUGGUUUCCUUGGCCAACAGUCACUUGAAAAAGGAACUAGGAAGCAAGAUUUGCAAAACGGCUCCAACCCGCAUAUUGAAGGCCGUUUUCAGUUUGAUUCUUGCGUGUUCUAGGCUGUAAUUUCUAGUCAAAUACGUUCUUUGCAUGUAGUAGUAUAUCCUUGAUACUUUACAUUCACAUGAGAUUGCUUAUGGGUUGAGAUUGAAGGCCACGAACAUGACCCGAAUAAGCCGUUUUGGAGUGAUUUGAUGCAAGCCAAGUGUUCGACAAAAUGCUCAAACUAAGCUUCGAUCUUGAAACGGUCGAUUUGAGCUUGAUUAUUGUGAUAUUCAUGUGCUGUGUUACUCCAUGUUAGCAUAGAUCGGUUUAAGGAAUUAUUUUUUUUUUUAAAAUAAUUAAAAAAAGAGAAAAAUAUGAAAAUUUCAAAAAUAUCAAAAAAUGUUAGAUAGCAUCAAAUUAGGAUAUAAAUGACAUAUAUGAAAUUUUCCUAAUUUUAAAAUGUCAUUUUCCUAAUUUAAUGCUAUUUUGGUAUUUUAUAACCAUUUUUGUAAAUAAUCCAUUUUGUGUAGAUUAAAACUAUUUAAAGUAAUUUCAUGCAUAUAGAGUAAUUUCAUGCAUAUUUGAACUCUCAUUUUGCUCAUGGGGGUCCUGUCCCGGGGUGUGAUAACAAGGCCAUGUAAUAUUAUUUGCCCGACUUGUAUCGGGUUUACCUUUUCCGCGUUUAUUUUCAAGUCAUUUCAAUUUCUUGGAUGUUUACUUACGCGCCGCUUUUCAUUAUUUUGAGUGUAAAUUUCUCUUCUAAAUUAUGUUAGGAUUAGUCUAGACAUUAAAAAAAAAAACUAAAAAAACAUUUGCAUGGACACUUAGUGGUUUCAUAAAGAUUAUAAUUGGUAAUCAAGAUUGUAUGGCCAUUUAGAUAAACAGCCUUCCAAGUUAGUGGUACCGUAAGGGCGCUAAUAGAAACAUUGGCGUAAACAAGUCCCCGUUCCUAGAAAUCUCUGGUUGCGUAUGAAUCGAGACAACACUCCCGUGUCUUGAUUGAUUUCUAGCCGACCUCAAUAGGCUAGUGGCGACUCCUAGAAUUACAUAAGUUGUUAAUAACUAAAAAACGAAUCCAACGUCGAGUGGGGUAUGGGCUUGGGAGAGCCCGCGCCUAAUCUAGGGCCAUUGGUCCACCUCUUUACGCAAAUACCCCUAAACCUUCUUCUUUUUCCCCGGACGGAAAAUUUGGAGGUCGUGACAUCUUGUUACUAAUACUAUAAGUAAACUUGAAUCAGUGACUCGCAAAUAUUAUGCGUCAUAGUUCCAUCCAAGACGGCCGUUAAAAAUCCAACAUGACCACUUGCUUGGACAUCAAUAGGCAAAUGGAGCCAAUGUAAAUUUGACGUGAUUUUAGUAUGGUCUAAAAUGACUUUAGAGAAACAAAUUGGACAUGCUUUUACCAAUGUGGAGUAUACAUCUUCUUAAUGUCACAAUUUUACGAUGGUUACUGUCAUAGAGGUGAUGCCAUAAGUGCUGAGAUACUUUCAUGCAGAUUGUAACAACUACUUUUUCGUAUACGAAAUAAUGAAGUUAACGUUCUCCUAGGUGAAGAGUGGGCAUCAACCAAUUUCAAACACAGUAAAGACAAAACAGCAAUUUAUAAGGUAUCUCAGAUAAUUCACCACAUAAUAAAUUGACAAAAUAAUGCACUUGGAAUUUAUAUAAUUUGACCUGACCUCACUAGGAAAGUUAAUUAGCAAUUCAAAGCCACUGAAACAUUUAAACCAAACCAAAACAAAACAAAGAAGAUCUGAACAAGGGUACUCGCAGAACUAUAUCACUAGUCAACAUGCAAAGUGCACGUGAGAAGAAGAUUUACAUAAACCUCUUUGUAAUUGAUAUGUAUAACAGAAUAGGAAGUACUUCUUAUCAGAAAAAAAGUACUCAAGAGAGAAGGUGUCCAUUCUUUUUUCUUGUGCAGAAAUUUAUCGAGUUUGAUCUAACAACUCCAUGAUGUGCUGAAUUUCCAAAUCUCCCGUGGUGAAUGCCUACCCGAUCAGACUGAAUUGAGGUCAUACAGCAACCCCUUUUUAAGGCAGGAAGUCCAUAUCAGACUUUCCCUUCCAUCUUGGUAGUUUGUAGAUGUAUUAUCUCUGUAAGAUGGAGAUUCUUGGUGUUUGUCCGUUAAGACUAGCAUGCGAAUCGAACAAAGUCAACCCCAAAAUCAUGCACCGCUUACCAAUUAGUCGGGGGUUCACACCAAUAGCUCUCACAAUACUAACCGAGAUACACUUCUUUCAUCACUUGAUUCGAAUCAUUUCACUGUUCCCGCCGCUCCAUGGCUUAUUGCAGCAUCAUUAUCUGGACUGCCCUUUCCAGUGAUCUAUCUUGUGCUUGUUAGACUCCUCUGGAAGAAAUCUUUGAACGGAACAGCAAAAAUAACGAUGGUAGCAACUGUGACCACACGUAGGGCAACCUCAAGUGCGUCAAUCGUUUUGCGCUUAGCACAAGUGGUCCACCUCGGCAGAAACAACAAUCACUGAGCUGCUACUGCUCCCCCUCCUCCUCGGAAGCUUCGGACGACGCUGCUGGUUCGAGGGCUUGGCCAUGGCAGUGCUAAGAACCUAUUUCGGCGGAGAUCGACCGAUCGAGGUCGUCGCUGCUCGUUCUAGAGAGAGAGAAAGAGAGAGGGGCUGAAUCAGAAUCCGAAGUGACGAUCUGAAAUAAAAAUGGGGGGAGGAGAGAGUCGGAGGGUGAUGGUGGGAUAGUCGGAGGAGAGAGUCGGUGUUGGAAACUGGUGGAAGCAGAGGAGGAUUCUUUGCGUCUUUUCGGAUUUUUGUUUUAAUUAGUUUCUCGCUUUUCCUUUUUAUCUUUUGGGGUUUGGUUUUUUCCUUUCGGUUUUUCUUUUCAUUUGUCGCAACACGCGAGUGGCGCAAAGAUUUGCCGCCAGCAAGAGAGGGAGGCAAAAUUGUAUUUUCGUUUCCCCUGCCGCAGAAUUGAGGACAGCAGCGUCAGCUCCCGCGCGAGAUGAGACUUGCGGCUCUAGGAUUAGAGGUGGUCUGACCUGCCCUUGCUGCCUGACGCAACCGACUCUCGAUGGUCUGCGAUUUUUUCCUCCGUAUAUUAAGAGAGUAGAGAGGGAAAAUUAAACGUAAUUUCCCUCCCUGAAGUUUUCGCUGUUGAAGAUUAAGUUUGAACCAAAACUACUCAAUUUACACGUACGUAUACAGGCCGGUCAUUGCUGUCUUACCGCGUGCUAUAAGCCAGGAAAUAUCUCCGUAUGAGGUAGCAAUAUAUGCAAGAUACAAGCUCGCCAAGGAUUCACUCAUCAUGUGGUUCGAAUUUGUCAACUCGGGAAAAAUAGUAUGACCAGCCUAUUGUUAAGUCAUCGCAUUUGAGGGUGGACUACAAUUUUUUCAUGUUCAUUCUUCUUUCUUUUUCAACUCAUUUCAAGUAAAUGAGUCGUGUAUGAAUUUGAUAAAAGCAUGAGAGGUGUAUAAAUCUGUUUCGUGCUUAUUAGCACGUAUGUUUGAUGAGUGACUGAUUUAUCAACACUAGCUAUAAAUGAAGGGAUUUGGGGAUUGUUCUCUACAAGAAGUUAUUGUUACACCCUUCACGCUCUUGAAUCACUCCUUGUUCUUCACUUCCGCUUGUUGUUUUGUGUACUAAUUGCUUUGUACUUUUUGAAUAACACGAUUUUUUAGAUUAAGCUUGAAUCUGAAAAUAUUUGACUCGAGAAGCUUGCCAUCGUAAUGGAGUACUCAAUUGCAAUUUCAAAUGCCUCCACUAAUAUAAAUAAACAAAUGAAUUAUAUCAAUUUUAAUUUUAGUGCAUAGUAACUAAGUAAUUGAAACGUAGAACACCCAUUUGUCCAAAAGAACAUCUCAUUCUCUUGGGCUAAAAUACAAUUGAAGGCAUCCCUAUGCGGUCUUUUUGAAUGUUUCGAUUUUAGCAAAACUUACUUCAAUGCCCUCACGCACACGACGUAAAUCACUGAAUGUGACAUUAAAAAUGCCCGCCAACAAAAUAAGAUCCCAGGGGCAAAUCAAGAAAGAUCGUGAAGAAUAUGGAGUGGAACAAAUUGCAUUUGAGGGUGAUGGUUGUUCUAACAUGCUUGUGUCACGGGCUUAUCGAUUAGGAUCGUGACCGCGUGGCGACUCGAGCACUUUAGGAUCGGAUGGAUCACCGAAGCACCUAAGCCAAGCCUUGCUCGGUCGAACGCUCACUCGCUCGCCUUACCCGGAUCGUAGAGAGAGAAAGAAUCUAGAUAGAAAAGCUCUAGAAAGAAGCUUUGCUUUAUAUUGCGGAAGUAAUGGAUGCCUACAAAUGAAAGAGGACACCCCUUUUAUAGUUGAGGGCCUCGGAUUACAUCCAUUGAUCUAGAAUUCUAUCAGCGGACGAGAUCGCACCGCCUCAACUACCGACAUAAGUGCCAAUUACCGUCUACCGACAUAAAUAACAGAACAGACUUCUGUAAUAGGACUCAAUGACGGUUUCGCCCGCCCUUGGAGACUUUGGGUAGAAGGUUCGGUGGGAAUCCGAGUGAGAGCAGGAGGUCCACGGGCGAGUUGGGGUCGACUCUGGGGAACCUCUCAGAUCGACUCUCUUUAGGCCCGUGAUAUUCUCCCCCACUCAAUCGAGCGACGUCCUUGUCGCUCUCAGCUUGAUGGGCAGCUUUGCGGGCUUUGACACGAGCUUUGUUGUUCUUGUUUCGCUUCGCUCGGACACUCAUGAACGAAGGGUCACAACCUUCGAUGAUGAAUUUGGAUUUGUCAUGCGGCUCGGUCUUCGAUUUGGACGGAGCAAGUGGCGCGCACUCGACCUCGGGGAAGAGCGCUUGGAUUGGCAUGGCGUGGGUUGGAGUAGGAUCCAACUCGACCUUUGGCUUCACCUCGGACAGCUUGUUGAUGCGCAUCACAGCCUUUAAGCUCUUGUUGAGGCGUCGGAUUGACGCGAUGGUCUUGGUGUUGACCACCCCUUUGAUCAUGGGGAUCAUCGACGGGCACUUUUGGUCGAGGAUCAUCAUGCACUUUGUCCUCAUGUCGAUCAUGGCUCCCACACUUUCGAAGAAUUGCAUGCCAAGAAUGAGAUCAUAAUCGUCAAGAGGGAUUACCUCGAACGUCAUUCUGCCCUUCCACCCGCCAAUUUUGACAUCCACGUCGGGUGUUGCUCCUACGCCAUGGAAGUCGCCCGAAUUGAUGGGCUUGUACGACUUCCCGGAUGGUUCCACGUGAAGUCCCAAGGCUUUUGCAACCUCAGUCAACAUGAACAUGUUGGAUGCGCCGGUGUCGACCAAAGCGUAAAGUGUUCGGCCGCCCACUUCGACCUCCACGAAGAACAUGUCUGUGUUUGGAGUGAUUCCUUUUCCUUUGGUUAGCGAUCGGGCUUGGAUCGAGUUUACCAUCUUCACAGCUCCAAUCCGGAUUUGUCUCCUAUCUUCUUUGGGCACCUCCUUUUCUUCCUCGAUGGCAAGGAGGGUGUUGAUGCGACCCCUCUUCGGGCACUUUUGGGUCCAAUGCAGACCUUUGCAAAUAAAGCAAGGAGAGGGUGGAGGUUGAUCGAACUUACUCGCGUAGUCCGUUUGCGGUCGACCUCUUUGGAAGUACGGCUUGGAAGACCCUUCUCCCCACAUCUUGGCUCGAUCGCCUUGAUCGGGCGCGCCUUGAGGAGUGUUUGUUCCUUCGUAGUCCGGUCGAUCCGACCUCUAAUCUCUUGCUCGGUUGUUUCUCGGCUCAACCUUGGUGAGAUCGACGAGAGACUCGGCCAUGCUAAGCGCUCGUGCAAGACUACUCACGUCCCGCCGUUUCAGCUCAAGUUGUGCCCAAGGCUUUAGUCCAUCCAUAAACGCUCCGAAAGCCUCCUCUUCGCUUAGGUUGCGAAUUUGGGGUUUGAGUUCCGUGAACUCCUUCACGUACUCUCGGAUCGCGCCUCUUUGCUCGAGGCGAUGGAGCAUGCUUCGGGCUUCUUGUUGAGCGAACUCGGGGAAGAAAUAGUCCCGGAACUCCCUCACGAAGUCGUGCCACAUGUUCAUGAGAUUGGCGCCACGUCGAAUCUCAUCGCACCUAUUGCGCCACCACAGCAUUGUCGUAUUAGACAGGAACAUGGAAGCGGUUCGUACCUUGGUUAACUCGUCUCGGAUGUUGACGGCGCCGAAGUAUUGCUCCAUGCUCCACACGAAGUUGUCUACUUCUUGGGCGGAUCGGUUGCCUUUAAACUCCUUUGGCUUCGGCACCUCAAUUUAGGGCACCGCUUGAGUAGGCACUGCACCGUUCGUGAUGCUGAGUUUGCAUAGGGCGAGCUCGGUUUUGAGCUCUUGGAUCUCCGCCUUCAUGGCUUCGACCUCAUCCCUACACGUGCUUACCUCUUCGAUUAUUUAGACGCGAUCGUUCAAACCAUCAAUCGAUGCUUCGAGAACUUCGUCCUUGUCGAACAAUGGAGCCGUGGCUUGGUUGAUGCCAGUCGUGAAGUCUUCGCGGAGCGAGCCCUCAACCUCCAUGAUCCAGUCUCGCACAUCAUCAAGACCUUCCAAGAGCUCGAGCAUAGCACUCCGGACCUUCCCGAUCUUCUCAUCGAACGUGACCGCAACAUCCACCGAGGCAUCUCUCUUCUUUGCUUUGCUGCGCGUGUCCUUGACUGGCACAGCUUCUCCAACUAUAGCCGCUUCUUGGCUUGACAUUCUCUCGAACAGUUGGUGCUCUUCAAUCUCUUGGAAACUGAUCUCUCUUUAGCUCUGAUACCACUUGUCACGGGCCCAUCGAUUAGGAUCGUGACCGCGCGGCGACUCGGGCACUUUAGUAUCGGAUGGAUCGCCGAAGCACCUAAGCCAAGCCUUACUCGGUCGAACGCUCACUCGCUCGCCUUACCCGGAUCGUAAAGAGAGAAAGAAUCUAGAGAGAAGAGCUCUGGAAAGAAGCUUUGCUUUAUAUUGCGAAAGUAGUGGAUGCCUACAAAUGAAAGAGGACACCCUUUUUAUAGUUGAUGGCCUUGGAUUACAUCCAUUGAUUUAGAAUUCUAUCGGCGGACAAGAUCGCACCGCCUCAACUACCGGCAUAAGUGCCAAUUACCGUCUACUGACAUAAAUAACAUAACAGACUUCUGUAAUAGGACUCAAUGACGGUUUCGCCCGCCCUUGGAGACUUCGGGUAGAAGGUUCGGUGGGAAUCCGAGUGAGAGCAAGAGGUCCACGGGAACCUCUCAGAUCGACUCUGGGGAACCUCUCAAAUCGACUCUCUUUAGGCCCAUGACACUUGAUUGCCACAAAUUGAGGCAAUACUCAAUUAUGAGUUUUGAUAGUUUCAAGUUUGAUAGAUCAAUCAAUGUAUGGAAGUCUUAAGACUAAAGCAUAGUUCAUCAAUAUAUUUAGAAACUUUGAUAGGAAUUUUAAAAUUACUUGCCUCAAAUUCACUGUCUGAGUCUGAUUCAGAGUCUGAGUCUGAUUGUGCCAUUAGACAUAGAUUGGCAUAUUCAUUAUCACUUUCUUCACACUCUGUGUCACUCCGGGUUUCGGCUUUGAGAGCUUUUCGAAAUUUUUCAGCUUUUCCUUUCUUCUUCUUCAGAAAAGGACAGUUGGGUCUGAUGUGUCCCUUUUUCUUACAUUCAAAGCAGACUAUGUCUUUGUUUGGUUCCUCAUCAUCAACAGACUUAGUCUGUUGUCUUUGAAAGCUUUGUUUCUUUGAGUUGAACCUUCUUCAUUUUCUAUUCAGUUUUCUGAAUCUUCUUAUCAUGAGAGCAAGCUCCUCAUCGUCCAUAUCUUCUUCAGAAUCUGUAUCAUCAGAAUCAUCAUUUGAUUUUAAUGCAAUGGAUUUCUUACCUUUUGGAUCUUCAUCUUCAUUGAUUCGUUCCAAUUCAUAAGAUUGAAGAGUUCCAAUUAGCUCGUCGACAGAUAGUGGCAUAAUUCUCUGCGUCUCUCUUAUCGAAGUCUUUAUGUGAUUCCAAUCCCUGGAGAGUCCACGCAGUAGCUUGUUUACCUUCAUGGGAUCAAAAGUUGGUUGACCUUGAUUUUCAAGACCAUUCACAAUAUCUGUAAAACGACUAAACAUGUCAGAUAUUGAUUCUCAUGGUUUCAUUCUGAAGGCUUCGUAUUGACCGAGAAGAAUGUUGAUUCUUGUUUCCUUCACUCGAUCUGUUCCUUCAUAAGUGAUAUGCAAUCUGUCCCAAACUUCUUUUGCUGUACCACAAGAAGAUAUUCUAUUAUAUUCAGUUGGUGAUAAAACACAAUAUAAUGAGUAAAUUGCUUUUGCAUCGAGUGUUUGUCUCUUGAUUAUUUCUUCCUGAAACAUUCCGCUGGUUUCUUCAGUUUCUUUUCCUCUUUCAGAGACUGAUGCAGUGGUAGGAGUAAUUCCUUUUUCUACAACGUCCCAUUCUAGAUGAUCCUUUGAUCGUAGGAAAGCUUUCAUCUUGUUCUUCCAGAUGUUGUAAUCCUUUCCAUCAAAGUAGGGUGGUCUGGUAUUGCUUUGCCCUUCCAUCAGCCCUGGUGCUAGCAUACUAGCCAUGGAUCUUUUACUAUGAAGUAAAACACUUCAAAUAAAGUAAGUACAUAGGCUCUGAUACCAAUUGAUAUUGCUAGUAUGAGUACCUAGAGGGGGGUGAAUAGGUGCAUAAACAAUUUAUAGAAAUACAGAAGCGAUUCUUAGCAUAUGAUAGAAAGUAAAUUCUCUCUUAAUUAACAAAAUGAUAUAUGAUCGAGGUAGAGAGAAUGAGGAAGAGAAAAUUGAACACAGGAUUUAUAGUGGUUCGGCUUAUUCCAAGCCUACGUCCACUCUUUCGCACUGACAGCCCACCGGCUGGAUUUCACUAUGAUCAAAAGAGAAGUUACAGCACAGCUUUGCCUUGAUUCCACAGUGUAGAUGUUCUACCACACCUCCUCAAGGUCUCUCACAAAUAUAGACUCUCUUUUGUAUACAAGUAUUCGCUCAAAUGAUUUAUCUAAACAAAUAGGAGCUUCAGACUUUGGAAUUCUUCUAUCGCGCACACCUUGAACAACUAAGACAGUCUUCCUUAUAUACUCCUUUAUGCCAUCAUACCCGUUGGCACUUACCAAAGGAAUUCCUCCAAUCUAUCCAUUGGACGAAAUCAAUUAGGAAGAUUGUUCAAGCUAUUAAAGGAACGUGUUGAUAGCCCAUCAAUCAUGUUCGCCCAUACAAUCAGGAUCUCGGUUUCCAUAAGCAGAACCUUCCAAUAAUACUUAGGCAAUCACCGGAUCUUCAAUUAUCGAGUCAAUCUUAGAUCAAUCAAAGGACUCCGUUAUGUCUUUUCCAGCCACGAGAUCUUCUCCAGUUGAUAAGGUCAAAUCCUUAACGAAAUAUACAGUUCUGGAUAACCUUUCUUCAACGGAUUAGAGACUGUCAAUGAGGAUAGACUUUGAGUCUUGAGUCUGGCUGUCCGGAGGUCUUCAGACUUUAAAUAGCAGAGUCUGCAAACCUUCAGACUAGACUGAUAGAAACGUUUUGUCAACUUCAAAAUACUUUAAGAAGAUUUCUCCAACAGCUACACUGUGAUGUAUUGAAAUACAUGCGUACGUGUCUAGCAAUGCAUCUUUGAAAGUUGUUGUGCUAUAGACAGCUACGAUGACUAAUAUGUUUGAUCGCUGUAGUUAUUAGAAUGAAGAAAAGACCUUUUAAUAUUGUCGCAAAGCUUUUACCAACGUUUAUAUCUGUGUUAUUGGAACUUUUGCUGGAUACCAUUUUCACCAUAUGAUGAUGAUGAUGAUGAUGAUAGUCGAAUCCGGAAUAGACAUUUUGAGAGGACUUCAUUUCCAACUUAAAUACCAAAGCAAUCCAUGUUUAUACAUGAAAUUGCAGAAGAAAAUAUAGGCAGUACGAUGCCGAACCCUUGAAAUGCACAAUCUACUGCAGCCCAAUGAGGCGGCAGCCAUAUGCAUCCAAUUGCAAAGGGCCACAAGAGCGACCGUACAAUCAUACGGGAAAGGAAAUCCCACUUGGAAUUGCUCUCUCCACCUGUCUUCCUCAACUUCAUAUCCUGUUGAACACAGUAGCAAUCUGUCCCCGUGAGCUUAACUGUUCAGAUGUUGAAAGGAUGUAUUCUGCACCAUGCCUUGGAGAUACAGCAAGACUGGCAUGAUGCCAGGUGAUAAGGGUAAAGAUAAAAAGUUCAUACUACUCGCCAUGCAGGUGAUGGGGGUAAAGAUAAGCGCAUCUCUCUCUCUCUCUCUCUCUCUCUCUCUCUCUCUCUCUCUCUCUCUCAAUUGUGCAAGCUUCUCUCCUCUGUUAAUUUACUACUGAUGCUGAGUUCUGCCUGCAAAGUUCUGGCAAGUUUUUUGCCAUUAUCUUCUUUGAAAUAUCAAAAAGAAAAGUGGGGUUCAGAGGUGGAAAGAAGAACAGCUUGAAGAGAAACGGAAAAGCGCAGACUUGCAACAGAAGGCAAGGAAAGCUGUUUGCUUUAAGAUGCAUGACAACCGUGCAGAUGGCCAGUGUGGUCUUCUCCACCCAAAAAACAAUUGCUUCUCGUGGCCUGAAACGGAAUUUUAUAUGAUUUGCAUCCAAAUAGAAGAAUAAUAUCGUAAUCUAAUAUCAUCUACCGCCUGCAAAGUUGCUAUUAUCUUCGUUGAAAAUUCAAAAGAAGGGGAGAGGCAGAAAGAAAAACAACAUAUGAAGAGAAACGGAAAGUGCAAACUCUCCAUAGAAGGCACAGGAAAGCAGUUCGCUUUAAGAUGCUUGAUAAACUACUAAGAAACGAUUUCAUGUGGUCUCUAAUGAAAUGUUAUAAGAUUCUACAUCAAUGAUAAUCGUACUUUGCGCUCCACUACUGCCUGCAAAGUUGCUAUUUUCUUCUUUGAAAACUCAAAAGAAGGGGCAACGUAGAAAGAAAAACCACAUCGAAGAGAAACGAACAUCAUUAACUCUCAACAGAGAGCACGACAAAGCUGCUUGCUUUAAGAUGCAUGAUGAACUACUAAUGAACAAUCAUUUCACGUGGUCUCUGAUGAUAUUUUAUAAGAUUUACAUUCGAAAUACCGGAUUGAUAUCGUACUUUAUGCUCCACUACUGCCUGAAAAGUUGCUGUUAUCCUCUUUGAAAACUUCAAAGAAGGGGGGAGAGUCAGAAAGAAAAACAACAUUGAAGAGAAACGAACAUCACCAACCCUCAACAGAAGGCACAAGAAAGCUGCCUGCUUUAAGAUGCAUGAUAAACUACUAAUAAACAAUCAUUUCACGUGGUCUCUGGUUAAAUUUAUAAGAUUUACAUCCAAAUACAGCAUCAAUAUCGUACUUUAUGCUCCACUAUUCCCUUGAAAGUUGCUAUCAUCUUCUUUGAACGCUCAAAAGAAGGGGAGAGGCAGAAAGGGAAACAACAUUGAAGGGAAACGAACAUCGCAAACUCUCAACAGAAGGCACGAGAAAGCUGUUUGCUUUAAGAUGCGUGACAACCAUGCAUAUGGUCAUUGUUGAAUUCCUACUUAAAACCAAUUAUUUCUCUUAGCCUCUGAUGAGAAUUUACAACCAUUACAGCCAAAUGGAGAAUGAUAUUUUACUUUAUGCUUCAUUACUAUAAUAUAUGUACAUAUCUAUUCAACGCAACCAAAAGAAUCAUGUUUCUCACACAUAAAUAGGACAAGUUUUUGGAGUGUCUGAAAUUUUUACAUUCAAAAUGUUAUUGUUUUGCAUCGAAAUAUUGUGACUCGACGCUGGAGAAUUGAAAUUCAAUUGUAAACCUAUCGUAUGAAUUCAAAUUCAAUCCUGAACAUUUUAAUUCAAACAAUGUUGUUUUAAACCUUUGAGUGAAAAUGUAAUCAAGUCCUCCUAGUCAAGUCUCGCCUAAAUGGCAGUCCAAUCAUUUGUCAUUGUACGUGUCCCGACUAGUGAUUUGACAUGGACAAAUUUACUCGAAACGGUGCCAUUGUUGCUCAACUCCACAAGCCGUCAACCUUGCCUAGAACCGCCCUCUCUCAAGUUGAUUUCUAUCAAUAGUCACAGCUCAGCUAGAGCUGGCACCUCCAAAUGUGGAGGCUCAGCAGUCGGUCACCAUGCCCAUCGGGCUCCUUGGCCCCUCCAUGGAAGAUGAUUGUACAAUCCUGAAAUUUUUAGCGAUGUUUGUUUUCCCUCCCUGACCCUUCCAUGCCAUGCAAGAUGAUUGUAUAACCCUUAAUUUUUUUUUUUUUGUGACGUAGAAUUUUUUGUUUAAUUUUUAAAUAAUUUUUUUCCCUUUUUUUCUUCCUUCUUCCUCCUCUAGAUGGUCAUGGGACCUCGGUGACUAGCCAGAGACGAGUUGACAAGGCCAACCUUGCCCAACCAUCGCAAGGCUCCAUCGAGAUUGGUGAGGCCACCCUUGUCGGCCCUCCUCUCUAGCCGGUCACCAGCUAUCAUCGAGGCUUGACGAGAAGAGGGAGAAUAAGAAAGGAAACGAAAAAAAAAAAAAAUGACCUUCAUUAGAAACUGUUCCUGAGGGCAAAUAAGUAAAUUCUUUCUACUUUCUGUUUUUGUUCUAAAUCUAUUUUCUGACUAUUGAUCUAUUUCGGAAAAGAAAAUUAACUAACAUUAUCAAAUAAUUUUUUUUUUCUGUUUUGGAGAAAGAAAUAACAGAAAAAUAGAGAAAUAAAAUGAUCACCAAAUAGGACCUAACUUUAUAAGUGAAUUUGUAAUUCUUCCCACUCAACCUAUGCCUAUUAUAAGUUUUCUUUUCUUUUAAUAAUUCUUCCUCUCUUCUGUCUCCUCUCUUCAUCGGUAUAAAAUGGGUAAUCAGGGAUGGGUGGCUUGUGUAGUGGAAGAGAAACCUAUUCCCAAUGGUCGACACAGCGAACUUGGGUCCAAAUUCAAAUACACCAGGGGAAGUAAACUGACCUCUUUCACCAUUAAAUCACCACGUUGAGUGUUGAUUUUAACUCCGUAAAAUCCUCUUGUUGAUUUUAACUCCAUAAAAUCCUCUAACACGUCUGCCCCUCGGGACCUUCCAGAUUAUAAAAGCAAGAGCAAAAGUCAUAUCCUAUUAUUUCCAAUCUUUAUCAACACAGAGAAACGGAUUCGUGCAUAGUUAAUAUGAAAAAACAGCUAUCCUAUACAUUGGCAUUUGAUAAAAAAGGUUGAUCAAUUUAUGGAUGACAUGCAGCGACUUGAAUUCCAUCCACACAUAGAUAACAUGCAGCCAAGGCUAUGUCAAAGCCCCAAUACAUGUAUUAGAUACUAUGCCAUCUCAAUCCACCAAGAGAAAAGGUAUGCAUUUUCGACUCCAGCAGAUGAGAUAUCCUUUGGGAUGGUAGUCUCGGAAGAUGAAUCUUGCUUCUGGUCUCCAUAAUUUGGCAGCAAUGAUGGUGAUUCCACUGGACUGGUUAGGACUACUUUUAUCUUCCUCUCCUCUAUGUAUUUACCACUUUCUUUAUCAAAUUUAAAAUUUAAAAGAAAACUUCUCAGGUUACUUGACCCAAAAGAUUAUGGAACACAAAGCAGCAAAAUCUACCAUGUAAGCAGUAAUGUCCUCUUCACCUGUAUCAAAACCUUGUCUCGACGCUGCAAGACAGGUGGAGCUACCUGCUGUGCUUACAUGGUAACGGCAUCAAACAGAAGAUAGGAUGAAGGGCCUACCCUAAUUCUUUCGAAGUAUCAGGACAUAGCUUCUGAGGCCUAUUGUGGUUUUCCUUUGUCUCAAUGUAUAUUAGGCUACUAUGGUAGGCAUUCAAAAUCUUAUUCAAAGAUGAUCCUUACUGCAAUGCGACUGACAUUGCCUUAAGCAGUUCAUGUCCUAGUAAUAAUACAGUCUUACAGACAUGUCGUGGCAAAGAAAUUGCAAAAUAAUCGUUCAGCUGAUUCAAGUACUGUGGGCAUGUCCAUCCUCACAAGUAUGUCAGUGGCUUUUUAGUAAGUAUGUGAACAUGAUGUUUCACUGACUUGAGCAGAACAAUUUCGAAUCAGAUUAUCCAUUUGGUUGAUGAUGCCUACAUUUGACCGCACACAGAAUUUCUUCUGAGACGUAGCCUUAGCCUGGAAUGUUUUGGAUAUCCAAUAUAGAUCUCAUAAUGUUUCUCCACAAUAGAGAGUUCUUAAUGCGCUGAUGUACUACUCUGAAAAUUAAAUUACAUCAAGAGAAUACAAGAUUGAAAGGAUAUUGUCCACCCGCCAUAGCCUAAAAAAUAAAACUUGAUCACGGUGAAAGCAAAGGUCCAAAGAAUAUUCACCUUGAAAGCAACAUACCGAUCAGUCUUAUUGCCUAGCGGAAUGAGCAUGAGCUUUGUUUGCUCAACUCAAUUGCAUAAACACGGAGAAGAGGCUUCAGAUGAAAGAAUUUAAAGAGAAAGGGGGCCCGACAUGAGGACAGGAUGUGAUGAAAUGGACCAUCUUACAUUUUCUUUGAUAUAAUGCAGUAAUGCAAUCUCGUCUUGUUCAUUCAUUUUCUCUACUAAUCAUUCUCUCAGUCAUUUGGUUACAACAACCAUUCACCUACUUAAUCUCCAGAAAGAAAUUUACCGCAGAAGUCAUUCUAAGAGUUUGUGGUGUGAGGGACUACGCAAAAAUGAACAAACCUGACCAAAUAUUUGAAAACGACACAAGGAAAAGAAUUUGAAAACGGGGCGACCAGUGACUGAUUCAUACAUGCCAUUGAAGCUUAUGCCUUAAGAUAUUUCCUUUACCAUUUUAUAUGAUGUUGAACCGCAAAUUCUCAAGCAAAUUAUUGUAGCACAGAGAACUAUCAUCCCCUUCACUUAUUGCCUAAUAAAACAGGUGGCAAGCAAUGCAAAUUUAACGUGGCGCCAAAAAUGAAAAUGAACCAAAUGUGCAGCACUAUAGAUACUCACAAAUUAAACUCAAGUUCAUGAGGCCGGAUCUCCAACAGCUCUUCAGCCAUGAUGACAACUAUAAAACCGAUCCACAUAAAACAACAGGUCACGUGGCAGGGUAACAACAAUCAAGCAAAAAGCUCUGCAUGAAGCUCAAUUUCAAGGUAUAAAUCUGAUCACGCGCUGUCUCUAGCAGAUUCCUCAUUUCAAACACCAAAAUUGCACAUGAUCAACAAACACUAGACAGUCAAAAAUGGCUCAGCACCCAAAUUACGAACACCAUCCAAGAGCAGUUCAGGAUUUACCAAAAAUCAGAGCACUACAUUUGGCAAUGAAAGCUUAACCAUCGGGGGAGUAUCUUACAGGUCAGAAACUUCCUUUGGCAGUGAAAUCUUAAUCUUCAAGGGAGUAUCUUACAGGUCAGAAUCUUCCUUUUGAUGGAUCCCAAUAAUGAGAAAAUCAAACUCCAGUGCAAGUUCACAACAAAGGACAUGACAAUAAUAUCAGCUAAGGGAUAUGCCAUGACUUGCACAACCCGAGAGAAAUCGCAGGAAAGACCCCAAGUCAGCAGGCCUAAAUUAUCUCUAACCACCUCUCCAAGACACAACACUAACAUAGCAUCAGCAGCAGCAGCAGCAGCAGCAGCACCAAACUCUAGUAGUCCCUGAUGACAGUUGGGUUGACUCUGACUUGGCAAUAACAACUUCGUGCCAUUUUACUCAGCAAAUGAACACAUAAUCUUCAAUACAUGUGGCACUACAAAUUCAUAAGAACCAAUGUAGCGGGAGUAGCAUUGAACCAAGAAUCCGAGAGAGCAAACAUGUUUUCCAUUAUUUGAUUUUUCAUACAAUAAAUUUAUGACUGAAUUUGCGAUUCUCUCAACUCACCUACGCUUAUUAUGAGUUUUUUCCCUCCUUCCUUUAAAAUAUAUCUUCCCCUCUUCUGUCUCCUCUCCUCAUCUGUAUAAAAUGGGCAAUCAAGGGUUGCUUGUGUAGUGGAAGGGAAACGGUCCUCCCAAUGAUCUUACUGGUGAAAGUAGACCCAAAUACAAAUCAACCAGGGGAAGAAAACUAACCUCUUUCAACUUUGUAUCACCUCACUGAGUGUUGAUUUUAACUCCUUAAAACCUCUGACACAUACAACCCUUUAGGAUGCUGGCAUCCAAAGACAAUCCUUCUGGAUUAUAAGAGUGAGAACAAAAGUCAUAUUCUAUCCUGAGUCAUAGAAGUGGAUACACGUACAGUUAAUAUGAGAAAAAAGCUAUCCUAUACACUCGCAUUUAGUUGCUAAAGGGGUUGAUCAAAUUAUGGAUGAUGCGUAGCAACUUGAUUUCCAUUUACAUAAAUAACAUGCAGCCCAGCCAAUGCUGUGGCAAAGCCCCAAUCCAUGUAUCAGAUACAAAGCCAUCUCAACCCAGAAAGACAAUAAAGUGACACAUUGAUGUUUUCUGGCAGUCAUACCCUGAGAAAAGGUGAUGCAUUUUCGACUCCAGCAGGUGAGAUAUCCUUUGGGAUGGUAGUCUCGGAAGAGGAAUCUUGCUUCCGGUCUCCAUAAUCUGGCAGCCCUGAAGGUGAUUCCACUGGACUGGUUAGGACUGCUUUUAUCUUCCUCUCAUCUAUGUAUUUACUGCUUUCUUUAUGAAAUUGAAAAUUCAAGAGAAAAUUUCUUGAGUCACUUGACCUGAAAGAUUAUGGAACAUAUAGCAGCAAAACCUACCAUGUCAGCAAUAGUGUCCUCUUCACCUGUAUCAAAAACUUGUCUCUGCACAGCAGGACAGGUGAGCUACCUGCCGUGCUUACAUGGUAACCACAUCAAACAGAAGAUGGGAUGAAAGGCCUACUCUAAUUCUUGUUGCCUAGCGGAAUCAGGCAUGAGCUUUGUUUACUUAACUCAACUGCAUAAACACAGAGAAGAGGCCUCAGAUAAAAGAACUUAACGGGGCACGACAUGAGAGCAGGAUGUGAUGAAAUGGACCAUCAUACAUUUUCUUUGAAGAUAUAAUGCAGCAACAAAAUCUCAUUUUGUGCGUUGGUUUUCUCUACUGAACAUUCUCAGUCAUUUGGUUACAGCACUCACCUACUUUAUCUCUAGAAAGAAAUUCACUCACAUGGCACUAUAAGAGUUUGUGGUGCGAAGAUAGAAACUAUGCAAAAAGAAAGAACCUGACCAAAUAUUCGAAAACAACACAAGGAAAAGAACUUGAAAAACAGGGCGACCAAUGACUGAUUCAUACUCGCCAUUGAAGCUCAUUCUUUAAGAUAUUUCUUUUACUAUUAUUUAUGAUGUUGAACCACAAAUUCUCAAGCAAAUUAUUGUAGAACAGAGGAAUAUCAUCCGCUUCACUUAUUGCCUGUAAAACAGGAGGUAAGCGAUUUGAAUGUAGCUCCAAAAUAAAAAUGAACCAAACGCACAGACUCAGAUAAACUUGCCUUCAUGAGGCUGGAUCUCCAAGAGUACUUCAGCCAUGAUGAUGACCAUAUUGCUGAUCUACAUGAAAUGGUGGAUCAUAUAGCAGGGCAACAACAAUCAAGCAAAAAGGUCUACAUAAAGCUCAAUUUCGAGUACCCAUUCAUAUAGGGUGCGUUUGGUUUGGCUUUUGGAGAAAGCCUUUGGAUAAUGCAAAGGCUCUUAGCCUAAAAACUGUUUGGUAAUUUGCAAUUUUAAAGUGACUUGGUAAGUAACAUUGGGAAAAUACUAUUUGAUAACAUAUAUUUAAAAAGUCAUUUGAUGUAAUCAAUUUUUUUAAAAUUUAUUUAAAAUUUUAAAAAAAAAAACACAACGAUGGAAACUUUUAUAUUUUCACAUUAAGAGUGAUGUAAAAGAGACAUAUUAACAAGUUCAAAAAUAAAAAAUAAAAAAAUUACAUGAGAAGUGUGAAAAAUAAUAGGGCCCUCAGAUAUACAAACAGUAAAGAAAGUAUAAUGACCAAUGGGCUAAGUUACUGAGAAUAUAAAAAUAAAAUUUAGUUGUUUCUGAUGUCAUAUGGAAAGUCUUAUCUAAAACUGGCAUAUGAUAAGAAAUGUCUCUUAUUCAGCAAUAAGACAAUUAGACAUAUCUCAGCUGCAACAUGACAGCACCAAAAGUCAUACCUUGCUCUUUUUGAAUGGACAAGUGAGCAACUCUUUGCCUUAAACGACUCCACCACAUGAACACAUUCGUGAUGGCAACCAAAAUGAGCUUUUGCUCAUGUUCAAAGCCUAAGCAUGCAAGAAAAUUAAAGAGCUCCGACUCUUGAAGAGCAAUGGACUUCUUCUGCAAACCUCAGAUUGCUGACAAAUCGAGGAUUAGCCUUAAAAAACUGUUCCUCUCAUAAACAUAAGUACAAUCACAACAUCUCAAUUCACAAGGCAGUGCAUGUAUUAAUAUACACAUCAUGGAUAUUCCAAAGAACUUACAAGAGAAGAUAACUCCUAGUAACUGCUGGGUACAAUGGAAAUGAACAUUCAAAGCCCAGGAUUAUUCCUGGGAAAAAUGGAAAAGUGGGGAACAACAGACUUUGACAUACAUCACAUGAAGUAAGAAUGAAAUAAUGAGUGAAUUUAACUGUCCCAUAGUAUUCUAUUAGCUAUGGCAGUGUCCACUGAUUCCAGUUCUUCCACGACUUUAGUCCUGGAAGGCUGCUUGUUAGGAGUCAUUCGGAGGCAUUGUAAAGCAAGUUGUGCUAACUGGAAUCCAGAAUCCAUAUAUGUAGGGUAUAGGGACAGUAUAAAUUUGGUUCCCAAUUGUGGCAGGUUGCAAUAUCAUGAGCGACCAGUUUCCUCUAAAAUAACCAGUAUUUCUUUUUUGGUUUCUGAGGAAGGGGAACAUCUGCAGAAAAUGAAAAGUUAUGUAGGCAAUGCAACUGUGGAUUCCAUGCCAAAUGAUUUAAGUAGCUAAAAGGGAAACACACCUUGUGUUUCAUAGAGGGGAUUAUAGUGAACCUCAUAUCCAGAAACUCAACCAAAGCUCUGCAUCAAUUGAAAGUAAGGUUAACAAAAGGAAAAACUUAGAAAGAAAAUGGAGUUUCAAAAGACCAGUUGCUCAUUGAACAAAAGCAAAAGUAGAUCAAUUGCAAAUGUUUACAUCUAGGUUCUAAAUCAAUCAAUAUAUUUAACCCUACCCAAGUAGCUGUUCUAAGCAAGCAAAAGAACAAAUAUUUAAUUUCAGAGACGAAAAACAAGCAAAGCAUCACAAAGGAGGGUCUAUGUGUAUAUGUAUGCAAGCAACGCUCUUUUUUCCAAGACAACCAAGGAGUAAAAUAUACCCAUUUGGAAUUUUAACAAACCAAACCCAAGAACUUCACAUUUAUCACAUUGCACCCACUGACGAUUUGAACCAACAAAACAACUAUGAAGAAGAAGACAAGCAAGCAAUACCCUCGGCAGAGGGAACUUAUAAAUCCAAUUGCCAAACAAUAAUUAGGCUGCGAAUAUAAGUAUCAUCUAGGGGCUUUUGCCCUCCUUCAUGCUCUCCAACAACGACCAAAUAAGCAUUGAACAUCGGUGACUCACUGGAAUAGAUAAAUUCAUCAUUCUUCAAAAUCCUGCAUUCCAACAGCUGCUCACUGCCAUCAUACGGCAUUACCUAUCAUAUAUCCGACCAUUAAUCACGACAUGGACUAAUCUACUCAAAACAGGCUCAAUCACGCAAAGUAUUACAAUCAGAAGCACAGAACAGAACAAUCCGUGAUGAUGGAAAUAAUGAAAUCCCAAGCAGCAUUGAGCUGCUAUCGUUCAGUUCAAUUGAGCAAGCUAAACUUGGGAAAAAAGGGUAAUAAAUCGAUAGCCACUGCAGUUUUGACAUAGAUUAGCUAGUCAAACCGAAUCACGUCCUACCCAAUCAAAGGCAACUAAAUUGCGGAUCGGGUUGAGCUGGACAUCAAUGGUAGAGAUUAGUAGUGAAAGCAAAGGUACCUUGCUGGUGGUGGUGCGGAGAGAGAGGAAGCUGUCGCAAUAGACCGUGCGCUUCAGCUUCUGCUUCAGGUGCUUCUUGAAGGUGACAUUCCAGCAAGCAUGGUCUCAAGCACAUAGCUCAUUUCAUCAAACACCAAAAUUGCACAUGAUCACCAAACACUAGGCAGGCAAAACUUAGAUGGUUCACACUCACACAAAGCAUAAUUCAGCACACUAAUUACAAACACAAUCCGAGAGCAGUUCAGGAUUGAAAAAGAAAACCAGAGCACAACAUCUGUCCAUUCCUAGAACUUGCAUUGCCAGCUCAAAAUGCAAGCAUUGAGUCCAUCACAGAGGAGUCAUACUGGAUUCCUGAAAGCUCUGACGUAUUCAUCUGUGGGAUUCUGCUGAGUCUGGAUGUUCUGUGGAAGGACAACAAGGAUGUCGAUGCCAGAUUUCUGUCUCUCAAUAUUCUGUUUGAUGUGAAGUUCGUUUUCCUAAUCAAAACUCCAGAGUUAAAGCAUAAGCUGGUAGACUUGGGUGCAAUUUCUCCCUCUCUGCCCAGCCUUGAUUGAGGAUGAGGACCCCAAUACCAAUGUGUGUGCAGAAGCUCCUUCGAUGCUCAUAGAGUUCAACUUGACUAAAAUUUCUGAGAUUCUACAACCAAAGACAGUCAGCCACUGCUUCAGAUUCUCACUUGGUGAUCUGUCCUGUGCAAAUGUGAAUGAUGGUGAGCUGCGCGUGGCUCUGGCAUCGGCUCUGGAAAUGGAUCCCAAGUUGCUUUCUCAGCUGAAAGUAGUAUGGCAUAUUGGAAACCUUUUGGAGUUUGUGCAUGAGAAAAAUAUGGAAGAUUUUCUCAAAUUUAUGCUUGGCUUGUGCAAAGCUCUUCUUUUUUUAUCACUAGGUUCUAUGAAAGGUUCCACAGACAUGGAAGAGCCAACACUACUUGAUGAAAGUUCUUCUGAGGCAGUGAGUAACAUAUGAUACAUAACUGACUUUGGUGGCAGUGCCAGUGUUUUCCGAGAAUUGAGUGGUUCUCAUGACAGAAACAGUGCCAAUAUUGCUUCUAAAUGCACAGCUCUAUUACUGAAGGCAGCCCCAAGGGAAGGUGCUCUCUUUUUCUUACCAAUCUCCUGUAAGCCAGUGCGAUUCUCGAGUCUCAGCAAAAGGGAGCUCCUUCUCUACUGGUACCAACGAAUGCUGCAUUCUCUCAGUUACUCCUGUAGGCGAUGUUUACUGCACGGAAUGACUUUUGUCAGUGUGCCUGUCAAAGAUUGCUAUGAUUGAAGGCAUCAUUGCUGAGAUAAAAUAUUCUGGUGCUGCUGCUUUAGCCAGUGCUGCCACAUUGGUAAUCUCAGAAUUGCAGUGGCUCCCUCAUUUAUGACUUCUCCAUAACAUCUGCAAAUCCCACUAAGAAGCACACCUUUCCUGAAAAAUAAACUGAACUUAAGCAUGGCAGUACAGAGUGUCUGUCUACUUCAAAGUCGCAACAAUGAGUUGAUUGUGCUUUCAAGUCCCAGGAUGAGAACCAUAGUUGUAUGACCUUCCAUCACACAUUCCAUCUAUUUGUUUACAGCAUAGCGAAUUUAUCUCCCAUGCAAAGUGAGGUUAUCAAUUUCAAAAUAUGUGUGAAGCAGCAAAUCAACAAUGAUCUCUAAUAAUUUGUUACAUAUCAAAUAAAAAUGAUGCAAUUGACAUGCAUAUAUCUCUAGGAGAAACCAUCCUAAGAAAAUGUAGCUAAAAAAGCGAAACCAAACUAGGAAAAGAACACAAUACUUGUACAUAAUUAAGAGCCCUCUGGCUGUUCGAAGGCAUCACAAUUUAAAUACCUUCAUCAGAUUUUCAGAAAAGAAUCCGCUAAAAGGUCAUUAAAAAGUGCAUGCAAAACUUCUCUGUUCAUAUCUGUGAAAGAAUUUGAUUGCCAAAAAAGGAAAACAUUGGUACUUACCUCAAUUUGUUUAAGGUUUGAACACAAGGGAACAAUUUGUGGUCGCGCAUCAAAAAGCUUCCAAGUGCAAUGUGCACUUAUUCAUCUUCUUCAUCGUCUUCUUCAUCAGAUUCGUCUUCUUCAUUGUCUUCUUCCACAGAUUUGUCUUCUUCAUCAGAUUCGUCUUCUUCAUCGUCUUCUUCCACAGAUUCGUCUUCUUCAUCGUCUUCUCCCACAAAUUUGAUUGACUCCUCCGAGCAAAGCCGAGAAAUUUCCUCCACUGCUAAUUUCCCACAACGUAAUAUUGUAACCUCUCGCACACUCUUCAAGCUUGAUAGAUCAGGCAACUUCUGUAAAGAUCCACAAUCUUUAAUCUUCAAUAUAUUCAAAGAUUGGGGUAGUUUGCCUUGAAUCUCAACCAGAUUAUGACAAUGUACUACUGAAAGAUAUGUUAUUCCGUCCAAAUUGCUAAGAUCAGGGAUCUGCAUCUGUUUAAAGCCAGAAAGCAGCAACCGAUGUCCACCACUAUAUUCAAACUCCCGAUUGCGAAAUUUUAUAAAAACAUUUUCCUUACCCACUAAGCUGAACAGAUCAGGGAACUCCAGAAACGAAUCUAAUUUAUCUAAUUUAUCGCAUCCUCUUAUUGUGAACCCCCCUUGCAGUCUCUUCAAGCUUGACAGCUCAGGCAACUUCUGUAAAGAUCCACAGUCUUCAAUGUCCAAGUGUUCCAAGGAUUGGGGUAGUUCGCCUUGAAUCUCAACCAGAUUAUGACAAGAUUCUACUCUAAGAAGUGUUAUUCCAUCCAUAUUGCUUAGAUCAGGGAUCUGCAUCUGUUUAAUGCCAGAAAGCUGCAACCGAUUUCCACUUAAAUAUUCAAACUCCUGAUUGCCAAUAUGCACAUACACAUAAACAUGUGUCUUACCCAUUAUGCUGAAUGGAUCGGGGAACUCCUGUAACGAAUCACGGGAACCAAUUGUAAGUUCAUCCAAAAACCGUGGUAGUUCGCCUUGAAUCUCAACCAGAUUACAGCACCCUGAUACUCUAAUACGCCUUAGCUUGUUUAACUUGCUUAGAUCAGGUAGCAUCGCCAGCUGUACGACGCCCCGAAGGUUCAAAUAUCGUAGGUUCUCCAAACAACCAAGGCCUUCAAUCUUUGCAACUGCAGAGCAGCAAAUGUCGAGAGACGAUAGUUUCCUCAAAUUCAAUAGAUCCAUCGAGCAAAGUGAGUCGCAACCAGAGAGAAUUAAGGAGGAUAAAUUAGAGGGAAGCCUCGGGAGGAGAGGCGGAUGAGGAGGGAGGCUGAGGUCUGUCGAUGAGGCGGUCCCCCCGAAAAAGCGCAGUUCCAGAGAUUCCAAUUUGCUUAAGUUCCCAAUCCACCGUGGUAUCCGUUUUUCCAGGAGCCCAUAAGAUUUCCCAUCACAGUUAGGUGGGCCAAAGCCCAGACGCAAUACCUUUAAGUUAGCGAGAUUUGAGAGAUUCGGAAACGUGUCCACCCUCAACUCCUCCACUACUAAUUCAAUGAGACUUUCAGGAAACCUUGGUAGGGCGUGUACUCCCGGCCAUCCCAAUAUCUCCUCAAAUGGACCCCCGUGUAAGCAAUAACCACUUAUUGCGUGGGCAUGCCUGACAUGAUUAUAACGGUCGGCGAUUUCCAUUCCCUUGACCUUCCCCAUCUUCUUCUUACAAGCAUCAUUGUUCGUUCUUUUUUCGAAACCAUUCUGCAUCUUCAUUACUUUCAAAUUCUUCAACAUUCCAAUGGAAUCGGGUACUUCUUCAAUGCUCGUGUGACUUAUGUCCAACUUAGUUAGCGAAUCCAAAUUUCCAACCGUCUCCGGAAGCCUAUGAAGAUUCCAACAAUUGCUUACAUCUAAGAAAAUUAAGCGUUUCAACUGACAAAUUGAUCCAUCAAUUUCGAUUAAUGAUUCACAGCCUGAUAGGAUCAAAUGUUCUAAAUUUGAAUGAGCUGAGAAGUUGGGGAUUCUCUUCAAGUGUCGGCAAUGGGCCAGAUUCAGAACUUUCAAAUUCUUCAACUUUCCAAUGGAAUUGGGUACUUCUUUGAUGCUCGUGUGACUUAUGUCCAACUCAGUUAGCAAAUCCCAAUUUCCAACCGUCUCCGGAAGCCUUUGAAGAUUCCAACAAUUGCUUACAUCUAAGAAAAUUAAGCGUUUCAACUGACAAAUUGAUCCAUCAAUUUCGAUUAAUGAUUCACAGCCUGAUAGGAUCAAACGUUCUAAAUUUGAAUGAACUGAGAAGUUGGGGGUUCUGUUCAAGCGUCGGCAAUGGGCUAGAUUCAGAACUUUCAAAUUCUUAAUCACCUGUGAAAGAAAAAUCAUGCAAAGUUUACUUUCGAAUUUAAUGAGAUGGAAGAAUAAGUGUUCUCUAGCAUAUAACAUACCUUCAUGUGGCUCCACCCCUUCCAAUCAUGUGUAAUUUCACUCUCAAAUAGAUCAAGGAUAGUCAAAUUCUCUACGGAGAAAUUUGCAAUCUCAAAUGUUGGGUGAAUAUUAUGCCAAGAAAGCCAGUGUAAUUCUGGAAGGAGAUUUGAAUCCAAAACAUCAGUUGGAAGAACACUUGAUGGCCCUUUGUGCUGAAGAAGCAUCUUUUCUACACAAAAAGUUUGCUCCGAGUCAUCAACUUCAAGGAACCUUAGCCUUGAUAGGCUCUUAAAGUCCUUGUAGGUAAAACGGUGCUGAUGGUCCAAGCGGAGGCGAAGAGCUUCAAUUUUUUUCUUCGUCUGCCCAAAGGAAAAUUUUUAAAAACAAGAGAGUUGAAGGGAAACACAUUUAGCCAAAUUCACUAUUUUAAAGGACUGAGUUGAGUACUACCAUUCCAUUAAUCUUAAAAAAGCAAAAAUGUCCAUAAGUAACUUGGAAAUUAAUGCGCAGGGGAUUUUACCUUAGGGCUCUUCAGCAAAUCCAACGCUUUCUCACGAUCCCACACCCUACUUUGUUUAUUUAUAUUGGUUUCUUGACAAACUAUUUGUCUUCCAAGGUCUCUAAGUUGGUCGUGCAUCCACACUUUAUUAUCCUAUUUAAUCUUUACCAAAGACAUGUUCUCCAAAACAUCCAUGGCAUAUUCCGAAUGGAAUUCAGAUUCCCAAAAAUGAACUACAAUGUCUUUAUCAUAUCCAAUUAAGAGACAAGCUAUAUCAAGGAACUUUUGCUUUUCCUUUUCUUUGUAUUCAUCAUAACUUAUUUUCAAUCUACUAUGGACAUCCUUAUGAGGAUCACUUUCCCACUUACGUAAUUCGAAAUCCCACUUUUUCUUUUCAGUAGUGCAAGAUAAAAGUGAACCCAUGAGCUCAAGAGCUAGUGGAAGACCUCCAGCAAUUUUUAUCGCCCUCUCGGAUUGGUCGAUAUACUCGUCUAAAGGAUGAUCUCUUCUAAAGGCAUGUUUGCUAAAGAGUUGAAGAGAUUGAUCGUGAUCCAUGCCCGAAAGCUCAUAACAGCUGUCCACUUUAAGAACAUCAAGAACUUCUUUGUUUCUAGUAGUAAUAAUAAUUCUGCUCCCUUUACCAAACCAAUCACACUCACCAACAAGUGCAUCGCUAUGAUUCUUUUCAUGUACAUCAUCGAGAAGGAGGGGGGCUCUUUUAUUAGACAACCAGGCUUUGAUGGUAUUAAUCCCAUCAUCAAUGUUUCUUAUAUAUGUGCAUUUGUCUUUGAGAAUGCUGGAGAUGAGCUGAUUCUGCAAGGAUUCAAUGCCCUCGCGUUCUGACAUUUCACGGAUGUUGGACAGAAAGCAACAAUCCUCAAAAUUUUCUAAAAGCUGAUUGUAGAUGAUUUUGGCAGUUGUCGUCUUCCCGAUGCCACCCAUCCCAUAGAUUCCUAUAAUCCGUGUUUCACUUGUGCGAGGACCUAUCAAUUCCAUGAUUGCAUCAACAUGGUUGUCGACAUUGACCAAGCAAUUUGAUACUACCAAAUAAGCCUUUUUCAACUCAUUGAAAACCUUCUGCAUGAUUGUUUUUGCAAACUGACCUUCUUGCCUAUUAUUCGUUGAAAGUCAAAAGGCAAUGAGUUAGAAAAUUGAGUUAAGCCAAACUAUGCUCUAACAAGACCAAAUUGAAAACUACAGACCUAUUCUAAAUGCGUUCCUCAACGAUUUAUACCAUUUUGAUAAACUAGCACUGGAACUUAGGGUAAAUGAAUGACCUGAACUAACGAAAAAUGUUGCUUGUUGGGAAUGAAAUGGGACAAAAAUUGACAUGGUGAUAUUAUUUAGCCUGAUUUUGCUGCAUAAUUUCAAUUGCAUACAAUUUCAACAAGACUAACACAAAUUUAGAAAAGAAACAAAUUUAAAUGCAUCGAGUUUAACGAUACAAGGCACAUGAGAUGGAAUGCUAAAAGUAGUCACCUGUUGGGCAUGCUUUGCAGGUCCCAUCCAUUUAUAUCCACGACUGUAGUGAGAGCAUUCUUCCACUCUGCUAUAGUCUUUUCAUCAUAUCGCUUCUUUCUUUUGUGUGAAACAAAAGCAUUUUUAAAACUCCCGGUUUGGUGUCGAACCUCCGAAGGUGUCACAUCAUAAAAAAUGGGCAUGAUCUUUUGUCCUUCAUUUUUCUGGCACUUGACCAUUUGAACUAGCUCUCUGAGACACCAUACGCUAGAGGCAUAACCUUUUGAAAAGAUAGGUAUUAAGAUCUUCGACUGAUUGAUUGCUUCAGGAAGUUCUGGGGCAAACUCUUCCCCAACACGGAGCGCGUCAUCGUCCCUAAAUGUGCGGAUUCCUGCAUUUAUAAGAUAAUUGUAAAGGAAGUCGGUAAAACCUGAUCGUGUGUCAGGCCCUCUGAAACUCAAGAAUACUUCAUAGUCAUGUCCGGAAGAUGUUGCCGUUUCCUCAACUUGUGGUGUAGUGCAAGUAUGAGUAGCCCUCUCUACGGUACCAUUCUGUGGAGCUGAAUCAUUAUCUGCACUGCCCUCCACAGCGGUCUGACCUGCUCUUUUCUUCAAGAAUCCUUUGAACAGGAUGGCAGAGAGAGCUAUGGUAGCAACCGUCACAAUACAGGGCAACAGCAAGUGCUCAAGCAUUUUGUGAGUUAGCAAAGAGAAGGUUUUUAGUUAGAAAUACAGGGGAAUGGUGGAAUAGCAGAGAUGAGAGGCGGCACUUAAAGAUCAGGAUGGAGUAACGAGGAACGGCGAGCCCGCGACGGCGAGAAAUCGCCAGAGAAAGAGUAGAGACUGAGGCGAGGGCGGCCACUGAUGCUGCGACGGAUCAGCGACGAGGCAGAGGAGGAGAAGGAUCGAGAGGAAGAGGAGAGGAAGGGGGUCGUGCGGCGAGGAGGCGGAGAAGUAUCGAGAGGAGAAGGAGAGGAAGGGGGUCGUGCAGGUGCGGCAAGCGGCGAGCGGCGAGCGGCGAGAGGAGGAGGAGAAGGGCGCGCUAGCUUUUGGGUUUUGGAAACUCAAAAAGAAUAUAAAAAGGAGGCUGAUGAGGGUGAAGUGACAGCCUGUCACGUGGGUGGGGGAGGGGAAAAAGAGUUAAAUAAAUUUGGGUUGGGGGGAAAUGGCCUGACGUGAGGAGAGGAGGGAAAAAAAAUUGAAAUAAAUUUGGGGGGGGAAUAGUCUGACGUGGGGAAGGGAGAGAAAAAAAUUGAAAUAAAUUUGGAGGCGGGGGAAAAUAUAAGAGGGAAAGAAGGGAGUGGGGGUUGGCGGUGGACCCCUCGAUUAGAUUUUUUUUUAAUCGAAAAAAUAAAUAAAUGAAAUAAAAAAAUAAUUUUGAAAAGUAAAAAUACUGAAUUUUAAAUGAUAAUAAAUUUUGAUCAUUAUAAAAGAUUAUGGAUUUAUUUAAAUAAGUUGAUUCUAAUUUCUUGUUAAUAAUCAAUUUUAUCAAUAACUUUUGUUAAAAAUAAAAACAUAUUUCUAAACAUGAAUAUGUAUUAAUUAUGAAUAUAUCUUUCAAAAUUCUAAUGAAUUGAUUUAUUAAUAUUAUUAGUGUAAAUUUAUUAUAGGCUUUUUAAUUAUUUAUUUAUUUAUGAAUUUGAAUUAAAUUAAUUAAAAAUAAAAAUAACCGUUUAAUAUACAACGUGCCUUAUCGUAUUGAAAUUCUCAAUUUUUGAGAAAUGACAUAUCGACAUGUCAUGUCGCGUGUCGAUACUAAUUAGGGAGUAAGCGCAAGAAGCCAAGGCACUUUAAAUCUCAAGGAGCAAAUGGGCAAGUGUUGGGAUUCACACUCUACAUUGUACGGUGCACACUAUUUUUCCCCCUUAUGAAUGCCUUUUGAGGAGAUAACAUUCAACUGCAAUUUCAUAAAAGGUUCUGAAGGAUUAUUCUCUACACAUCAGAAAAGGCCACCAUCUUUCAUCUGGCAUUUCCUAAACAUUGUUCACACUGCGCUAGCUUUGAGGAAGAAAAAAAAAAUAGUAGCAACAACGUUUCACGUGCUAUGAUGCAUAACAAGUUGGUCUCCAAGACCAACCAAGCACAUCCGCUUUGAUGUAAGUUGUCUCUUCUCAUAUCUUAGGAACGAAAAUUGUCCCUUUCUAAGGUUGAUUCUAGAGAUUUGGCCCUCCACUUUCCUUUUUGAGUUCAUAUUUGAUCACAUCCUUUUAUUUGAUGAGCAAAACUAAAAUACGAAUCCUACACUUCGGUGACUGUUUGAAUUCUUGCCCAAGGCUUUCAUAUUACAAAAAAAAAAAAAAUCAAUGUAUUUAAAAAAUACUUCAGCUGUGCUUGCAAACAAGUGUAAGCUGAAGUAUUAAAGUGGUGGAAUGUCAUUGGAAGGUUAAACCAACGAACAGACCAUGGCUAGCAAAGUAUCCUUCCAAAUGUCACUUCUAGAAAUAUAGACAUAGCACAAUGUAGAGUUUUCUUGUUAAAAAAAUUUGGCUCGAAUCUCAUGAACUUAAAUAAUUCCCAAAGGGUCUUACAUCUCAACAAACAACAUGAUUGCAUUUACAUUGGACACAGCACAGUGCAAAGUUUCCGGCCGGCCACCCCGGAGGAGUUGCCCUCCUCCGGGACCUUUCAUUGGAGGUUUACUAGCCUAGUAUGCUAGGAGAAGGCAGUGACCUCCCUCCAGGCAGGAUCCCAGCACUAGAAGUGCUAUGGCCGGAGAGCCCAAUGGGGACUCUAUCCUGUUUUCCUCCCCUCACUUCCCUGUAAAUGGGUUGUGGGAGGAAGCACCCUAGGAUGUCCUAUUCAGGGUGGAGCACUUUAAGGACCUGCUUAGGUCCUCACUUCUAGAAAUAUAGACAUAGCACAAUGCAGAGUUUUCUUGUUAAAAAAAUUUGGCUCGAAUCUCACGAACUUAAAUAAUUCCCAAAGGGUCUUACAUCUCAACAAACAACAUGAUUGCAUUUACAUUGGACACUGCACAGCGCAAAGUUUUUUUUUUUUUUUUUGGUUAGUGCAAAGUUUUUAUUCCCCUUAAAAUAAAAUUAAGAAAAAAGACAAAAAGACAAAAGUUUGAAUCUUUUUGAAUCUCUAUAAUAUAAAUAAUUUCUUCCCAAUGUCACUUCCAGAAAUAUGGACAUCUAGUCUCUCUAGAUUAGAUCAAAACAUUAUCCAACGCAAUUCAUUUGAUGAAUGGUUGUAGUUUGAAAUCUUACAAAGUUCUAAAAUUCCGCUGGCCAAAAAGGAGUUUUGAUAUAUGCGUUGUAAGUUUGAAUAAUCAAAUAAUAAAUUUCAAAUAUAGCUGGUAAGUGAAAAUUACAUAUGACUUUAUAUAUAUAAUAGACCAAGUGACGAUUGCAGCCAUAAGGACGUACUUAAGCUGAACUUGCACCGAGAGCAACCAUGUCUACUGAAGAGAAAAUAGCCGACCCUGAGGCGGCGAAGACGGCUGAAGUGCUGCCGCUGAAAGAGGAGGCCCUGCCUCCACCCACGAGCCCUCCCGACGAGGCAAGCUUGCUCACAGCGGACGUGGCUCUUCAAGGGUUGCUGUUUGCUUCGAUGCUAAUCGCGCUCUUGAGGACCGUUCUAAGUUUGGUUCUGGAGAUUUGGUCCUCUACUAUCCUUUUUGAGUUCAUAUUUAAAUUUUGAUGCACACCAAUACACACGCUUUUACUUGAUGGGCAAAAUUUUAAUAAUUGAGUCGAGCCCCGAUACCGCGGCCACAUCCAACCACGGCCGUGCGAGGCCAGCAACCUCCGUCUGUCGCGACUUCUAUUGGACAUAGGUUGUGAGUUCCGUGCGGAGAAAAAAAGAGACCAAAGGAUAGCAAACAAGUCAAAUCGGUGAGGAGUUAAUGUCGCCGGUGGAUUCACACAUGAAGGUGAGGGCUUGUGAUGGCAAUAUGGGUGGGUGACACGUAAAAUUCCUAAACUAUAUUAACUAUGACACUAAUUAUUCCAACUUUUUUUUUUCAUCAUAAAAAAUCGAAACUUGUAUCAGAAAUCCAAAAAGUACUCUCCAUCCAAGAUGGUCAUUAAAAAUUUAAUGUGCCUGUUUGCGUGGACAACAGUAGACAAAUGAAGCAGACAUGACUCGGGAGAAUUCCACCAAAAAGCCUAAACCUUGCCUGGUGCGACAAUGGAACCCAAUUUUUUUUUACCUGUUACUAAUACUAUAUAUAAACGUGUAUCAGUGACUCGCAAAUAUUAUGCAUCACAGUUCCAUCCAAGACGGCCGUUAAAAAUCCAAUGUGACCACUUGCUUGGACAUCGAUAGGCAAAUGGAGCCAAUGUGGAUUUGAUGUGAUUUUAGUAUGGUCUAAAGUGACUUUAGACCACUUGUCAAAGUUAUAAGUUUUUAAAAAUUAAACCUCCAUUAUAACAAGUUAUCUCUCACAAUUUUUAGGGUCCAGGAAAUGGUAUAAUUUGGAGAUGCAGUUUUUUUGAAUAAUAAAUGGGACGAAUUCAUCUCUAUUUUAACUAAAAGAGCUCCGAGCUUAAUUUGAAACUAAUAUACAAAAUAAACGAGCUUCAACUUAUUCUCCAUUUAUUUCUUAAAAAAUGAAUGAUUUGGAAAACACUUUAUAUUGUUCAUAAAAAUGAAUAAAUUAAAGAUAUUUUCAUAAUCUAUCAAAAUAUUUAGACAUAAAUUAUUAUUGAUAGUUAAAAAAUUCAUUAAUUAAUUGUUUCAAGAAAUAUAAAUGAUGAUUAUUAUUUAUUUUUCGCGAAAUAAACGGAAUGCCAACUUUAACAAAAGUGUAAUGGAAAAUAUUCUUGCUUUGCCUUUUCCUUUUUCUCUAUGUGCUCGAGACCUUACAUUCGUCCACCCUCUUUUUAGCAUUUCACUUAUGUCCUUCUUCUUUUUGGGACUAGAAAGAAUAUGAAGGGAUAUGAUUGUUCACUUUGGAUCUCUUUAUUGGCAUCAAAUAUAUGGUCUAUCGUCAUACCAAUCUGACAUCUAUCAACGACUUUUUUUGGGGUAUGGAUUCAUCAACAACGUUAGCGUGCAAACACUGGUACAAUUUUGUGCCGAAGGGUUAUACUUUUCCUAAAAGAGAAAAAGAAAAAAGAAAAAAACUGGAAUUGCCCCUCACGAUCUUCCUUCUUUGUUUGGUGAAAAAUCAUUUUUGGAAAAUGUCUUUCCUUACUUUCCAGUGUUUGAAUAACGUAAAGCUACUCGAUCCAUAAAAACCUUUACCAUGGGCUAAAAGUAAUAAAUAAGCUUAGAGAAAAAUGACUUGGCAAGAAGAAUUGUUUUCCUUGAUUUUUGUCCUAAUUUAUUUUGUUGUUAUUUUCAUGGAUUAUAGAAUAAACGGUGAUGAUAUUAUAUCCAGUUUGUUAGUCAUCACAUGUUACUUUUAACUGUACAAGCCACCCUUAAUGAAUUCACUUAUACCAAUUAUGAUCAAAUCAAUUUCUUCAACUUGUUUUCAGCACAAUCAAAAUUUUGUGUUUACUUUUUCUGAGAUUGAAUUUCCUAAAACAUUUUCCCGCAACAAAAAAAAUUCUCAGUGAGAUAAACACAACCUAAGAAUUUGUUUUCACAUGAUGUUAUUCGAUUGAAAGAAAUGGUAAGAUGGAAUUAUCAAUGAUAUGAGAAUUGGACAUCGAUUUGUUGUCAUAUGAUUAUUUGGGGUUGAAUGAGAGAAUAAUGAAUCGGUGUAGGAUUUUACAGAAUGAUCUUAGUGAAAUAUUUUUACAAUAAAAUCUCUACGUUUAUGGAAGUUUGAUUGGGAGGCACAGAGUGCCAAAUAAAUGGGUCAUUGGUGUGAUUCCUUCUUGAGCAAGCUGGUUCAUCGUGGACUCUUGCUAGUCCAAGUCUUUGUUGACUUUGACUUUGCCCUUCUAAUCCCAUGACGUUUCUGUCUUGCUUGCACCACUCCUUACGCUGUUCUAUCUUUUUUUUUUUUUUUUUUGCUCUCUUUUUUAGAGUGGUAGCUAAUGCGAUUUUAAAUCUAAUGAUAGUAUUUUGAUGCAAGGCAAAAUUAUAUGUAUACGGCACUUUUGUCAUUCAAUUAAAUUAGAUGUUAUCAACUUUUCUAUUGAUUAAUGAUAGGAUUGGCUAGAUUAUUUAAAGAUAAAAGUUCUUUGAAUAGAUGGUAUUUGUUUUGCAGGUAUUUUUCAAGUUUCUAAAUCAAUUCCGUGGCUACUAAACAUUUUGUGUUUCACAAGAGAAAGUAGCCACUUCGCAACUAAAGUUUCACGAUAUUGACUCGAUAGAAACCAAAAUAGCCAAAGUCAACUUUUUUCAACCAUUCUUUAGCCAACCAAAGUCACUUGUAAAGAGUUGGCCCUUACAAUAUCAUAAGCUUUUCACGAUCUAGAUAAUGAUCAAUUCCAUGAUGAAUAAACAAAGCAUUGCCUCCUCUUCAUUGAUCUCUUUUGAUCUUCUCUCCGAGAAAAAAGGUCAAAUUGUAUAACAGCAAAAUCAGUGCAGCACAUUGUGAAAUCUAAAUCACUUUUAGAAGCCAAAAUUACAAAUGGAGAUAUCCAUGGGUCAUUAAAAGUAGAACACAGGAUUUGUUGACUAUGCUGAGAGCUGGGGGCAGUUCGUAUUCUAAUGAUAUUGUCUUUGUAGAGUUUGCUUUCACCCUGAAACAAAACCGCACGGUGGCCAAUGCGUCUUCCUUUCUUCCAUUGAAUCAUCCGAGAGCACUGUGUCGCCAUAGAUGCCCCCGCCCUUGCCCACAAAUUAACAAGAAUGAUAGGGCACGGGGACCCACUCGUGGCUUUGCUUGAACAUAAUUGUAGUGUCGCUUUCAGGACAGGGGCGUGUCCCAAUCGGGGAAAAAGGAUCAGGUCUAUUUUGAAGAAAACGCCCUGUCUGUUUUUCUUUUUUUUUUUUGGUAAGAGGUAAGAAUAUUAUAGCUAAAGAAACAAGGAGUUACAAGGAGGCAAGACAGACAGGCGACUCCAAUCAUGCACUCAAAAUGACACAGGCGUCAUACUGAGUGGAUGGGAGGCGGGGUGGAUUCCCCAGCACAUUUGGAGUCUUCGGUUACGCGGGUUAUCCGGAACUCUUGAGAAUGUGGAGGCUCUAUCUUUGACAACUUUCCGAAGACGAUCUUUGAGAGCGGGCAGGAAUAGGCUUUGAUUCCGAAAGAUGAUGUUAUUUCGCUCCUUCCAUAUAAGGUAGCACAGGGCAGCAAAUGCAAAGCGAGCAAUGGAAUGGUGGAAGCAUGAGUCCGAGAGAUGGAUGACCAUCCACUGUAGAUUCUCUUUCCAAGGACCAUUUCGCCAACUCAAAUUACAUUUAGAAGCCCAGAAAGAGGCCAAUCUACCCGUAACUGAGCAACCAAAGUAUAAGUGGUCGAUUGAAUCUAGCCUACUUGAGCAGAACGCACAGGAACCAUCCGGGAUCCUCCCAUACGACAGAAGCAAGACCUAGGUUGGCAAUCUAUUCCGAGUGAUCAGCCAUAGAUGGGUCUGAUAACGCGGGGGAAGAGUGGAGCUCCAGACAAAUCGAGACCAGUUAACCAAAGAGCCUCUAGCUCGAAGCAUAGUCCAUGCAGAAGCAGUAGAGAACUGACCUGAAGAGUGGCCAAGCCACACCAGACGGUCAUCCUGAUUGUUGAGGCUGGGGAGAGGAUCAACCCAAGUCUGGAUAGCAACAGCUACAUUAGACGGGAUAGACAGGGCAGCAAUACCUAUAACAACAGAAGCAUUCCGAGGGAUACGAGAGCAAUAUAUGUCACGAUCCGAGAAUAACUUGUUGAAUGGGCCACGAGGGUGCCAGGUAUCAAACCAAAAAGAAGUCGAUAACCCAUUACCAAUGUUCCAGGCAAAAUACCUCUGAAUCAAUUCACGCAGGCCAAAGAGUUUCUUCCAAGACCAAGAACAAACGGUCGGUCUAGGCGCAAUCCAGAAAUUCUUGUGUUUUAAGAAGACUGAAUGUAUCCAUUUGGUCCAGAGUGAUUCCUUAUCAGAGAAAAGCAGCCAUAUAUGCUUAGUCAUGGCAGCAAUGUUACUAACUCGAAGUGAGCGAAUACCUAGUCCUCCUUCCGCUUUAGGAAGGCAGACUUCUUCCCAACAAACUCUAGCACCACCAGAACCAAGGUUCAGGCCACGCCAAAGAAAUUGGCGGAAGAUCUGCUCAAUUCGAUUAAUAACUGAGGAGGGGAGGAUAAAAACCGAAGACCAGUACACCUGAAUGGAAUGGAGAACAGAUCUAAUAAGUUGGAGUCUACCAGCAGUUGAAAGGAAACGGUUAGUCCAUGACUGAACUCUCUUCAUUAUAGCAUCCACCAGAGAUACACACUCUUCCUUGCCUAAUCUUGAGGAAAUUACGGGGAUGCCAAGGUAUCGAAAGGGCAAUGAUCCAAGGUUGAACCCCGAUGCAUUAACCAUUGUGUUGGAGAAAUCUUUCCAGAAGAUUUUGAAGCUGACAAAACAUUUCUAUCAGUCUAGUCUUGAUAUCAUUGGUUUAAAGUCUCAAGACUUUGUAAUCUCAAGACUCAAGACUCAAGACUCAAGACUCAAGAUUAUUCUCACUGACAGUCUUUCUAAUCCAGCUGCGAAGGAUAUCCAAAGCCGAAGUAUAUGGUUGGGGAUUUGAUCCAAUCCUCUGGAAUAGAUCCCUUGGUUGGAUAAUCAUUUCGGAUUCUUUUGAUUCUUAUCUAAGAUCAAUUGAAGAUCUGAUGGUCGACGAAACAUUCUUGGAAUGUUCUAUUCUUGGAAACCAAAAUCCUGAUUGUAUGGGCAAACAGGAUUGAUGGGCUAUCAUCAGAUUCCUUAAAUAGCUCGGAUGAUCUUCUUAAUUGAUUCCGUCCAACGGGUAGAUUGGAGGAAUUCCUUUGGUAAGUGCCAACGGCUAUGAUGGCAUAAAGGAGUAUAAAAGGAAGACGUUCUAGUUGUUUUAAGUGUGUGAUCGAUAGAUAAAUUCCAGAGUCUGAAGAACCUUGAUUGUUAGUCGAGACUGUUCAAGCGAAAUUGUAUACACAGAGAGUAGUUGUACUUGGUGAUACCUUGAGCGAGUGUAGUAGAUCAUCUACAUCGAGAGAUCAAGGAAGAUCAACACUGUAACAUCUCUUUGUUCAUAGUGGAAUCCAGCCAAUCGGCUGUCAGUGCAGAAGAGUGGACGUAGGCUUGAAUCAAGCUGAACCACUAUAAACCUCGUGUUUAAUUCUCUCUUUCUUUUACUCAGUCUUACGAUUGUUUUUUAAUCCUUCAUCUGUUUAAGUAUUGCGCAAACUGCAAGAAAAUUUUCAUAAACCUAUUCACCCCCCUCUAGGUAUUCGUACUAGCAUUAUCAAUUGGUAUCAGAGCUUGUGUUCUUACUUUAUUUGAAGUGUUUUACUUCAGAGUAUUGGGGAUGAGACCAAACCAGGCAGCAAAAGUGUUUACUCCAUCCAUUAGAAGGCUUAGAGACGGCAUGGUUGCUUCCGAGAAGAGCAACACAUCGUCAGCGAAGAAUAGAUGGGAUAACUUGGAGGGUUUACAACGCCAAAAGAACCGAAAUCCGGGUUUGCAGGUGCGGGCAUUAAUACUGCCAGUAAAAACUUCCAUUACAAGAGUAAAGAUAUAUGGGGACAGAGGGUCCCCCUGUCGGAUACCUCUCCCACUAGGGAAAAAACCAUGCAACUCACCGUUUAAAGCUAUAGAGAACUUGGGGGUUCUGAUGCAUGUCAUAAUUCGAUCAAUAAAUGUGGGUGGGAAGCCAAAUGCUUGGAGCGUCGACUCAAUAAAGUUCCAGUCAACUGAGUCAUAAGCUUUGGAGAAAUCAACCUUAAUAAUGUUCUUUGGAAAGUAAGGCUCAUGGUGGAAGUGAGCAAAUAAUUCUUGAGCAAGCAUGAUAUUAUCACUUAUCCUCCUCCCUUUAACAAAAGCGUUCUGGGGGGGACUAAUUAUAGAUGGGAGCAUAUAAGCUAAUUUGUUGGCUAACAGUUUCGUGAUACACUUGUAUAUAGUGUUGCAACAAGCAAUAGGACGGAAGUCAUUUACCGUGGAAGCAUUGGGGGACUUCGGGACCAAGGUUAGAAUAGUGGUGUUGAUCUCACGAAGCAGCUGGCCUGUAGAUAAGAAGUCCCGAAUUGCUAAUAGAACGGAAGGGCCUACAAUAUCCCACGAUUGCUUAAAGAAAUCAACAUUAAAUCCAUCCGAGCCAGGGGCUUUUCCAAUGGCCAAUGAAAACAAAGUAGUUUGGAUUUCUUCUUCAGUGAAUGGCUGAGAGAUGGCUUGGAUCUGAUUAUCAUCGAGCGUAGAAGCCAGAUUCGCACGAAUCUCUUCAACAGACGGAACGGCGGAGGGGGUAGCGUCUGACAGCAGAUUUUGAAAGUGAUCAACAAAGAGUUGCUGCACUUCAACUUCAUCAGUAAUUACAUUACUACCAUCAAAAAUCGAGAGAAUUCUAUUCCGGAGAUGGCCUCGCUUCACCGAAUGGUGGAAGAAACUGGUGUUUAAGUCACCUUCUUUAAGCCAUAUGACCCUUGAUUUUUGUCUGUAGAAAGAUUCUUCCUUGAGGUGAAGGUCAGAAAAGACACGGAGGUGGUCCUUUUCCGCAUCAGCUAGAGCUUGAUUAUGAGGGUCAAACUGAAUAGCGUUUUGAGCUUGCACGAGAAGACGUCUGGCGUCAGAAGUUCUAGCCAAAAUAUCAGAGUAAGCCUCCCUGUUUAAUAAUUUGAGUCUGCAUUUCAGGGACCUAAGCUUACUACAAAGGACAAACAUAGGCGUACCAGAGAUACGCAGCUCCCAGAUUUGCCGAACCAACUCAAAGAAGUUGGGGUGUGACAUCCAGAAAUUGAAGAACUUGAAGGGUUUACGCGAGCUAGGAACAGGGAGAAUCCUGACCACCAUAGGAGAGUGAUCAGACACUCCAGGGGCAAGAAAGUUGGCUUCCGAAUAGGAGAAGGCCGAGAUCCAAGCUGCAUUAGUAAGAACUCUGUCUAUCUUUCUUUGCCUUUGAUUAGGACCAGACGAAGUAGACCAAGUAAACCUGUUACCCACAAAGCGGAGAUCAUCUAGACCAAAUUGGAUGAGGCAAUCUCCAAAGUCUUCAAAGGCUGGGAUCCAGUAAUUGGAUCUAUCUGCUCUAUCAGAAGCAUACCGAAUGACAUUGAAGUCACCAGCAACAAUCCAGGGGAUGUCCAGACAAAUGGAACUAGUGGAGAUCAGAUCAUUCCAAAGCGGUCUUCUCAGGACAAAAGAAUGCUCCGCAUAGACUACCGAAAGAUUAAAAGCAACACCAGAAAUAAAACACUUCAACCGGCCAUGAAUGGCCUGAGCAGAACAAGCUGAGAUGCAAAAAGAAGCGGCCAAGGGGUUCCAACCCACCCAAAUACGACCCCUGAUGGAAUAAGAGUAAUUUGUAGACCAAGACCACCCAGGAAGAAGGGAUGCCGAAACAUGGGAAUGGGCAGCAGGGGAUAUUUUAGUCUCCAAAAUACCAAUACAACAGAGGCAGUUAGUCCUCACAAAAUUCCUAAUCUCAGCUUGUUUGAGGGCUUGUCCAAGACCCCUAAUAUUCCAAACACCAAAAAACAUAGGAAUGAGAUAAUAGGAUUACCUUCUCUUGCCACCUCGUUUCCUUGCCGAGUGUGGCAUAAGCUUCGGGCCAGCAGGAAUACUUGCCUCAGCAGAUUCAGAGCGGAGGAUUCCUUUUUGACGAACAGGGGCCUCCUGAUUAACCUUCGGAGGGGGAAAUUUAUCGCGUUCCUCCGGUAUGGACGAGGGCACCUUACAAGGUGAUACAGAUUCACCAUCAUCGGAACUGAUAUCUUCAUGAUUUUCAUCUGAAGGUGCAGACUUAUUCAAGCCAGGGGAAACCUGUCUUUGCAUCACAGUAGCGGAAUCUGGGUCAAUAGAGGUGGCAGGGAGUAGAUCAAAGGAAGGAUGAUGAUCCUCCUGCCUGGUUAACUCUGGUUGCCUAUGAAGGGCCAUUGAAAUCUGAGGCAUCGGAUCUCCAAUCUGGUUUCCUUCAGAACGGGGGGACUUGGGACGAUUCGGGACCGGAUCAUACAUCAGGCCAUCAUUUGCAGGCGUCGGGGCGUGCUUAUUGCGUUUACCACGCACUUCACGCCAUUCGUUUGGACGAGGGACAGGUGCCUUCGGGACUGAGGGACCAGGUUUAGAAGGACCUGAGGAAUUGGGGGCAGGACAUCUAUGGCCAAAUGAAGAGCAGGUUGGACAAAGUGUCGGGAUCCACUCAUAUUGGACUGUCACUGAUCUAAGCUCACCCUUCAUCAUAAACUCUAUAACUUCAGGGAAAGAGUUAGACGUAUCAACUUCUAUACAAACUCAAGCAAAAGCUACCAUUGCCAUCUGUUCUGUUCGAUUAUCAACAAAUAAGGGCUUACCAAUACCACUUGCCAGAAAACUAAUGCCAGCAGCAGACCAUAGAGCCACAGGGACGUUCCUGAGUCGAAUCCAGAUGGGGACAGUAUUAUGAGUUGAUUUCUUGAGCUCCAACAUAGGGUGCCAUUGUUGCAGGAUCAAGGGGAUUUUGGCUACUGUAAUCGGGCCUCCAUCCAAGACUUUCAUCCUGAAUUCACUAUCCGGAAUGUGAAAGAAGUAAAAACCAAGGUCAGCAGCAAUAACUUCGACCAAGUGAUGGCCCCAGGCAUUCUUGAGGGCGUCCUCUGUGAGGUGGAAGGGUAGGCGCUUCCCAAUGUAGUAACCAACCAGACAUUCCUCCCAUUUCGGGUGAGUAGAUUCGAGAAUCUCCUCCGGCAUCUGCAGAAUCUUAGAGUUCUCAAUUGUGGCCGGAGGAACAAAGGAUAAACCAUAGCCUUUGGUUGCCGAACGGGUCAGCAGCCCAGGAGCGAGCAGGAGGGGGAGUUUCCUUCACAGGGGGAAUAUGUACAUUCAGAAAUGGCUCCUCCGGCGCCUUAUUCGGGGCAUUCGGACGCCCUUUGGCCUCACGACCGUGGAGAACAGGGAUAGAUGCAGUGUCACGGCUGAAGGAGAUCUUCCUAUCCUUUCGAUUUAGACCAGCAGAGGCAUUAUCACACCCAACAGCAUUUAGCCGAGCAGGAAUACCCAGCAGAGGACGAGCCCUACGAGCCCUGCUUCGUCCCCUGCUUCGCGAACGCCCAGAGUGGGCGCGAGGUCCUCUCAGAGCCGAGGAGUAUCGCAUAACAGGGUUGCGAGUGGGUGUGGGGGAGUGAGGGUGCUCAACCGGAGCAACAACAUGGGCUUUACCCCGGUUAUCUUCCACCACCUCAGAGGAGGACACCAUUCGGAGACGGCGAACUCGGAAUUUCAAGCCCUAAAAACUCAGAUCCGAGAUUCCAGCUGAGGAAGACAUACCAGGGAAAUUCGCUCGGUAGAAGACAAGAUCAGAUGUAGAGGAAUGUUGUCUCCAAGCGUGGGCGCAAUCGGCCGGCCAGAACGGCCGGAAAUGGGAGACGCGCAGGCGAUGAACAGUGCUCGCGCAAACCCAGUCGAGAGCUUCAGCUUGAACAGUAACUUCUCCUCGUUUAAUGUUUAACUCACGCCCCAUCUGUUUUUCGUGCUCUCCAAACCUCAAAAAUACAAAGGAAGUUUGGGAAAAUAUGGCAAUUUCAAUGGGGGACGCGUGGGCUAAAAAUCCAUGAUUUCGGGGUUGCGCUGCCAACUGCGGCAUAUGGACUGGAUUACACCUCUCUUCACUUCCUAUUCUUCGAGCAGGUCUUGCCCGCUCGAGCACCGGGGCAUGUGAACCUGACUCAUGCACAUAUGGAUCAUGUGAAUUCUCCAUACGUUCCAUCUCACCCAUUGGUAUGCAUGACCCCAGAUUGAUUUAGCAUAUUCUUCCUAUUAAUUGGCUCCCGCUUCACUGCACCCGAUAUUAUCAGUCCCCUCAUGUGCAUGUGACCAUUGACAUUUGACAGGUCUACGUUCCAUCUACCAUGUGAGUCAUGUGACCACCGACAGUUGACAGGUCUACGUUCCAUCCACCAUGUGAGUCAUGUGACCAUCAAUAGUUGAUAGGUCCAUGUUCCAUCCGCCAUAAUCAUGGCCCCUUGUCCUUUUCCCUUUGCUCCUCUCCUUUCUCCCCUAUCAAUUGCAUUUUGUCUUUUUGAUGCUGCCAAAAUACCCAAAUGCUCUCUUGGCGAGGAAUUUAUUUAUCCUUUUCUUUAUGGUAUUGAUUUUAAUGAUAAAUUGGGAUGAGGGCCUUUCUCUAUUCCUCAAAAAAUCUCUCGAUAUAGAUUUGAGAGUUUAAUAAAUAUACUUUUGGGGAUUCAAUGCUCUCAUGCUUUAUUCAUGUAUAGAUUCUCUGCCCCAGUCUCAAUGAUGAUCGUAGGAGUUUUAGCAUUUCGUUGAAUUACGGAGAUUUGUUCCUCCACACAUUAUAAUUGUGUUUAUCUAACAUAGUAUGGUUGUUUUUGUACGAUGAUGGUAUAGAGGAAGCUGAAUCAAGGCACGCACCAUCAACUAACAACAUCAUAAUUAUUGAAGAAGGAAUUUUUGGCGUGUACUCAUCACUGACACAGACUCGAGAUCUGGUGAUUGGUUACCAAUUUUGUUUGACAUAUAUGUUCAUGUGGAGUGAGUUUGUGCUUAACUUUGCAAUUGCUCCAUCAAUCCUCCUUUUGUUCUGGAUUUGGCUUUGUUUUUCAGUAUUCAUGCUCUAUUUUGAUUUGCUUUGUCAUGAAAAUUAUUUACUUAUGCAUCAUUUUGAGUAAUGAAUACAAUUUUCCUUCGAUCGAGGGAAAAAAAAACUAAGUCAAGCCCCGACACCACAACAUUCAACCAUAGAUUUGUGGCUCUAGCGACCUUUGCCAGUCGCGAGUUCCAUGGACAUAGGUUUAUGAGCUUUGUGCAGAAAGAAAAAGAGAUGAAGGCAUAGAAGACAGACUUGAGCAGGUGAGGCGUUAACUCGCCGAUGGAUUGAUGCAUGAAGUUGAGGGCUAGUAAUGCAAUGGGUGGGCAGCAAAUUCGGCAACGCUGAGUGUGCAAUUUCAUAAAAAAAUCCUAACCUUUAUAUUUACCGUAAUACUAAUUAUCCAAGCUUUAUUUUUAUCAUCAAAAUCCCAAACUUAUAUGGUAACCAAAAAAUAUGUUCCAUCAAAGUUUGGUCCAAGAUAAAUGUCAAAAAUCUAACGUGGUGUCUUGGACGACGAUGAACUUAAAAAUCUGAAUAAAGCUUUUGAAAGAAAACUCGACUUAGCAACUUUUAGGGUCCAAGAAGGGAGAUAAUCCACUUGGCGGUCCUUUUUGUAAAACAAACGAGCUACAAUUUUUACUUCGAAGAAAAAGUGGGAUGGAAUACAAAUUCUAGCUUUGCUUUUUAUCCUUUUCCGCUUUGCGCUUGAGACUCACAUUCGUCCACCUUGAUUUUAGCAUUUCACUUUUGGUCUUACUCCUUAUCGGGAGAAGAAAGCAUAUGAUGGAUCUCUCUUUAUUUGGAUGAAGAGACCAAAAUAUUCAACAUGCCCAGGUUUAGAAUUUUUUUUAUCUUUCCUUUUAUUUAGUUUCUUUUCUAGGUGAACUUCGUCUAAACUCCACGACAACUCCUUCCACAUCGUUCCUUGACCUUUUCGCACGUUUCUUCCUUUGCUUCAAAUCCUUGAUCUUCCCCUCGUUGGCACUGCUCUCUGCUCACACGCCUCCAAAACCCUAACCCGAUGCCCAUGGCCAUGGUCAUUUCCGGUGAUUGACGAACUGACCUCCUCAAAGUUGCCGGGGAGUGCAUGAUCGAUGUGAACGCUCCAACACCAGCAAGACCUUCAGACUUCGAUGGGUACAGAUGUGGACUAAAUGAACCUAUUGGUAUUUGAUAAGGACGACAUGGAGGAAACACGGUGAGGCAGCCAAGGAGGAAAAAUAAAAUCCCGCAAGAUACAAAGGUGUAAAAUUGUUUGGUUCCAGAAUUCAUGGGCUCUUAAGUCUUUUCAUACAUACAUCCGAAUUUGACAAAAGCAAAAUUUAAAAUUGAAGCAAUUAAUCACGAUUGACUCUAUGAGUCAAAAAAGACUCUUGGGAAGUAUAAAAUUCAUCGAUUCGAGACCAAUGGAAGAUCAAAUUGUUUUCUGAUAGCUUUAGCUUUGAUUAAACUCCACUAAACUUUUGUUUUAGUAAAACAAACUCCAAAGGUCUCAUUGCAAUUUUUUUUUUUAAUCGGACUCCUUCCAUUUAAAUUGAAAUUGAGUGUCCUCCAUUAUAGCUCAGAAGCUCCAAGAAGAAGAGAAAAUAGGUGGGUUCCCAUUGCCUUAACUCAUCUCUUUAUAAAGGAAAAUAUAGACUUCGUAUUAGAUGUGGGCCUUAACUAUCAAAGACCUUUACUCCUUCACGAUAGAAAUAUCAAGGAAAUAAAAAGGAAAGAUCUUUUUCAAUGACUUUUGGGUAGAUCAUUGAACUUAGAAGCCAUAGGAUUGGCUGAACAUGCAGAGAGAGUUGUGGGCCAGUUUGCUACAAAAUUUGGUCAAUAAGGAUGAUUCCUUGAAGCAUCAUCCAGCUUGCCAAAGUUGACAAUUAUUUACAUUUCUUAACACAAAAAAAUCACUAGACCAUGUGAUGCAAAAAUUUUAGGAUUAGAAUCAACUUUUGCCCCCCAAAUAAAUGGCAGAUUCAUUCAAAGUCAAGUCAACAAAAGCAGACAUCAAAUUUUGACAAUUGACAAGUGUAUCAAAUUGGGGUUUUAUCCUUUGUUUGUCACAUAUGUAUUGGUUUGUGCUUUUUCCUAGUAUUAAUCAUAUUUAACGGAAACUAAUGGAGGGUAAAUUUGUCACAAUGUGCUAGUUUGGAGUUUUUGGUGAUCAAAAAAUUAAUUUGAGAUUCACGGGUAUAUAAGUUUGAGAUUUUUCGUGGUAUUAACUCUAAAAACAAUAAGAUUUAGAGAAACACAACUUGGCAAGAAGGAAUCAUUACCCUUAUUUUCUUGCUACGCUUUAAAGUGAGAAGAAUAUACUUUAUCAAUGCUCAAUUUUUCUACAUUCCCAAAGCACGAUUAAUCUAAUAUUUCACAAAUAUGAUUUCAUAAUUUCUAUCUUGAUUUCUUUGUAAUCGUUUUUAUUUCAAUGGAUUAUAGAAUUAAUGAAGAAGAUAUCAAUUCUAGUUUAUUAGUCAUUCCAUGUUACUUUUAACGAUACAAGCCGCAUCUAGUGGAUUCACUUAUUACUAAUUACGAUAAAAUCAGUUUUUUCAACUUGUUUUCACCAUAAUCAAUUUUUUCUGAUUCCCUUUCUCUGAAAUUGAAUUUCCUAAAAGCAUUUUCCCGCAGCAAAAAUCAGCGAGAUAAAGACAUCCUCAGAGUUUUUUUUAUUUAUUUGAUUUUCUAAUUUCAUAUGACAUAAUAUGAUGGGAGGAAAUUGUACGAUGAAAUUAUCAACGGAUAUGAGAAUUGGAGGGAAAUUUGUUGCCAUGUAAAUUUUGCAGGUGAUGGGAGAACGAUCAAUCAGUGUUGGAUUUUACAGAGUGAUAUGGUGACCUUUUUUUCUCUUCUUUUUGAUAAAAUCACUACAUUUAUGGAUGUCUGUCCGCAAGGGACAAAGUACCAAAUGAAUGAACCAUUGGUGUGAUUCCUUCUUGAGCAAAGCUGGUUCAUCAUGGACUGUUGGUAGCCUAAGUCUUUGUGGACUUUGACUUUGCCCUUACUGGUAGACUGUUCUUUUAUUUAUCUAUUUUCUUUGGAGAGUGGUAGGUAAUGCAAUCUUUAAUCUAACGAUUUUAUUUCGAUGCAAGACAAAAUUGUAUAUAUACUGCACUUCACAUGAUAACUAAAAAUUCUAUGUUUCACGAUGGAAAAAUAGCCACUUCACAAUUGAAGUUUCACAAUGCUAACUCAACAACAGCCAAGGUAAGUUGCAUAUACCAAAAUCAGCUUAUGUCUGUUGGAGAAAUCCUCAUGAAGAGUUUUGAAGUUGACAAGAUGUUUCUGUCAGUCUAGUCUGAAGGUCUGCAGACUCUGUUAGUUAAAGUCUGAAGACUUCCGGACAGCCAGACUCAAGACUCAAAGUCUAUCCUCAUUAACAGUCUCUGAUCCGUUGAAGAAAGGUUAUCCCGAACUGGAUGUUUUGUUUAGGAUUUAACCUUAUCAUCUGGAGAAGAUCUUGUGGCUGGAGAAGACGUAUCAGAAUCCUUUGAUUGAUCAAGAUUGAUUCAAUGAUUGAAGAUUCGAUGAUUAUCUAAAUAUUAUUGGAAGGUUUUGCUUAUGGAAACCGAGAUCCUGAUUGUAUGGGCGAACGGGAUUGAUGGGCUAUCAACACGUUCCUUUAAUAGCUCGAACGAUCUUCCUAAUUGAUUCCGUCCAACGGGUAGAUUGGAGGAAUUCCUUUGGAAAGUGCCAACGGGUAUGAUGGCAUAAAGGAGUAUAUAAGGAAGACGUUCUUAGUUGUUUAAGAGAGAGUGCGCGAUAGAAAAAUUCCAAAGUCUGAAGCUCCUAUUUGUUUAGAUAAAUCUCUUGAGCGAAUACUUGUAUACAAAAGAGAGUCUAUAUUUGUGAGAGACCUUGAGGAGGUGUGAUAGAAUAUCUACACUGUGGAAUCAAGGCAAAUCUGUGCUGUAACUUCUCUUUUGAUCAUAGUGAAAUCCAGCCGGUGGGCUGUCAGUGCGGAAGAGUGGACGUAGGCUUGGAAUAAGCCGAACCACUAUAAAUCUUGUGUUUGAUUUUCUCUUCCUUACUCUUUCUACCUCGAUCGUAUUUCAAUCUGUUAAGAAUUGCUUCCGUAUUUGAGAAAAAUUGUGUGUGCGCCUAUUCACCCCCCCUCUAGGUGUUUAUACUAGCAAUAUCAAUUGGUAUCAGAGCCUGUGUACUUACUUUAUUUGAAGUGUUUUACUUCAUAGUAAAAGAUCCAUGGCUAGUAUGAUAGCACUAGGGCUGAUGGAAGGGCAAAGCAAUACCAGACCACCUUACUUUGAUGGAAAGGAUUACAACAUCUGGAAGAACAAGAUGAAAGCUUUCCUACGAUCAAAGGAUCCUCUGGAAUGGGACGUUGUAGAAAAAGGAAUUACUCCUACCACUGCAUCAGUCUCUGAAAGAGGAAAAGAAACUGAAGAAUCCAGAGGAAUGUCUCAGGAAGAAAUAACCAAGAGACAGACACUCGAUGCAAAAGCAAUUUAUUCCUUAUAUUGUGCUUUAUCACCAACUGAAGAUAAUAGAAUAUCUUCUUGUGGUACAGCAAAAGAAGUUCGGGACAAAUUGCAUAUCACCUAUGAAGGAACAGAUCGAGUGAAGGAAACAAGAAUCAACAUUCUUCUCGGUCAAUACGAAGCUUUUAGAAUGAAACCAGGAGAAUCAAUAUCUGACAUGUUUAGUCGUUUUACAGAUAUUGUAAAUGGUCUUGAAAAUCAAGGUCAACCAACUUCUGAUCUCAUGAAGGUAAACAAGCUACUGCGUGGACUCUCCAAGGAUUGGAAUCACAUAAAGACUUCGAUAAGAGAGACAUAGAGAAUAAUGCCACUAUCUGUUGAUGAGCUGAUUGGAACUCUUCAGUCCUAUGAAGUGGAAAGGAUCAAUGAAGAUGAAGAUCCAAGAGGUAAGAAAUCCAUUGCAUUAAAAUCAAAUGAUGAUUCUGAUGUUACAGAUUCUGAAGAAGAUAUGGACGAUGAGGAGCUUGCUCUCAUGAUAAGAAGAUUCAGAAAACUAAACAGAAAAGGAAGAAGGUUCAACUCAAAGAAACAAGGCUUUCAAAGACAGCAGAUCAAGUCUGUUGAUGAUGAGGAACCAAACAAAGAUGUAGUCUGCUUUGAAUGCAAGAAAAAGGGACACAUCAGACCCAACUGUCCUCUUUUGAAGAAGAAGAAAGGAAAAGCUGAAAAAUUUCGAAAAGCUCUCAAAGCUGAAACCUGGAGUGAUACUGAGUGUGAAGAAAGUGAUAAUGAAUAUGCCAAUAUAUGUCUGAUGGCACAAUCAGACUCAGACUCUGGAUCAGACUCAGGAUCAGACUCAGACAGUGAAUUUGAGGCAAGUAAUUUUAAAAUUCCUGUCAAAUUUUCUAAAUAUAUUGAGGAACUAUGUUUUAGUCUUAAGACUUCUCUCAAAAGUAUUUCCAAACUAAAAAAGGAAAACUCAGCUCUAAAACAAAAGGAAAAUGUUUUAGCAGAAAGAGUUAAAAGUCUAGACUUGUCUGUUUCCAAUCUUAAAGAAAAUAAAGAAAAUCUUUUAAAAGAAAAUGCUUUUUUAAAAACAGACUUAUCUAAUAUAUCAAAGAAAUUUUCUAUGGGUUCUGAAAAACUUGAGAAAAUUCUUUCAGCACAAAGACCUUACUUCAAUAAGUCUGGUCUAGGUAUGACAGAAGAAACAAUUCCCUUGAUUGAUUUUCCUAAAGUAAAAGAAAGAAUUAAGAAAAGGCUUUCGAGUGAGGUUUACAAAAAUCACUUCAAGAAAGUCUUUGUAAAACCUGUAAGUAGAAAUGCUCUCAGAUGUUCUAAGUGCAACAGUCCGGAUCACUUUGAAAAAGAGUGUCCUAUGGUAUGGAAACCUAUUAAGAAAGUAUGGGCUAAUACUGUUUAUCUUACUAACACCAAAGGACCCAAGAAAAUUUGGGUACCAAAGAAAGCUUGAGACUCUUUGUUAAAUGCAGGUCUCCAUCAAGAAACAGGUAAAGUGGUAUCUUGACAGCGGAUGCUCAAGACACAUGACAGGAGACUCAAAUUGCUUUAUAAAGCUUGCUCAAGUAAAUGGUGGAAAAGUUUCAUUUGGAGGAAACAGCAAAGGAAGUAUUGUGGGAUUUGGAACCGUGAAAAUUGGAACUCUCACAAUAAGUAAUGUUUCCUUAGUUGAAGGACUCAAUUACAAUCUUCUCAGCAUUAGUCAAUUGUGUGAUACUGGUUUCAAGAUCUCCUUUCAAGAAGGAACAUGUUCCGGAAUCAGUAAAGACUCUACUCAAUCUUUUCUGGGUCGAAGACAUGGGAACAUCUAUCUUCUGGAUGUGAAAUCAAAUGAAUCACAAUGUCUGAUCUCAAUUCAAGACGAAGCAAGCUUAUGGCACAAAAAGCUUGGACAUGUCAAUAUGAAGCAAUUAGCCAAAAUCUCAUCAAAGCAGCUUGUUCGAGGUCUACCAAAAUUGCCAUACCAAAAGACUAAUUCAUGCACUCCAUGUAUUCUGGGAAAGCAGGUAAAAAAUUCUUUUAAGCCAAUAAAUCAUGUCUCUACUAAUCAUGUUCUACAGUUGCUGCAUAUGGAUCUCUUCGGACCAACCAGAACUCUAAGUAUUGGGGGUAAGAAGUAUUGCCUAGUAAUUGUUGAUGAUUACUCCCGUUUUACUUGGGUAUAUUUCCUUUUAAGUAAGUCCGAAACCUUUUCGUAUUUUGAAAAUUUUGCUAAAAAGGUUCAAAAUGAAAAAGGUUGUGUUAUCUCUAGUAUAAGAACAGAUCAUGGAGGUGAAUUUGAAAAUCAAGAUUUUACAAAGUUCUGUGAUGAAUCUGGCUGUAAGCAUAUGUUUUCCUCUCCGUAUACUCCUCAACAAAAUGGAGUUGUGGAAAGAAAGAACAGAUCUCUUCAAGAAAUGGCUAAAACUCUUUUAAUUGAAAGUAGAAUUUCUUCUCGAUUUUGGGCAGAAGCUGUUUCAACAGCUUGCUAUAUCAUCAAUAGAGUUUUCUUAAGAUCUAUUCUUCAGAAAACCCCUUAUGAGUUAUUCAAAGAAAAGAAGCCUAUUGUUUCAUACUUUCAUGUAUUUGGUUGCAAAUGUUUUAUAUUGAAAAAUGCAAAAGAUCGAGUUAGUAAGUUUGAAGAAAGAUCAGAUGAAGGUAUCUUCCUUGGAUAUUCUAUAUCAAGCAAAGCUUACAGAGUCUAUAACAAGAAAAGCCAGUCUGUAGAGGAGUCAAUGAAUGUCAAAUUUCAAGACUCAAUGCAAGAUGAAUCAAGUUAGACUCAUCAAGAAGAAUCUGAACCUACUUCAGACCCUCCAAAGUCUACAACUCAAGAAGCAUCUCAGACUCUUGAAAACCAGCAUCAGGUUGUUAAUGAAGAUCCAAAUAAAGAAAGAGAUCAUCAACCAGACAAAUCAACAAGUAACUGGAAGCAUAAGUCCAGUCAUCCCAAAGAUCUUAUAAUCGGCGAAAUAAAUGAAGGAAUUCGCACAAGAUCCAAAAGGCGAGAAGAGUCUAGUGCUGUGGCACUCGUUUCUGAAAUUGAACCAAAGGGCAUAGAAGAAGCUUUAUCUGAUGAAAGCUGGAUUGAAGCUAUGCAAGAAGAACUCAGACAGUUCAGCAUAAAUGAUGUUUGGGAAUUGACAUCCAAACCAAAAGGAAAAACUGUUAUUGGAGCCAAAUGGGUGUUCAGAAACAAAAUGAACGAGAAAGGAAAAGUCGUACGAAAUAAAGCAAGACUUGUGGCCAAAGGAUAUACGCAAGAAGAGGGAAUAGACUAUGAUGAGACUUACGCUCCAGUGGCAAGGUUAGAAGCUAUUCGACUAUUACUUGCGUUUGCUUGUUAUAAGAAUUUCAGGUUAUUCCAAAUGGACGUCAAAAGCGCCUUCCUAAAUGGAUUUAUCCAUGAGGAAGUUUAUGUGGAACAACCGCCAGGGUUUGAAGACCCAAAGAAGCCAGACUCAGUCUUCAGACUGAAAAAGGCUUUGUAUGGUUUAAAGCAAGCACCUCGGGCUUGGUACGACAGGUUAAGUAAUUUCUUAUUACAAAAUAGUUUUGUCAAAGGUAAAAUAGAUACGACUUUAUUUAUCAAGAAGGAAAAUAAAAGUUUCUUACUUGUUCAAAUAUAUGUGGAUGAUAUUAUUUUUGGAUCCUCCAAUGAAAGUCUGUGGUAGAAAUUUUCAAAGUCUAUGCAGGAUGAGUUUGAAAUGAGUAUGAUGGGAGAAUUAACAUUCUUUCUUGGUCUUCAAAUAAAACAAUUGAAGGAAGGAACUUUCAUUUUUCAAGAAAAAUAUGUUAAUGAUCUUGUCAAAAGGUUUGGACUGGAGAAUUGCAAAAAGACCGACAUACCAAUGUCAAGUUCUUUAAAGAUAGACAAAGAUGAAGAAGGGAAGAAAGUUGAUCAAAAGCUGUACAGGAGUAUUAUUGGAUCACUUCUUUAUCUUACUGCCUCUAGACCUGAUAUUUUGUUGAGUGUUUGCAUCUGUGCUAGGUUUCAAUCAGAUCCUAGAGAAUCCCAUCUCAGUGCUGCCAAACGCAUCAUAAAAUACGUUGCUUCAUCAUCAAGCAUCGGUCUUUGGUAUCCUAAGAAGGGAGACUUUAAACUUCUGGGAUAUUCAGACGCAGAUCUAACCGGUUGCAGAGUUGAUAGAAAGAGCACUUCAGGAACUUGCUAGUUGCUUGGAAGCAGAACAGUGUCUUGGUUUUCAAGGAAACAAAGUAUUGUGUCUCUUUCAACAACAGAAGCAGAGUAUGUAGCUCUUGGAAGCUGCUGUUCACAAAUUCUAUGGAUAAAACAACAGCUAAGAGAUUUUGAAAUCGAAGACUCAUGCACAGAGAUUAAUUGCGACAACACCAGCGCUAUCAACCUCACCAAAAAUCCAAUUCUCCACUCAAGAGCGAAGCAUAUAGAAAUUCGACAUCAUUUUAUUAGAGAUCAUGUUCAAAAUGGAGAUGUUUCAAUUCAAUUUGUUGACUCAAAGAAUCAGCUGGCUGAUAUUCUCACGAAGCCUUUGGAGAAAAAUCAAUUUGAGUCUAUACGGACCAGACUCAAUAUUUUGAGGUAUGAGGAUAUCAAAGUCUAAAGACUUUCAAACUCAGGCUUACAAGACUUUAUCAACAGUCUUGUCUCGACCUUCAGACUGUAAGUCUUUCUCUAUCCAAUCUUAUCUUGAAAAGGUACGAUCAUCAGACUGUGUUUAAAUUGUUGCCGUAAAUAUUACAUCGAUUCAUUUUCAAAAGGGAAGUUAUUUUUGAAAUAGCUAUUUUUACGGAUAAAAUCAGUUAUUUUGAAAAGGCAUAUUUUUAUUUCCUUUGUGACGAUUCGUUUUCUCUUCUUUUUAACCGAACGAGCACUAUCGAUUACUCUCUCUCAAAAACCCUAGAAAGCAUCGAUCUUCCAUUCCCGUUUGUCUACUUCUCUAAAUCUUCAAAAAGUUAUCAUCUUUUCUGGGAAAGUCAAGCUAGGAAACUUCCAAACACUGUUAAAGAUGUCUUCUUCACGAAAGUCGUCAAGAAUCGCAAGCAGUGGACCAUAGAGAAUGAGUAAGGGGCCUACGCACUUCGAUCUUACUGAAGAUGAAGUUUCUCCAGAUCAGCAACCGAGCCCACAACAUUCUCAGCAGCGUCAUUCUACAUCAUCUAGUCAUCAAGGCAUUGUUCAUCAGGAAGAAAUCAUCGAGGAAGCAGACCUCGUAAGAGUUCAAAAGCCUGCUUUUAUCUACAAGCUAUAUCGUGCUUUAAAAGGAAUUCGUACUCCCUUAAACUAUGUUGAUAGUUUUGUUAAAGAAAAAGGAUAUAGGAACGAAUAUAUCUUUCUGAAAAGAAUGGAAAGUUUGGGAAUCGCUCGUAAAGGGGUGGCUGAGGAAACCCUUGCGAAUAUCCCAAGUGAUCCUUGUGACUGGGGGCCAAAUCCUGUAGAUGGGAAUGAUGAUGACAAUCUGUUCAGUCUAUUUCAACCGAAAAUGGGUAUUGCGGCUGAAAUUCAAGGAAAAAGGGGAGAUUUGUUCAGAUCAAAGGAACAAAAGGAUCUGUACUCGAAAUUGCUGAAGCGUGGGGUAAUAAACCCUAGGAGUGUGGACUUUGAUUUUAUGGAUGCUGUGAAAGUGAACUUGAGGGAAAAGUUCAGUUAUCUUCAACUUGAAAAGUUUUGUUCUGACUCAACUGAGGCUUAUGCUAAAUUGACUGCUUACUUCUAUUCAAAUCUUAGCUUUUAGAUGCGAAUAGAUUUUCCUUCAGUGUCAAAGAACAAGACUAUGUUGUGGAUAUGGAUAUGCUGGCAGAUGUGUUAGAAGUUGAGAGAGGCAGAUAUCAACCGAUUAAAGUUUCCAUUGCUCGGGCCACACUUGAAUUGGUGAAGGACAGGAGAAUAGAAGAGAAUCACCUACUCAAGGAUGAAUGCAUUCAACAUCUUGCUUCACAAGACUGUGAUUAAUUGCCUUCGGCCGAAAUCAACUUCCAAAACUGAUGUUUCAAGCUCUAAGGCAAAAUUGAUGUAUGCCAUCCUCUGUGGAAAGAAGUUUUCUCUUCCUCAUACUGUCAUGUUUCACAUGUAUAGAGCAGUGAUGAAGGACAGAGGUCAACUCCCUUACCCAAGCCUUGUUACGAAGUUAUUCAGACAUCUGAAUAUUCAGCCUCCGCAAAUCUUUUGUGUUCGAUCAUGCGAUCAUAUGGUGGUAGGACUGAAAAUGGUGACCAAAAUGCGUCUGAAGGAACUGAGCAAGGAAUUGGAGAAAUUCAAGGAGAAGACUCCUGCCAAGUCUCAUCAACUCUCUUCUGCUACUAAGAGAAAAGGGAAGGAGCCCAUGGCUGCUCCCUCAAAGAAAAGAAGAGCUCUCCUCGUUGAGGAUGAAGAUGAUGACGAUGACAUCACCAUCUCUGCAAUGGCUUUGAAGAACUUAAGUCGUUCUGUUCCACAGAAAGAAUCGGAACAAAAGACGAAAGAAGCAGAGGAGAAGGAAGAAGAAGAGAGAGAAGCAAAGGAGAAGGAAGACGAAGAAAGAGAAACAGAGCAAGAAGCAGAGGAAAAAAAGACCCGAAGAAGAAAGAAGAGAAUGAGAACCUGAGGAAAUCUCUUCUCCACCUGUAGGCAUGAAAACAGGGGGAGUUCAGGAGAAAGGAGUGACAUCUUCAUUUCCAGAUGAAAGUGAAGGAGUCAGUCGUUCGCCUGCAGACCCAGAAGAUGUUUAUGCAUCUCAAUUUCCAGAGGAAGGUCAUGAAGCUUCAUCACCCAACCUGCGAGAUUAUGCUGAUCCACCAUCGUCUGCUUUUACUCCAUCAGAACGAGCAGAAGCAAGUACUCAGACUGAUAAUGGAGCAGAUUUUCGCAUAAUCAUGGAUAUUCUCUUGGAGAUGAAAGGUCAGAUUUAUGCAUUGGGAUGCGAAGUUCAAAGCUUGAAGAAUGAAGGUUAAGCUUCUUCCUGUUCAUUAAAUGAAAAGAUGCAAGCCCUCUCUAUUCAAAAUCAGGCAAAUGCCAAGAGUGAGGAGGUUGUACAGCUAAAGGAAGACUUUAAGAGGCUGGAAGGCAUUGUUCAGUCUAUGGAAGAUUUCCAGCUUGUCCGCGUUCCCAAGCAAUCUUGAUUUCAUCUCAUCCUUUUUAAAUGAUGACAAAAAGGGGGAGAGAUGCAUGAUUUGAAAACUUUCAAUCUUUUUAACUGUUUGUUGGAUUGUGUUUAACUGUCUGUUUGUUUUUGACAGACUUUGACUUUGUUUUGUGUCUGGAUAAGAACUGCCUAGACUUAGAUUUGACUGCUUCUAUUUAUCAAUAUUGAUAUCUUAUGAAUGGCUUAAUCAUAUAUUGGACUAACCUAUUUUCUGUGGUUGCAGAUUCUAGUGUUAUUCUAUUAGCCAUUUAUUUCUAUAAGAUAUGCAUAUGUGGUUGAGGAAUGUUUUGCAGGUCAAAGUUAUCCAAAUCUGCAGGAAGGUUUUGUCACCAUCAAAAAGGGGGAGAUUGUUGGAGAAAUCCUCAUGAAGAGUUUUGAAGUUGACAAAAUGUUUCCGUCAGUCUAGUCUGAAGGUCUGCAGACUCUGUUAGUUAAAGUCUGAAGACUUCCGGACAGCCAGACUCAAGACUCAAAGUCUAUCCUCAUUGACAGUCUCUGAUCCGUUGAAGAAAGGUUAUCCCGAACUGGAUGUUUUGUUCAGGAUUUAACCUUAUCAUCUGGAGAAGAUCUCGUGGCUGGAGAAGACGUAUCAGAAUCCUUUGAUUGAUCAAGAUUGAUUCAAUGAUUGAAGAUUCGAUGAUUAUCUAAAUAUUAUUGGAAGGUUUUGCUUAUGGAAACCGAGAUCCUGAUUGUAUGGGCGAACAUGAUUGAUGGGUUAUCAACACGUUCCUUUAAUAGCUCGAACGAUCUUCCUAAUUGAUUCUGUCCAACGGGUAGAUUGGAGGAAUUCCUUUGGAAAGUGCCAACGGGUAUGAUGGCAUAAAGGAGUAUAUAAGGAAGACGUUCUUAGUUGUUUAAGAGAGAGUGCGCGAUAGAAAAAUUCCAAAGUCUGAAGCUCCUAUUUGUUUAGAUAAAUCUCUUGAGCGAAUACUUGUAUACAAAAUAGAGUCUAUAUUUGUGAGAGACCUUGAGGAGGUGUCAAAGCUGGUUCAUCAUGGACUGUUGUCAGUCCAAGUCUUCGUAGACUAACUUUGCCCUUCUAAUGCCAUGAUAUUUCAGUUCUCUCGCAACCCCUCAUAUGCUGUUCUGUCUUAUUUUUUUUUUCUCUCUUUUUGAGAGUGGUAGCCAAUGUUAAUGGCACGGUAAAACGAGGCACAGGGAGCUUAGGUUUUAGAUUGUUGGCAUUCAUAUCAAUAUCACAUCAAACAAUCUCAUACAAUUCAUAAUCUAAUGAUUGUAUUUCAGUGCAACGGUUUUUGCAUGUAUGCAGCACUUUCGUACUUUCCAUUUAGUUAAAUUAGAUGGUAUCAACGUUUUUAUUGAUUGAUGAUAUAAUUAGCUAGACUAUUUAAAAAUCAAAGUAUUUCUAAAUAGAUAGUGUUUGUUUGCAAGUAUUUUUUUCUUUUUAUUUUCUAAAUCAAUUUUGUGGUAAUUAAACAUUCCACAUUUCACAAUAGAAAACAAAAUCUCGCUAGAUCAGAGGUAUAAAGAUGUUCCAUUAUGAAAUUCAUAAGUUCUUAAAUCUUUUCAGGCAUAAAUCCAAGUGUGAAAAAAACCAACAUUUAAGAUUGAAGUUAUUAAUCGCAAUGACUUGAUGAGUCAAAAAACACUUUUGGGAAGUAUCGAAUUCCCAUUUGAGUAGCAUCUAUUUUCACAAAUCUAUUUAUUCACUUGCUAAAUAUUAAAUCAUGAUUUGAUCAUAUCACUCAAUGUAUCGAUUUUAGUAUGCUUAUUUAAAUUUCUUGUAAAUAACUUAGAUUUAUUGGUUAAACUUCAAAUGAUGAAGAGCUCAUGCUUAUUGAGUAGAAGCACACAUAUUUUUAACAACAUUAAAAGAAAAAAAAAUCCACAUCUUGCUAGCAGUUAAAAUUAAAAUGCUAUCUGUUAUGUGAAAUGUUGAAUGCAUGUUAUUUUACAAAAUUCUUAUAGUAAUUAACCCACCGAGGACCUCAAUAGUCAUUCAAGGCAAAACUCCCUUGAAGAAUCCGACGAAAAUUCUUGUUAAAAAGCAAAGUGAAUGAUGAAAAUAAAUAAAGCAAUACAGCAAAGAAAAAGAAGGGGUCAUCCUAAUGUGGAAAAGAAGUCCCGCCAAUGCUUUAGCGUGUGCCUUUGGUAGUCCAAGUCUUCGUAGACUUGGGUCAACAUUGGUGUGAUUCCUUCUUGAGCAAGCUGGUUCAUCAUGGACUGUUGGUAGUCCAAGUCUUCGUAGACUUUGACUUGGGUCAAUCAUUGGUUUCAAUCUUCUUGCACCACCCACACGCUGUUUUGUCUGAUUUUUUUCUCUUUCUGAGAGUGGUAGCUCAUGCUAAUAGCACGUUAAGACGAGGCACAUGGAGCUUAGGUUUUGGAUUGUUGGCGUCCUUAUCAAAAUCACAUCAACCCAUCUCACGCAAUUCUUAAUCUAGUGAAUGUAUUUUGAUGCAACACAUUAUAUGUAUGUGACACAUUCCAUUUCCAUUUAGUUAAAUUAAAUGGUUCCAACUUUUUUAUUGAUUGAUGACAUGAUUGACUAAAUUUUCAAGAGAGAAGUUUUUUUGGACAUAUAGUGUUUCUUUGCAAGUAUUUUUCUAUUUUUUGAAUCGAUUUUGUGAUAACUAAACAUUCCAUAUUUUACGAUAGAAAACAAAAUCUCUCUAGAUCUGGAGGUGUAAAAUUGUUCCAUUUCAUAAUUCAAUGUUCUUAAGUCUUUCUAGGUAUAAAUCCAAGUGUGACCAAAAAAAAAAUUUAAGAUUGAAGUUAUUAAAUCACGAUGACUCAAUGAGUUAAAAAGAAGAAUCUUGGGAAGAAUCAAAUUUCUUGAAUUGAGAGUGAUGGAAAAUUGAAUUUGUUCUCUGAUAGCUUUAGCUUUCAUUGUCACUCCACUAAAAUUUUGUUUUAGUAAAAUGAAAAUCUCGUCCCAUUUUUUUUUUUUGAAAUCAGACACCAUCCAUUUGAAUCAAAAUUGAGUUUCCUCCUUUAGCUCAAAAGCUUGGGAAGAAGAGAAAAUAUGUGGGAUCCUGUUGCCUAAUUCUUACUCAUUUUAAAGGAAAAGAAAGACUUCUCAUACAAAUGUGGACCUUAAUUAUCGAUACAUUUUUUCCUUUACCCUAGAAUAUGCAUAGAAUCAUGGGCCAGUUUUGCUGCAAAAUUGGUCAGUAAGGAUGCUUCCUUGCAGCAUCAUUGCGGCUUGUCAACUGUGAAAAAAUAUUACGUUUCUUAAUGUGGAAAAUCACUAGACUAUGUGGUGCAGAAAUUUUGGGAUGAGAAUCUACUUUUGCCCCAAAAUAAUUCAUUCAAAGUCAAGUCAACAAAAGCAGACACCGAACUUCCAAAACAAGUUCGUUUCCCCCAUCCUAAUUAAGGUGAACUCCGGUCGGUCCAAUUUAAUGGGCUGAUCAGGCCCAGGCCCGGAAUAACUCUGAAGCAUAAAGCCUAGUGGAAUUAUUGGGCUUGAUCUUGUCAAAGCACUCCCCAAUGAUCAAUUGAAUUAAGAAAAGAUUACAUUUUAUUUCGGAGGUGACCCAUCCUUCGCAUUUAACCUGUUGUUAGUGUCAAAAAUUGCUUGUCACAAAACGUUGUAGUUGAACAUUAAAUCCAUGCAUUGUGCUGAUUAUUAUACAAAACAUUACUAAAAUAGAGUCCACAAAACCAAUGUGUAAGCACAGUCUUGUGUCGUAUUAAAACUUUGAGCCACCAACAAGUGUGGUAAAUAAGCUCACGAACAUGAUGUGACCUAUUAGAUCUCAUUUGGAAUUUAACUCAAUUAGCAUUUCCACAUUCACAAUUGAACUUGAAAGCCUCUAUGAUGACUGGGAAAAGUUUAGCGAAGCCUCUCUAAUGACUAUAAUGACUAAAAAAAAAUAUUGACUCCCCCUGAAUUCAAGUAUGAAAGUUUUCUAUUUCAGAUAAUGUUUUUGGAGGUGUGGCUCUUUGCUCUCUCAGUUAAUGCUUGUGGAUUAUCUAUUACAAAAGGGGGAAAAAGAGGCAAAAAUAAAAGAACUUAUGGACAACGCGAGAUUAUUCCAUGUUAAAAUUUGAGAAUUGGAAAAAAAAAAAUUCGCCACACUUCUAUUAAUUUGAAAUUAAACGAUUUGGGUUGCUAUUUCAGAUUUACCUCGACAUUAGAUGAUGAUGUCAAACCAAGUCCAUUUGCAGCUAGAAACAUUUUUUAGUAUAAUUAAGCUUGAAUCUGAAAAUAUUUGACUGGAGAAGUUUGCCAUCAUAAUGAAGUAAUUGCAAUUUCAUAUACCUCCACUAAUAUAAAUAAACAAAUGAAUUAUAUCAAUUUUAAUUUGAGUGUAUAGUAACCAACUAAUUGAACGGUAGAGCACCCAUUUGUCCAACAGAAUGUCUCAUUCUCUUUGGCUAAAAUACAACAGAAGGCGUCCCCACGCAAUCUUUCUAAAUGUUCCGAUUUUAGCAAAACUUACUUCACGACGUAAAUCACCGAAUGUGACAUUGAAAAUGCCCACCGACAAAAUAAGAUCCCAAGGGCAAAUUAGGAAAGAUCAUAAAGAAUCUGGAACGAAAUAGAUCGCGUUUGAGGCUGAUGGUUGUUCUGACAUGCUUGAUUGCUGCAAAGUGAGGCGAUACUCAAGCUUUUCAAGUUCAAGAGAUUGGAAAUGCUAUCAUCAGCUCGUCGCUCGGUAUGAAUAUGUAGACAAAGAAGAAUUUCUAGGAGUCUUGGCACUUGGGGUAUCUCAACACAUGUCGGUUUCAAAAUCUUCCAAGGUGAACAUCUCCAGAUAUCAUAGGAAUUUCUGAUUAGCAAAUUUUCACUAAGCUCUGCAUCUAUUCUUCUAGCUAUUCCUGAUUCCAUACUGCACUAGUUAUUGUUCUCAUGAUAGAGAACCUCAUCUUCAAUACUUUCAAAUACUUCAUGUUCCCGACCAACCAGGCAGCUUCUCUAUGUCCAUGUUCAAUUUAUCGAACUUAGCAAAUGAUUCCAAAUUCCAGAUUGAGUCUAGUAGUGUCUUUAUUGACUUGCAGUUCCUAGAAGACUAGUGUUCGAGGCUUACAAGGGAUCCACUUGAGUUGGGAAGCUCCACGAUCCUAGCUCCUCACAGAGAAAGCCUCGAUAGGGAAGUUAGGUGACAGAUUGAAAGUUUUAUAGUCAAUGAGGAACAAUGGGAAGCACAGAGGACCUGCAAGCUCUUCAAUUCUUGACAGUCAGGCAUAUGCUUUAUUGAUGUUAUACAGCAAUCCCUUUUUAAGGCAGUUAAGUCCAUGUCAGACUUUCCCCUUCCGUCUUGGUAAUUCCUAGAUGUAUAUUCCCUUUUAAGAUAGAGAUUAUCGAUGUUUGUCCGUUAAAACCAGCAUGCGAAAUUGCGAAUUGAACAAAGUCAACAUCUAGCAAGCUAGUCGCAUAUCUUUCUCCCAAAUAUCAUGUACUUUUAUUCGUGUGAAGUCCACCAUCAGGUUAGUACCGAGUUAUCCAGAGUUAGAUUCAUCUACUAGUAAGAAUACUUUGAGAGACCUUGUUUAGCUUUCUUAUACUUGUUUCAUCGUUUGAUUCCAUCAUUUCUCGGUUCACGCUGCUCCAUGGUUUAUAGCAGCAUCAUUAUUUGGUUUGCCCUCUCCAGUAAUCUUACUUGCUGCUCUUAAUCUUCUCUGCUCCAAUGGUCUAUAGUCGCAACUGUCGCCACACACAAUGCAACCUCAAGUGGUGAAACAACAAUUGUUGAGCUGCACAGAAAUUGGGGGUGGUCUGACUUGGCCUCGCCUCCCGAGUCGCAAUGGGUCCGAAUUUUAUUUUAUUUUGAUAAAUUAAAAAGUGUGGGAAGAGAUGACCAAUACGGUUAUCCAUUCUUGUUGUUACAUAAAGUGUUGUGCAUGUUACAAAAUAUCUCCAUUGAGCCAUAACCACUCGAUCCACCGACAAGUGUGCUAGUCUAUCACCAUAACUAAUAUGCCAAAAGCUUGACAAUAUAUCCACAUAACGUUGUAAAUACCUAAAAUACUAACCGGUGAAAAGUUCACUCAUGACAUGAUUCGAACUCAUGAAUUAAUAGAAGAUGGCAUGAUCCCUUCAUCAUUGGGUUAUCAUGCUUGGGGUUGGAUUGUGAUUCCGACUUUAUAUAUAUAUAUAUAUAUUCACUUUCAAGGUGAAUGAGUGGCGCAUGAGCCUAAUCCAAAAAGGAAUGAUCUAUAAAUCUGUUCUGUGCUUAAAAAAUUUGACUUAAGUCAAAUGAGGUGUUUAUGUGUUUAUGUUACCAAUAAAAGAAGAGGUUUGGUGACUGGUUUCUAUAAAAUUGAUUAAUUUACUCUUCAUAAUUUUCUAUAAAAUUGAUUAAUUUACUCUUCAUAAUUUUCUCUUGGAAAUUUUGUCCAGGAGCACGCCUCAUUUUAGCAAAACUUCCUUCAUCGCCCUCACGGAAACGACGAAAUCACCGGACGUGACACCGAAUAUGCCCGCCGACCGAGCAAGAGCCCGAGGUCGAAUCAGGAAAAUUCGCAAAUCCGUCGUCCUCUCCUUCCCUUCCCCCCCACCCAAAAACAAAAGCUCGCUGUAGCUUUCGAUCGCCAUCCGCCGCGAAAAUCGCUACGGAGUCCACGAACGCUGCGAAGACCAGGAUUCGAGGGUUGAAUUCGAGCAAUACGGAUGAAGACCGCAAUCGAUCUCUCCACCUCGCCGGGCGAUCGCGCCAUUUUGAUUGCGUGAGAUUGGAAUGAUGUCGUCGCUCGGCAGAAUGGGGAGUUGAGGGUGAUGGUUGUUCUGAAGUGCUUCAUUGCCGCGGGUGGGGGGCGAGAGGUAAUUGCAAUUUGUGUUCAUGUCAUCAAUUACUGCUCUGAUCCUCCCACUUGAUUGAGAUUGGGAGUCUAGUAUCGAGCAUGUCGGUUUUGAGGUUGGACAGUGAGGUUUGUAGUGUGAAUUUGGCGGAUUAUACUAUUGCAGAAAUUAUUUGGUUGGAUUAGCUAAGCUCUUGGAUUACCGAAUUUGGAUCAAUGCUACAACUGGAAUAUGGUCAGAUUGAUCGAAUUUCCUUAUAUUUGUUGGAUACAAAUAUUUCUUCCCGCUGUUUCUACUUUGGGGGUAAAAUUUGUUGAGUGUCUCACAGUGAUUGACUAUCGGCUAUUUGGCCUUUCUCCAGUCGAGUAAUGGACUGUAGCUUGUAGGUUUCAGUGGACUAGCUUUAUGGGAAAGAGGAGCCUUAUGCUUUUCACUUAUUCGCCUUUCGUUGCAUUUGAACAUAUAGUUCUUUAAGUUCACGAACGAGGAUGGCAGAAAUAUACUGAAAUAUUAUUUUGAGUUGACGUUUCCUUGAAGUGUUCCUCUUACUUGAUUGUUGAUAUACCUUGCUAGAGACAUAAGAAACUUGCUCCAUUGCUUGUAAUUAAAUGAGCUUUUGACCACAUUUUCAAAGUGAAAUUUUCUCAACUGGUAAAUGCAGAACUCAGACUAAGGUCCAAGGCUUGUAAAGCUGCUUACAAUCGCACUCUUGCCAUGACAUUUAUGGAGUAUUCAUCUGCUGUGAGUGUUCUUUAUAAAGAUUUUCACAUUUACCUAGAGCUUGUUGUUGUUAUUACUCUUCAGGUUUCACCAUUUAAAUACAAUAACUUUUGCAGGUUUGAUGCCAGAUUUGACAAAACUUAGUAGUUGGACUUGUCCUAGAUGUGAUGGAAAGACCCAGGUAAUUUAAUAUGGUUUAAUAUGACAUUGUUGCUGAGGUUGCCUGAAGAAUGGAUCCUCAGUACAGUAUUAAAUGGCCAAUUCUUCUAAUGAGAUUUUGUGGGCAUAUGCUGCCUCCUCUUAUUAGAUUCUGAACUGGUAGUUAAUGCCUUUUGAUAUGAAAGCAGGGGUUUGAAUUCAUUGAAUUGAUAGUGGGCAUUCAACACUGCUUACGCGCAGAUUAUUUGGUUGCAGUGGCUUACCAAUCUGCAAUGCUUGCGAUGCCUAUAUGUUUAAAUUGCAUCUAAUUGUUUAUAUCUAUUUCUAAACGUACAUAUAUGUUACCUGUAGGCAUACGUUGGGGUGGCCAAGGAUCUUAAUGCUGUGAUUAUAGCUUUUAGAGGUGCACAAGAACAUAGGUAUGCAUGUUAACUUUAGCAACUCUUCUCCUUACAAAUGACUUGCAAAAGGUUUUGAUGAAAAUUUAAGCUAAGAAGAGCAGCCUCCUGUGAGUGCAUACGCAAGACCCAUGGGUCGACUGUCCGUAAGAAGGGAAAAGGGUGAAUCAUUUCCACCAAGAUGCGAAAGUUACCUUCUUGUAAUUUUAGAUUGGUUCAUGAGAAGAUCACAUACUUCACUAAUUUUGUUCUGUGAAAAAUUCUAUCACC